UUUUUUUUUUUGUAGUGGACUGAGGUACCUCCGUCAAUCACUACCCUAAUUGAGAAAUAAUUUUAUGUACGUCCGUAAGAUUUAAUUUUUCAAUUACCUUAUGUAUUAAAGGAGCUCUAUUCUAACCAAAUAACACACUAUCAGGAUUAUUUUAGAUAGUCUGCGUACUCCCCUAACACAAAUCCAAUCAUGCCAGUUGUCACCAUUUUAGAGCAAUUAAACAAUUAUAAAUUUAACACUAAUUGACAUCAGGUUGCUAAAUUAAUUCAACGUCUGGGACCAGGAUAUUUAAUUAACAAAACAACCAUAAACAUUACAAAUAGAGAAUAUGCAAAUACCAGUGAAUAAGAGGAAUAAAUAAAAUUAAUUCAAUAUCACAAAUUUUAGAUGAACCAAAACCUCCGUUGUUCCUUGACUAGAAAAAGAGAUUAGUUCAUCCCUAUUGAGAAGAAUCCAUACAAGAUUUUAGAAGUAAUGAUCGCGGCCAUUGUCUUCAAUUCGCCGAGAAGAAACGAUGGAAUAAGAAUAUUUUGUCAAAAGUUACAAAGUCAAGGGUUGACUCCUUGUUUUUCUACUUGGUUCCUUUGAUACGUAGGAACCAGUAGCUACUAAAAACAUGAUAAAGUCAAUCUCCAAAGAGGAGUCAAGAAUGGAGCUUCAGAUCCUCUGUCCCCAAAAUAGUCCAUAUCCCCUCUGUCCCUUAUUUGUAUAGCUGCUACGUGUCUCUAGCCUUUUGUUAACCUAAACUCAAAUAAAAUCGAUAAUAAUCGGUUUACAAGUUUUGUUAACCCAAAUUCAAACAAACCGAUAAUAGUUGAUAGACAGGUUUACUCAAAAUCAAUUAAAACAGAUAACUCAAAACUAUUUUUUAUUUUCUUUUUAACAAAAAAGAGUCUUGUUGAUCAUAAACAUAGAAAUCAACUAAAACUCUUCUUUAUUUUUUACUCCAAAUCAUCUUUUUCUUAAACCCUAACAAGUAUUUUGAUUCACUCAUUAUAUCUUUAAUCUUGCAGCAAAAACGCUCAAAGGAUCAAGUAGCAAGAUUCAAUCAUCUUUAUCCAGGUAAAACAAAUCAAUAGAUCAUGUAUGCCAAUUUUACAAUAUAUUUGAUUCAUGAUUUGUCUUGUCAUAUUUGAAAUGACCUGUAUUUAUUGGAACUUGCAUGCGAUGGGAACAAUAUUGUACAAUCCCCUCUCAACAUCAUUGUUCAUAUAAGUAUCUAUAUGCACUGUGUAGUUACUAUAGUUCAUAAACUAGUAUCUAAUUGAAGUAAAGCCUUUAGUAAUGCCGUAAAGCCCUUAGUAAUGCCGUAAAGCCCCUUUCAGUAAUAAACUAGUACAAUCCCCUUUCAGUAAUAAACUAGUACAAUCCCCUUUCAGUAAUACCGUAAAGCCUUUAGUAGUCAAAGUGAUUGAAGUAAACUUUUUCAAUGAUAAACAUUAUAGUUAAAAGCUUUUAUUUUUGACAAAUGUCAUUCGAUAUUUAAGCAGGUUUAUUUGUAUUUAAUUACGUCGUAGAUAUUGAACAAUUGUUUACUUUUGUCUUUUUACUAUUUUUUGUGGAAAAUUCUUGUAAUGAGUUAAAAAUUAAUUUUGCAAAAAAAAAAAAAAGCACUGAUACGAAAUGGUAAAGUUAACUAUUAAAAUCUUUUAAAAUUGUAGAUCAUGGAGGGUGAUGAUUCCCUUGAGAGCAAGUUCCCACCUUGUCGUAAAUUGGAAUUUAUAGAUGACACUCAACAUCAUCACAGCUCUCAGACAAUCAAUGAAGAUACAGACAUUGAGCUUAUUGGUGCAUCAAGUUCAAACAAAGAGACUGAUAUCAAUUCAAUUCAUCCCUCUAUCCCUAAAGAAGAAAUCCCUCUGGUAGGUAUGGAAUUUGACAGUGAAGAAGCAGCUGGUCAAUUUUACUUAGCAUAUGCUAAGAAGGUUGGGUUCGGCACUAGAAAAGGCAAAUUGCAUAAAGACAAAAAUGGUAAAAUAAUUGAUAGGACAUUUUGUUGUAGUGCCGAAGGCAAACGAGGGGCAGAUAAAAGAGAUGUCAAUGUAAAAAUCCAUCAUCCUGAAACAAGAUUUGGUUGUUUGGCAAAAAUGAAAAUUAGUUGUAGCAAAAGUGAAAAAUAUCAUGUCAUUGAGUUUAUACCAGAACAUAAUCAUUAUCUUUGUAGUCCUCACAAACGCAUUUGUUCAGAGCACAUAGGAGAAUACAUGAAGCUCAUGUAAUAGAGAUUGAUAUGGCAAACAGUGUAGGAAUUGCACCAAAAGCAUCGCAUGAAUUUAUGGUAAAACAAGCUGGUGGACGGGAUAACUUGGGCUUUAUUCCUGAAGAUUAUAGGAAUUAUUUACGUUCAAAGAGGACAAGAGAUGUGAAAAUAGGGGAUACUGGAGGAGUGCUUGAAUAUUUACAGGGAAUGCAAUUAGAAGAUCCAAACUUUUUUUAUUCCAUUCAAGUUGAUAAAGAUGAUUUGAUGACUAAUAUAUUUGGGCUAAUGCUAGGAUGAAAGUUGACUAUGCCGAUUUUGGAGAUGUGGUUUGUUUCGAUACAACUUACAGAAAAAACUGUGAAGGUCGUCCUCUUGCACUCUUUGUUGGUGUGAACCAUCACAAGCAAACUAUUAUUUUUGGUGGUGCACUUUUAUAUGACGAGACAGCUCCGACUUUUGAAUGGUUAUUUGAUGUAUUUGCUAGCACUAUGUUAGGAAAAAAGCCAAAAAACCAUUCUGACAGACCAAGAUGCAGCAAUGGCUAAAGCAUUAGCUUCCAGAUGGCUAGAGACACAACAUCGAUUAUGUAUUUGGCACCUUUACCAAAAUGCUGCCAUACAUCUAAGUGGUGUUUUUGAAAAAUUCUCAGACUUUGCAGGUGACUUUGGUAAAUGCAUAUACGAUUUCGAAGAGGAGGAUAUUUUUGUGACUGAAUGGGAUAAAAUGCUACAGAGGUAUAAUCUUCAAGAUAAUGAUUGGCUGAAGAGAAUGUUCAAAUUGAAAGAAAAAUGGGCACUAGUCUAUGGCCGCCAGUCCUUUUGUGCUGAUAUUACUACGACACAGAGAAGUGAGAGUAUGAAUAGUGUCGUAAAAAGGUAUGUCAGCUAUAAAAAUAAUUUGCAUCAAUUUUUUGAUCAUUUUUAAAAUUUGAUUGAUAGUCAUCGAUAUGAAGAGUUAAAGGCUGAUUUCAGAGCAAGUAUAAGUACUCCUGUAUUAUCUUUUCCAGUUCAAAUAUUAAAGCAUGCAGCAAAUAUUUAUAGCCCGGAAGUGUUCAAGUUAUUUUAGAAUGAAUUAUGUAAAGCUCAUGAUAGCAGCUUACUUAUUUUUAGCGAGAUCGGAACAAUAAUCCAUUAUCAUGUCACUUCUUAUGAAAAAACAAAUCAUCAUGUUGUUAAAUAUGACUCUUUGGAUGGCACGGUACACUGUAGCUGCAAAAAAUUUGAGUGUUGUGGGAUACUGUGUUCUCAUGCCCUGAAAGUUCUUACCACAAGAAAUGUUGUCAAAGUUCCACAGCCAUACAUAAUGAAGAGAUGGACAAAGAAAGCAAAAGUUGGGGUUAUGCAAAGUCCAGGCUUGUCUAAGAGCAAUAACACACUGAAUCCGAAAGUAAUGGUGAAUAUGAGGUAUAGAAACUUGUGCAAGUUUCACAAUCAAUUGGUUACAAGAGCAGCGGAAACAGAAGAAACAUAUGAAAUAGCUAAAGACGGUCUUGUGAAGCUGUUUGAGAAGGUUAAUGAAAAGUUACAGAGCAAAAAUUUGACAUUUGAAGGCUCAAGUGAAAGGACGAAUUAUUUGAAAGAAAAAGAUCCAGCUAUUCACGAAGAAACUGGUAUAAAAGUCAAAGGAAUAAUGGCAAAAAAGAAAAUUAUUUCGGGUAAGAGAUUGAAGAAUGGAUUAGAAAAGACAUCGAGAAAGAGAAAGUCACAUAGUAGAAAAUCAGCUGCAACAACUGUGGUCUUAACUGCCGAAGUUCCAACCCUUGCUCAGGUACAUAGUUAUUUUUCAAUUGAUAAACCAUACCGGCUUUUCAUGUUUUUACUGGUAGGCUUCAGAAGAAGUCAUUCAUAGAGGAUAUAGGUUUGGACAAGAUUGUCAAGUCCAUCUAGUACCAUCAGCCAUGGGGUUGUUUGUAUGAAAAGCAAGCUUUAAUUAGAUAUUACGAUGAUAUAAUUUUUUUUUGAGUCUUGAUGAUAUAAUUAUUCUUUUAUAUUUUUUAUUUUUUAUUUUUAAGCAUGUGCAUGAAGGUCCUACUGGUAGUGGAGAUGGUUUAAACAUAUGGGAACCAAAUAGCCAACGUAUUUUGUGCCCAACGCAAUUGUCACAGGUAAUAUUUUCUUGUUUAUAAUUAAAUUUUAGUUAUUCCAAUAAUUCACUUGUUUGCAAAAAAUAGUUAUUUAAUCUAAAAUUUAAUUUUUUGUUAUUUGUGGAGACAAAAUUUCUAACCAAAAAAGAAAACAAAAAGAUCGGUUCAGGUGAUGCUAGCAUGGCUCAAGCAAUUUAUCCUGAACAAGUGACCUUCGUGCAGCCAUUUGGUUUAAAUAAGGUGUGUUUGCUAUGUUCUUCUAAUUGAGUUACUAUCAUAUGAUGCAAAACUUAUUGCAUAAGGCUUUUCAAGCACUUAAUUAUGUUCAUACCAUAAAUAAUUUUCUCUUUAUUGUUUUUUUUUUUAAAAAUAGAUUCCAGUUUUAGCUCCAAAUCAAAUGAACCAAGUUGCACAUUUUAAUUUUCUUGAAGAGUUGCAAGAUUCUAUGAGAUUGACAGACUUACUUCAGGUAACUUAGUAAUUGUCCAUUGAUAGUAUUUGAUGUUAUGAGAAUUUCAUCUCAAUAUUUUAGUACUUAUGAUUAUUUUUUCUACAUUUAUAGGUUGAAGUAGGACACAAGUUCAGUGGAUCAAGUGUCAAUAACUUUAUAGACCUUAAUGUCAUUUCCAGCCAACCGAGUUCAAGUUUAGUUGCUUGUAAUGAAAAUUGCGGCUAUCCCAUGCCAUGUCCUGGUGGUUUUGUUUGUAGAUGCACAACUGAUGGAAAAUCCGACAAUCUUUAGAAGUUUUGAAUUAUGAAUAGGCAAGGGUUUGAUAUUACAAACCAACAUGAUAGACCAUGGUUAUUCAGGUAUUAACAGGGUUUUUAGGUGUACUUAGUAAGAGUGGUUGAAAUUUUAUUAUUAUUCUCUUAUUUUUAUCCAGCAGACGAUUUUUUGAGAAUCAAAUUCCAAUAUCUAACAUUCUUAUCAACCAUGUGUGUGUUUAUGUCAACUGAUUUAGCUCUUUCUAAUUUUUUUACAUCUCAUAAUUAUGUAAAUAUGAUGAUUUAAAAUUAAUUACUUAAUAGGUUUGAGUUAUCUGUUUUAAUUGAUUUUGAGUAAACCUGUCAAUUAACUAUUAUCGGUUUGUUUGAAUUUGGGUCAACAAAACUUGUAAACCGAUUAUUAUUGAUUUUAUUUGAGUUUGGAUUAACAAAAGGCUAGAGACACGUGGCAGCUAUACAAAUAAGGGACAGAGGGAACAUGGACUAUUUUGGGGACAGAGGAUCUGAAGCCCAAGAAUGGUGGCUACUUUUUCUCCCGCAAAGUUCCUAUCUAAUCUCUACUCCUAUACGGCUGCCAAGAGAAAUAAAAGGAAAGAGUCCUACUGCUUCCCAUCCACCAUACUGUCGUUAUCAGAAGAUAAGGAAACAAUCUUCAAUUCUGCUUUCCAUUGGUCUCGUGUCUCCUGCUAUCACUCAAACUUUUUUGCUAACUACCGUCAAAUUGGCAUCUUUUUAUGAUAUUUUAUUCCACUCCCCGUAAUAAAUACAAAUUUCCAAAAGUGAGUGGAAUAUGACAAUUAAUCCAUAUUUGGUAAGGUAACAGGGGAAAUUAAUUAUAAAAUAAAUGGUAAAAUUGCAACCUAUCACACAUUAAAUCCAUAAGCCUCUCAACAAAUAAUUUAGUGGGUGAGAUCCAUGAUGGGAUAAUGGAUCUGGUUGAUUUGCAAACUUUGAACCUUUCACAUAAUCAUUUGACUGAAAGGAUCCCCGAGAAGAUUGGCAACUUGAGUCACUUGAUCUAUCAAUGAAUGAACUCUUCGGUGCAAUCCCUGAAAGCUUAUCUGCUUUAAACUGGUUGAACUUCCUGAAUUUGUCACACAAUAAGCUAUCAGGGCCAAUACCAUCAGGGAAUCAAAUUCAGACCUUAACCGAUCCAUCUAUCCAUGAAGGAAACAGUGGACUCUGUGGCAAGUCACUCCCAAAUGACUGCCUGGAACAUAAAUUGCCUACGGAAAAUGGGCAAAUUCAUGAUGAUAUAGGCCACGACAAGUCUAAUUGGUCUUGGUUUUAUGCUGGUAUAGGACCGGGUUAUGCUGUCGGGCUAUUGGGAGUUUUGGGAAUCCUUAUUACGUGAUUGAAGACCAGAAAUUUCCAUUCCUUAACUUUUGGAACUUUUUAUCUUAAAAACUAGGUACCAAAACUUUAGUUGCUUUCUCUAGAUUCUCUCUUUCUAUUGGCAAUUAUUUUUACUCUCUCAAAAGUUUGAUUUCUAAUAAUUCUCCUCUAUUCUUCAUAUUUACAUUGCAUUUUCCUAUGUUUCUUUACAUUCCAUACUAUGAGAAUCUUAUUGAUUUUUAUUUACAACCGAUUAUAAGGAUGAUAGGAUGUGAAAUAAUUAUUUUUCUGUUCGCAUUAGAAUGCAUUAAUAAUUAUUUUUGCGUCAACAGAUUUAAACACUUUAGAAGAAUUCUAUACUUGUUUAUGCUAAUAAUUGAUUUAGUUGUUUAAUUUCUAAUUGAUAUACAUUCUAGCUUUUCUGCCAACAACUCUUAUGAAUUACCAACUAAUGAUUUUCAGGUAUUACAUUAAUUCUACCCACCUAAGUUUCAUUCUCGAAACUUAAUUUGACCAGAUUAGCAUAAAAACAAACUGCCCUUCCAAUUAUAUCACUUUACAUGAACAACUAUUAAUUAAACUACUAGUAUUUAGGGCACACACCAAUGUGUGUACACCUAAUAAAAAAACAUAUUAUUAAAAUUUUGAGUAAAUUUGUUGAAAUCAUUUUCAAAGGAAUUGGUUUUAUAUUUUUGACAUUGAGGAUUGGAAAAUUCAUGAAAAUAAGUGUACAAAUAGAUAGUUAUUUAGCAGUAAUCCAUAUCCAUAAUCGAUAGUUGAUUAUUGGGUAGCUAGCAAGGGUAGUUAAAAAAUAAUAUAAAAUGACAAAAUUUUAUUUAUACCAAAAGCCCUCUCCCCCUUGAUAUAUUUACAACAAAAGCUUUCUCCACCUUUACAGAGAGCAUAGAUACUAUUUACUCAAGGACAAUUCAUGUCCCCCCCCUCUCCUUCCCCUCCUCGCCUUUUUGGUCAAUCAUCAACUCUUAUUACUACUCCUACUCUAACCAAUAUUAGGACCAAUGGGGCUGGAGGAAGAAGAUCUCACCUGUAUAUCAAAGAGGUUCACUAGGCCAAAGAAGGGUUGCUUCAUGUUCAAAUCCGCUAUUCUUUUUACAAGGCCAUAGAAAUUUCAAACACCUGAUGCCCAUUUCGUUUCCCUAGCGCUAACAUAAAUCCAAACAUCAACAAGUAAUUCGACUUAAUUAACCUUAUUUUCAUUUGAACUUUAGUUAUUUCUAAAGUGAUAAUCAUGUCUUACUGUUCAUUAAAGUAAUAUACUAUCAACUAAAACUUCACUAGUAUAUUCCGUGCUCUCAUUUUCUGAUUUGCCAGAUUCUCAGUUGCACCCUGAAUUUAUUUCAUACUACAUGCCAUCACAGUGGAUCUAGAAAUAUUAUAACAUAACCACCUAGAAAUUUCUUCAAGAUAUAAUCCUUUUCAAUAACAUCACCCACUCAUGAUUUUCAAUCUAGAAUUACCUGUAGUUUUAAGAUUCAAAUCAAGUGAUCAUAAAGCCAUGUGAGAAACACUAAUGAACAUAAAUUAAAUUUCUAACUCAUCGAUUGCCAUAAAUGGUCCUAUUAGAAACUAAUUCUUGCAACCAAUAAUUGGUAGAUAUGCAAUAAAAAUGUGUCCUAGGCCUCCUAAUCUUCUAAACAAACAUGUAAGAGUAGAAGGGGUUUCAUGAACAUCCUCCCAAUGAGGAAUGUAAUAUGAACGGAUCCCAAUCACGAAUUAAAGAUUCGUGAAAAAAGAGAUAAACUCUAAAAAAUUGGGCAAUUCCAAUAAAGUUUGAUAAAAGUUGAUAAGAGAAUGAGAUAUUACUUAGACCCUAUUUGGCAAAUAACUCCCAAUAAAUAUUUGGGUGAAACUUAGGUCUCGUUUGGCAAAUAAGUUUUUUGAGUGUUUGUCUAAAAUUUUAUUAUAACUUACUGUAAAAAUUGUAGGAAAAAAUUUUAAAAUGAAAAGCUUUUUUCUUUUCUUUUUAUUUCUUUUGCUUUUUUUUUCUUUCUUUCUUUCUUUGUUCUUUUCUUUCCUUUCUUCUUCUUCUCCCUUUCCCGUCACCUGCCAUCUCUCCCUUCCAGUUGGAACAAGAAUUUUUUUUGCACUUUUCUCUCUCCCCUCCCCUCUCCCCCUCUUUCUCGGGUGCUUUCUAGUCGUGUGACUAGAUCGGGCAAAGGGGUAAGGGAAGGGUGGUGGGGGAGGGAGAAGGUGGGAGAUAGGUGGUGGGGAAGAGGGGAGGAGAGGGGGAGAGGAGAGGAAGAGGAAGAAGAGAGAGAGAAAAAAAAGAGGUGGCCUUCGGUGCCGGUCGAUCUUGGCCGGCCGUGAGGUGGUGGUGGGUUGAGGUGGAAGUAGAAAGGAGGAAGAAAAUUUUUUUUGUGUGUUUUGAAUAUUUUGAAGUAUGUAUUGAGGAGUUUUUGAGAUUAUUGUAAUUAAAGUUGUUAAAAAAUUAGAAAACAAACUUAACCAAAAAUUCAUUUGCCAAAUAGGCCAUUAGUUCUAGGAAUGCUUUGAAAAUCCUUGUUAGAGGGAUAGUGAAAUUCUUGUUAUCCAUUAAUAUCUAAGGUCAUGUUAUUCAAUAAUUGUAAUUGUGAAAAUUUUUCUCUUUUUUGAUUGAUUUUUAUUCAUAAAUUCAAGCUAUUAUUCAAAUUAUAGUAAUUUAUUGAUGAAUUUGGAUUAUUUAUUGUUGAAUUUGCCUAGGUUUAAAGUUAAUUGAAGAUGCAUAAAAGUUUCAUAAAUAAGGCAGCCCGUUUCGACAUUGCUUUCGAUGAUGUGUGCAUUAUGUUUGUGAACUUUAAUGACACAAAGGGGCAAGCUACUCCUACUUCUGCUACUUAUUUUGCAUUUGGGGACGAGUCCUGCAUCUCGCGCGGGAGUUGAUACCGGCGUAAUAAAAUAGUAAUCCAAUAUGCAAUUAACGAAUUUCUUAUGUUUAGUUAAGAAGAAAGCGGAAGAAAACAAGAAUAUGAGAACAGAUGGAAAUUAAUGCAAAACAAAAGGAAAAAGAAGGCAAAUUACACUGUAUUUCCUAUGAUUUAGUAUUUUUGUACAUAACGAUCCUAUAAUUUUAAAAGUUAUAUAUAAUCCCCUCAUAAUUUGGAUUAAAGUAUCAAAAUAAUAGAAAUAAUCAUUCGUAAAGGAACAUAUAAAAAUGUCGAAAUUACUCUUAUUUAAAAACUCAAAUGGUUGAAGUAAUCAACAUAUAUAAACAUAAUAUGCAUGACACUCUUACCCCGUACGAUUUUAUAUUUUAUGAUAUAACCCCCUUAUGAUUUAAUGUUUUACUAUAUAACUCCCUUAUUGUUUUCACUAUAUGUACAUAACUCGCUUGUAGUCAAUAGAUAAUUUUCAACUUUAUAUAGGGGCAUUUUUUAUAUUUUAAUUGAUUCCAUUAUAAAUUACAAAUUUCGUUACUUUGAUACUUUAAUUCAAAUCAUGAGGAAAUUAUCUAUAACUUUUAAAAUUAUAAGAAGGUUAUGUACAAAAAAAAUACUAAAUUAUAGGGGGAUAAAAUGUAAUUAGCCUGUAUGCAGCAUCCCGCCCUUUUCCUGUCACUGGAUUGGGAGGACUGUAGUAUGAAAGGCUGCAAGCAACUGUAGUACAAUACUACUACUUCAUCAUUGUUAGCUAGUGUUAUUAUUGAUUUGGUAGUAGUAUUCCUGUCACUUUUGCUGCAUUAAAUAACCUUAUUAAUCAAUUGUCACUUGCGAGAAAGCUUGAUAAAAAAAAAAAUCAUCUCCUAAAAUAAGUUGGCUGUGACAGGAAUGGGAGAGGGGUAAUGACAAUCGUUAGUAGAAUCGUUUCGAAACGAUGUAAAAGUGAAUCAACAGGCAAGUUAUCAAAUAUUUGUAAUAAACUCUUAAAACACACAUGUUAUAUACUUAAACUACUGUUCACGACGACCCUCCAAGUUAGCCAACCUUUACAACAUGAAUUUUUAUGUUAUUGGAAUCUGAGUCAUGAACCUUCCGGAACGUUCAUCAAUCUAACAAAAACACUUGCCUUGUUGUAAAGUAAACUAGAAAAAUUGCCGAAUAAUAAACUAAAUACCAUCCGUUAGCCAACCACAAGUGAUUCUUAGACUGUUUAUUCCAACAAAUUGCCGAAUAAUGAUAUAAUGAAGUAUGUAACUACUUUUUGCUGCUGUUUAAGGGAUUCAGAUUUUCUAGUGUCGGCAGUGUACACUUAGUGGUGGCUGCACUUAGUGGUAGCUGAUGAGUAGGUUUUGAAAUUAGAAAGAUAGAUUGAAUAGAUGAUACAUGUUUUCAUCGAGUGAUAAAAUUUACUAUGUAUUCUGUAGUUAUUGUUGUAGUAUCUAUUUACAUAUUUUGUCUUUAACAUUUAAUAUUUACGUCAAUUAUAUUCUGUAGUUGUUGUUGUAAUGAUUUCCACGAAGACUUCAAGUCAUCGUGAGCUAUUGUUCCGAAUUAACCCUUGAGGUUCUUGCGUGAAUAUGUUUGUACUGGAGAACGAAUAUGUAUAUCUAAUGGUGAUACAUAGGACAACUGAACGAAAAAUACUCAGAAACAAAACCAUGAUCUUCGCGCUAUAUAACAUAUGUUUUGCUGAAGAACAGACAGAAAUUCAAAAUCAAACCCGUACGAUUGAGCUUCAUGCGACAAUUUUAUUUAAUGUGGGCAUGGAUAACCAACCCAUUGUUUAUUUAUUUACCAUUUUCGUCUCCGGCAUUAACAAGCAGGAGUACAUUUGAUUUCAUCCCUCCUUCAGUAGAUAGCGAUCGAGAGGAAGGAACUGAUCAGGCAGCACGAGCAUAGGACCGUAGCAGGGAUUGGAAAUUUACCUCGUGAUGAAGGUAGGGGAAAACCAUGAUGCCUCCAUAAACAGGAGAGUUCUGCAGAUAGGGAAGAACAUAAUAAACUAGCACAUUAGGUGGGAUGUAACCGCCCUCAGGUGCGAUAUCUUUUGAGAUAGGUAUUCCCAGGAACAAUAGAUUAACGCCUGGAUAAUCAGACCAAUUGUCCCAGCUCCGGAAGAGGAGACUGGUAUCGUUUGGAGGCUUAAACUGACAAGAUGGGUUGUCGAAAAAUUCCACCCGCACCUGAUCAACGACACCAGUUCUGAUAGUUGUGUCAAGAGCAGGGUCAGGAAUAGGACAUUCCGCAGCUACGGCUAAGAUGACAUUUGGGUAUCCCUUAAGUGCCCGAGCAAGAUCAUCCAAGUAAGUCGUGUUUCCGCUGUGGAUGUGAAGCUCUACGCCAUCUAAAACAGCUGUGCCGAAUGGACGGUCGCUUGAUUCACCGCCUAAGUAAGUGUUCCAGACAAAGGCUGCCACUUCUUGCGCAUCUUCGACGGAAGAAAGCCUCGGUUGUCCUGCGAGAGAAAUAAACACUUUGGUCUGAUGUUUCUGGCAAGAUUCUAUGUCUGAUGAGCUCGGCAAAGGAUGAAUUAUGUUCAAUUCAGGCAUCUGGCCGCUGCCAAAAUCUUCCAGAAAGGCAAUAUUCACGUCGGUAGCGAAUUCUCGCCUGCAGAACUCAGCCAAACUUGAUGGUUCUUUAUGGCCUCGGCCCCAGUAUUGGACAAUUCCGGCAGCUUCGGAGGACCCAAUCAGAGAAGCAAUCAACAGGAAUGUUAUUGCUGAGAACAGUGGUUGCAAAGAGGCAGCCAUUUUUUUUCUCUUUCUUUUCAGUGAUUUUUGCAGCUUUGCUUUGGUGAGUUCACUUGCACAAUGACUGACCAUUUUAUAGAUGAGUUUAUCUCAAGUGGAUGUUCAGCAUCUAGAAUAUCCAAACAUCCGUACAACAAAACGUGAAUGGCACGAUUUCUCAUUUCUGCUCUCAAAAAGGUGAAUGGUAUUAUUUUUGUGUUUCAAUAUUGCUAGAGACUACCGUUGUGCUCGCCUAACCUCAUCCACAACUGGACGAAGAAAGAUCUUUUUCUUUCUUUUUUUUUUCUUUUGGGACAUUACAUGGCAGCUAGGGGGGGGGGGAGUGGAUCCUUGAGAUUAAUGGGAAUUGAAUCAUCAUUGAAUUAGACGAGUGGUCCAAACAUCCUCUAAAUUUUAGAAGAAAUUGCAUAUCAAAUGAUAAUUGAUGAAAGAUAAAAUUCGAACCUCGAUAAGAGAAAACUAGGAGUCUUGUUUGAAAUGUAAAAUUUUCAUGAACAUUCUUGAAGUAAAAAGAGUGCUCAAGUAGCCUACGAAAUCCUUCAACUAUGGUACAAUAAAGUGAAAUGGGUGCCUUUCAAUGUGCAAUAAUGGUAGGGGCAACUAUUCUUCUAACUGCUGCUUCAAAUGCAAUUUUUAAUUUACACUUUUUACCAUCUCUCUAUAUCUUUAAAAAUUAAAGUAACCUGCACAACAUGCCCUUACUAUGUGCACAAAUAUUCAUACCGAUGUGCAAAACUUUGGAAUGGUCCUAGUUGUAUAUAUUAGUAAUAGUAGAAAUGUAAAGUUCAAUACUUCCACCUCAAAAGUAACUGCAAAAUAUGUCAGUUGGAAUGAUCCCAUUUAAAGUUCAGAUCACCCCUUAUUUAAUUAUGUUAAGUUCUUAAUAUUUUCCCAUUCAAUCCUUCAUUCAACAGCGGUGAUGGUGCUGUGACGUUUGGUCUUAAGCAAGAAAAUUUUUUUCCUCGCCCUCAGUGUGAAUGUGACUCUCAUAUAUAAAUAAUCUCAUAGCAAAACAUGUUCUUACUGAUCGCAGAAGUGAAGCUUGUACACAGGAAUGUAUAGAUUCCAGUUACAUCCAACUAAUCACUGUUUAAGCAUACGAAUUAGCCAUCACGGGCUAAGACACAGAGGCAAUUCCAGUUGGUUCUAGAUAAAGGGAUCUUCCUCUAACCUGCUGUCACAUCCUUUACAGGAGCCAAGACAGCAGGAACUAUGUCCACAGCCGAGAUAUGUCUCUGCUGAAACAUAGCCAAAUUCCUUGCUGUCCAUAGCUAGUAUAGGCUCAAAACCCUCUUCUCUUUCUUUGCUUCUUAAAUUCCACCCUUCAAUCCUAUGCUACUCAUCCUAUUUUUUAAGAAUUUUAAUUUAUUUAUUUUUUAAAAAAAUUGAUUCAUGUCUUCUGUUUGGAUCCAUGUCUUUGCUGCUUUUAAUUCCUUAAUUUAACGUAGCCCCAAACACGGCAUAUAAUAGUCACUCUCUUAAUAAAUGCAAUUAAUUAAUCAUACCAAAUAUAACGUUUGGAUUAGGUAUUGUAGCACACCUUAGUUUUAUUCUGUUCCCUAUUUUACUUAGUUUCAAACAUGCCCUAUAAUAAUCAACCCUCUAAUGAUGCAAUUAAAUAAAUAUACCAAAAAUAUCUAUACAUAUUUGAAACUAAACAUAAUUGUAUCCAUAACAAUCAAUAUAAAAAAUUAACUAAAAAACAAUCUUUGACUAACAUAAACUAAUAAUCUAAGUUCUUGUCCUCCAAAGAAAUAACAAUAUUCCAAAUCAUAUAAGUUGAACAGCUUAGCAAAUUAGCAAAAUUGACUAACAAACACAACACAAGGUUACAAAAUAUUCAACAUUUCUGUAUUCUUUUUCUAACUAAAAUUUACAAAUCAUACCCAAAAAAAGAACUAAUCUAAGUUCCUAUCCUCUAAAGAUAUAACAAGAUUCCAAAUCAUAUAGUUGAACAAUUUACCGAAUUAGCAAAAUUGACUAAAAAAAUACAAAAAGAGAACAACAAAAUUUUCAAUAUAUUUUGUAGUGCUUUCCUAAAUAAAAUUUAAAAAUCAUACCCAAAACAUAAAAAAAAAUGAAAUAUACUUAUCAGAUACUUCAAUUAUUAGAAUCAUCAUGCACAGAAAAUAAAAAAAAAUAGCUCUAAAUUUCAGCCCAGACCUAGAUCUAAAAUUGGACCUGAAUUAUAUAUAAUCGGACAUUAUUCAUGCUAUUAGAAUUGAUAGAUUUUGUUCGAGCAUAAAAAUGAAAUAUAAUAUUUUUACCUAUUCUUUUGUUACACAAUCAAAAUUAAAAUUAUGUUAUAGUUAUGACUAAAAGAAAUGGAGAAGUAUAUUUUGCAACUACUUAAACUUUUUAUUUAAACUAAAGACAUAUUGAAACUAGGAAAAUUAGUUUAGAAAAGAUAAUAUGAAAAUAAUGCACAAAAUUUGGCUCUAUAGAUGUAGCAUCUACAGAAAGGACGAUUUGCAUUUAGGGGUUGCGGGGAUAUGGAAAAGUAGCAUGGAAUGGGGUUGAUGCAAGGUAGAGUAUGAGGACAAGGGAAGAAGGAAGUAGGAAAGUGGUGAUGUGGGGGGUCGUAGGAAAAGUUAAAGGAAGCUAAAUUUACGCAAUGAUACUAAACUACUUAAAGUUUGAAAUUCCAAUUGAAAAUAUUAAUAUUAUGAAAAUUAGUUUAGGAACGACAAUUCACAAAAAUUACACAAAGUAUGGCUCCAUUUUGAUGGGUUACUUUUAGAAAACUUUCAUAAUGGGAAUAUUCUUUUAAAAUCUUUAUAUGCAGUAUUUUUUGGGUCUUUUUUGAAAAUUUUUGGUAUGUUUUCAUUGAUGGCAUUGAGUAUACUUAAAAAUGGUAGGUAAGUAAUAAAAUGAGUCUCGGGAAUAGAAAAAGAUAGUUGGCAAUGGGAGUGUAGGUAGCAAUUGGUAAAGAUUUAAGUUGACUAAGUUUACUUAACAAUAUUAAAUUUACUAUGAAUUAAUCCUAUAUACACUGAUAGUGUAUACGCUAUCAUUAUUAGAUAAAUGAUAUAUGUGCAAAAUUUGAAUUUAAAAUUCAAAAUUUACUCAUAUGUCAUCCAUUCAAUCGUGAUAGUGUAUAUAAAAUUUAUUCAUUUAAGUUAUAGAAAUAUUAGAUUUACAUUUUAUUAUCACUUUAUGAGAUUAAAUUUACUUAACAAUAAAAUUUACUUAACGAUAUUAGUUUCAUAUUUCUAUUUUACCUAUUAAAUUUACUUAAUAAUAUUGCUGUAAGUCCUAGAGCUGUUAAUUGAGUCGAGUAUUUGGCUGCCGAGCUCGACUCAAGUUUAAUUCAAGUCGAGCUCGACUCGAGCUCGUUAGGAAAACGAGUUUUAAAAUGUGUUCGAAUUCGAGUCGUUAAAUGUACAUGUGGCUCGACCAAUUUUUAUAUCACUCGUGUCCUCAUCAAAAUGGGUGCCCGUCAAAAAAAAGUCUCUGCGUGAUGCAGAGAACCUCUGCGUAAGUGUAGACUUUUCACAAUUCCACGUGUAUGGAAUUUUUUAGACAUCGACCGUACAGACGUGGAUUGGUUUGAUACAGUCAGGGAUUUAAAGGUCAAAUAUCAUUUGGAAUGAACGGUUCCUGUAGCUGAUAGGAGGACACGCCUCCCAAGGGAGAUUUCCUCAUACGGAAUAUCUUUCAUUUUCCAUGGCGGAUUGAGACUUCCAUCGUCCACUUGUCCCCACCUUACCCGUCGCCAAGUUUUUCCACACAACUAAUCAUUCCGAUAUCUUUAAUUGAAUGGGGAUAUCUUUUGCAUUUGUCUUUUGUGCUGUUACGUAUAAAAUAGUCGAGUUGAGUUAUUAAAGUUUUUUAUUUUAAAUGAAAGUUUUAAUUGUGCUGUGUAUUUCUGGAUUUUAAUAUAUGUUUUUAUUUGUCAUUAAAGCAAUAAUUCGUUAAUGAAUUAUGUUUUAUUAUGAAAAAAAAAGAGAAUAGAUACGUCAAAUAAUCUACUGAGCACCUAGUAGUAAGUAAUACAAUAAAUAUUGUUGAAGAUCUGCACUCUUGAUUGGCCUAUCUGUGUUGCAUUUCCUGACCAAACUGUAAUUGAUGGAAUUUAGAUCCGAUCAAGGAUUACUCGACAUAAAGGAGAAUAAUUGCAAGAUCAUUUGCUUAGCAAAGUAUGUGGAUCCCACUCCGUACGUUUUGUCGGCUUACUCUUGGAAAUGGACUAUUCCAUCCAACCGGCUUUUACCCGAGAGGUAAUUCUGACAUCAUUUCACAUAUUUUCUGGGAAAAUUUUUAAGUGGUUGCUUUUUUUUUUUUUUUGAUUGAAACGAUAGAAUUAAGUGGUUGUCAUUCUAUCAACAAUUUUCUAUAGACAUAGAUAAAUGAUGCUUUAUCUGAACUUUUUUUUUCCAGUAAUAAUACAUUGUAUAAUCUACUUUAUCCUAAUUUAAAAAGAAGGAAAGCCUAAAGAGGUUUGUGUUAGAGGUUAGUAGGUAUAUAAACUCAACUAAACUAAGAAAGUGUUAUGACACUACCCUUACAUUUUUUUUUACUGUCAAUAAAGUUUGAACCCUUGCCUACAGUCCAAAAGGGACUUAAGUCCAUAAGCUCAGUGGCUUGAAGCUUCAUCUGAACUUAGCUUUUGUGAAUAUUAUUCGUGUCACGUGACUGCAUUGGAUAAGCUUAUUAUCAACUGCCACUUGUACUAACUGACAAGCUCUUAUGUAGUUGAGAGAGAGCCUGAUAAAUAAAUUAAAGUGACGGUCAUGGUAAAUUUCUUCUCAUGAUCCGUGAAUGGAGUUAAUUGUUGCUGAAAUACUCUCUCCGUUCCACUUUGAUAGUUCUGUAUUUCUUUUUUAUCUAUCCCAAAUUAUAGUUCACUUUCUAAUUGAAGAAUGUAAUUGUAUUUUAAUUUUCCUAAAAUAUUCUUAUUUAAUGUAAGUAGUUGUUACUAUAAACCUAUCUCAUUUAAUGAGAGUUGAUUCUUUUUUUACCAUCAAUUUAAGUUUUCAUAAAAUUAUACCAUAUUUAAUGUGGGGGUAUUUUAGAAAAAUAGCAAUUUAAAUUUACUUUUCCAACAAAGUUAACUACAUUUUCUUAAACUGUGUGAAAAAAGAAACAGGACUAUCAAAAUGGAACGGAGGUUGCAGGAAAAAGGGGCGGGAAUGAUUGUCAACAGAACCUUUCUUGAACGGUGUAAAAGCGGUUCAACGAGUUGCGUUAAUUCGCCAUCAGCUUGCAAACCCUUAGAAUAUAAUGUUAGCUACUGUUCAUAUUGUCCCGUACUGCCAUGCUUCAUAUUGAGUCAUUACGAAUAAAAGCCCUAACGUUUCAAUGUCUGGACUAAGUAUAUAAAGUGAUAAAGUAAGAACCAAAAUCUAUCAAGCGUAUUAUCAUUCUACUAACAAGAACUGGACUUGAUUAAUGAUAAUUAUAAUGCCAUAGCUUUCAACUGGUUCCAAGUGAGAACUUACAAAAAGUAGUUCAACUCAAUGACAGCUCCUGUACUAAUACUUGUCACCAAUCCAUAAGCCCUGACGUCACAAAGAGGAAAAGUAAAAGGCAAAUAAGUAGCAACUCGAAUCCGAACUCGAGUUGAGCUCGGUCAAUAUCAAAUUCGAAUUGACCAAAUCGAACUCAAAUUUGAAAAUAUUUAAUUUGUUAGCUCGCGAGCCAACUCGAUUAUAUAAAUAUAUAUAUUAUUUUUUAUUUUAUUAGUAAAAUAUUAUAUAUAUAUCACUAAUAUUUUAUUAUUUAUUAAGAAAAAUUAUUAUUUUAUUUAUUUUUAAAAAUAAAAUAAUUUUUUUUAUUUUUUUAAGCUCGACCUUGAGUUGAAACUCGACUCGAACUUUACAUUUUGAGUUCGUUGAACUCAAAUUCGAGUUUGCGUUUCAUAAAAUUAAAUUGUGAUUCAAUUCGAUUAGGUCAAAACUCGACUCGACUUGACUUGUCCCGUUUCGUUUGCACCCGGAAGGAAGGACCUUAGUAGUGAUUCCUAUCAAUUUCUUUGAUUUAAGGUUUCAGUUCUGCCUGGGAAAAGGUGAAGAGGCACCACUAGCAUGGCUGUAGACCUAGUAGCUACAAUAAAGGCAUCAAGUUGCCCCGCCAAAAUCCGGCCAACCUCCAUCGCCAAUUAACCAAAAGAUAUUUUUAUCAUAGCUAAUAUUUGAGAAUAGGCAAUAAGGGAUAACCUAAGAUUAGUAAGUAGAUUUUUGACUAAAGGAGGAGAAGGCAUUUGGAGAGGUAGGCAUGCUUUUUUUUUUUUGUCGGUAACGGUAGAUAUCUUAUAACCUAAUCUAGGCUAAUCUAGGGGAGAGGGGUAAGGGGAGAUGGUCAAUUAAAAUCAGCCACAUAUUGUGGUAAAAUUUGAAAGAGAUAGGGAUAGAAUUCCUAACCUCCAAUAUCACCAAAGAGGGUGAUGAUCACUGGACCAAAUGACCGUGACAUUUGGAGAGGUAGCAUGCAGUUGAGCAACUUUAAGAAAAUGCUCGAGAUGAGGAAGACGAAGAGAGGCGAAAUUUCCUAGCUAGGGGAGAAUCGAUCGGGUGGCUUCAACCUUAUUGGUCCAUGAAUUUCUUUGACCCAUGGCCCUUCACGCGGUGUCUUCGUACGUCUCGCACUGGUACUAGACUACUAGGUUGUUUAUCGGCCGAUAAUUUGAUUAAAAAUUCAAUUUUUUUUUUCAAUUUUUUCAACAAUGUCAACAUCCAAUUACCGUUCAAACUUUUAUUUAGUAAUUGGAUAUUGCAAAUUGGAUUACGACCGAAUAAUUAGUAUUUCAGUAAAAUAUCCAAAGUUUUAGAUUGAUUUUCUAAUAUAUAUUAGUUAAGUAUAUUUAAUAUGUAAUUAAUAAUGUAAAAGGUUAUUAAUAUGUUCAUUAAUAUGGUUUUAAGGUCAUAUAUUUGUCUAUAAACAUAUAUUAUAACUUAUAACACUAUUGAUUGAUACAUCAAUAUGCAAUAUGAUAUAUUAAUAGGCAUGAAAUAUAUAAAAUAUUUAAUUAAAAUAUGAAAUUCGGUAACUCAGUCGGUGGUAAUCGAAAAUUCGAGAAUCGAAAUUCAAUAUCAAAUGACAAACUGUUUUGCCAAAAUUUAAAAUUGGAUCUUAAUCGGUUUUUCCAAAUUUCAUUUUACCGACAUCCGAUUUUCGAUCUAAAUUGAAUCAAUUGAUUAUUCGAUUUUUCUUUUUUUUUUUUUUUGGAAGUGCGAGCACCCUUAGCUCGCUGGUACCGGGGUAGCCAGCCAAAUUACAAUUGACCAGCUGAAUUGACAAAUCCUGAAAUCCAAUUCCAGUCUCUUUCUCGUCUUUAUAGCAGUCUAUCGCAAAAGAUUUCUCGUCUUUAUUGUUCCGUGCUUCAACCGGUAAACUUAGACGGCGAUGGGUAUCUAUUUGGGCAGGGAAACACCAUGCAUUUAGGUGUCACUGCAUGACGUGCAGGAAAAGUUAUCGUGCGGGCCAUGACUUGAACUCAUCGUGCUCACUAGCUAUUGGCUACUGCAUCAAACACGUACCCCAAAAAGGAACAAGAGAAAAAGGGUAUCCAAUGGAGCAUUUCUUUCCUUUAGUAGUUUCUAGCUAAUUACUUUUCUUUUCAUCAGCCAAAUUCAAUUAGGUGAGAUGAUUCCUCGAAACUACUGAGCCAAGCUCAGGGGCCACCCACUUUAAGUGAUUCCGAGACAGGUAAAUAAUGCGUUCGUAGUCUAGGUCAACGGUGAUUCAAUUUUUAUCGAUUUUUUUGGACUAUUUUAGAUUCCUCUCCUAAUAUAAAAUAAAUAUAAAUCUAUCAUAUCCGAAAAAAAAAAAGAGAUGCUUCCUCGAAGUUUAAUAGUAAAAAAAAGUGGACAAUAGUAGAAACCCAAAGUUUCACAAUCUUUCAUUUUUUUUGGUUCUGGGGGUUUGGCUGUAUGUUACGUGUGUCGUCGUAUCAAAAUUAUACCAUAGUGAUUUAUCAUUUUGAUCGACGGGACAAAAUGAUAUUUUAUUAGGAGAAUGUUAUAAUCAAGUAAAUAGUAGAACUCCCAUCCCUAAGUGUCUAAUUAAUACAGACACAAACGGAGGUGUGAUUGUAAUCUAGAAACUAAACCAUAUACCACAUAAGCGGAGCAAGUGGAAUCUACUAUUCACCCUCUUUUUUUUUUCAAAAACGAAAAAGAAGAAAAAAAAAACUUGUUUGUUUAAGGGUGUAAUUGUAGUUUAAUAUGAGUUUCAAUUUUUCCCCCAAAAAACUAAUUCUGUCCCUCAUGUGUAGAUCAUUGUAUUGUCAUAAAAAAAAAAUAGUUUAUUUCCUUAUCUUAUAAAUCAUAACCUAUCAAGUUUUGCAUAUUGCUGGCCAAAAUUAAUUUUUUUUUUAUUAUUUGUUGAUAUUUUAUGAAACAUUCUCUCAUAUCCAACUAUAAACAAAACAGGAGGAGGAGUUGCGGUGUUAAAAUUUUGUGCCAUCUUUUACAUUACCUUUUUUGUUCUUACACUAGGGUAAAAUGGCCUAACCAUAUUCAAAAAUUACUUUUUCUAGUUUUAUGUGGAAUUUUUAGCUUUGUUGCUAAUCAUUAUAAUUAAAGGUAACUAAUGAAAAAUAACUACUCGUAUUUUCACCAAAGAUUAUAAAAACAAAAUUUUUUUCAACAUGUAAAACUGAUUUCUAGAAAACUACUUUUUACAACUAAAAAUUAUAACUAGGUUAGGACUGAUUUUUUUGGAUCGUAAUGUAGGUAUCAAUAUCAAACUAAAUCCAAAUAAAAAUGAAUCAGUGUUUCCAUUUUAAUUUGUAUGUCACCAAGGAUUUCUCCCACAAGCACGCAAUGAUUUUCCACCAUGAUUUCAAAUUUGAAGACUUUUAAGUUGUCGUCGUGUUAAUAUCAACUUUGUAUAGUAUAGUGUAUAGUUCCUCCCUACUUCCUACAACACAGAACUACUUCCUCCCUACUUCCUCUCUACUGCUUUCUAGCUUUUCUGUCAAUAACUCUAUGAACUACUCAUUAAUGAUUUUUAAGUAUUUUUGAACCAUUGAUUAUGGUAGCUGGAUAAAUUCUUAUAGUCAUGUAAUGUUGAUAUACGUUGCAUCUCCUGGAUUAGUUUUCUACCUCCUUCACCAUUGCAAGAAGUAAUGAUUUGGCAAUUUGUAUAUUUCAGACUAGACAGACUUGACUUUAAUUUCCAUAUAUCUUUUUCUUGUUAUAAAUAUUGAACUUUAAUUUUUUUCUGAAAUUGCAAAGAGAAAACUACAUUUCUCUAUUUUUUUAAUAUUGCCACAAAAUCUGUAGAUUAUUAUUGAACAAUAUAAAAGAAAUAAAAUAAACUAACUUAAAGCUAACAUAUAUGUGCCACAAAUAAUUUUACAGCCAAGAUAGAGGUUGAUGGUAUGUGAUAAGAAGCCCUUUCCAGAUACGCCUUCCAGGAGAGAAUUGAAGUAAUGGGAACGAAGUUAAAUUGGCAUUGUAUCUACUGAUGGAACUGUUAGAAUCGCGUCACAAUCACUACCAGUAACUCAGCCUAUGAUUUGUUGUUCCUCGAAAAUUGUUAUCCAUAUUAAAGUUCGAAAAACAAUUUAACCAAAUCGUAUGGAGUACUAUUCAUCCAUUUUUUUGGUCUUUACUUUAACAGCACAACUUAGAGACAUUAUUGAGUUUCUGCAAAUUCUUUUGUCAAAAAUGGCCCAAGGAUGAUUUUUAUUUGAAAACUACAAUAUUUUUGGUCUCUUAGCUUUUCAAAUUGUCUAAAAUAAUGCUAGAUUUCUGCUCUAGAAUACUAAUUUAGUCUUUCAAUUGUCAACUAUUGCACUGAAUUUUCACUUAUUUAGGAGGUGGCUGGGGAGAGGGGAGGAGAGCGAAGAGGGAGAAGGAGGAGUGGAGAGGAGAGAGAGUUAGGGAGGAAGGGAGGGAGUAAGAAGGGGAAAAAAAAAAAGAGGACUCCGCCGGCUACCGCGAGCAGUGGGGAGGGAAGGAGGAGGAAAAUCAAUGAGGUGGAGGAUAUGAAGAGGAAAGGAAAGAAAAGAAAAAGAAAAAAGAGGAAAACUUUUACACAUUUAAAUAAGUUUUUUAUUUUAACAAAUUUUACAGUAAGAUACAGUAAAAUUAUAUACAAACAUACAAAAAAUUCAUUCGCUAAAUAGGGCCUACAUAACACACAACCUGGUAGUACCAAUCACUAUUUCAGUACACAAAUAAUCAAGAGUUAAAACACACAUGAGGCAAGCCAAGCUCCCAAGCCAAUUCGCAGCUGGUUCUAGUCAAAGGGAUCUUCCUCUAACCUGCUACCACAUCCCUCGCAGAAGCCAACACAGAGAAAGUAUGUCCAUAGCCGAGACGUGUCUAUGCUGAAACAUAGCCAAAUUCCUUGAUCUCCUUAGCUAGUAUGCCACAAUUUUUGAGAGAGAGAGAAUUAUAUUUGGAAGUGACUGAAUUCCAAGAUUACAUGCAUCUAUCAGAAACUAAUAUUGUUUUGUGGAUACGAAAUUCAAAAAUCUAAAGAAGUAGGUCAUCUUUGAAUAAUAAAAACUAAAGGGCAUCCACACUUUACAUAUGAUUUAGACUAAAUAAUAAUAAUUUGCCAUAAUCAACACGUUGGAUGAUGCAAUUGGACGUUCAAAAAGAAUCAAAGAUCAAGCGCAAACGUGUUGGUACUAUAUUAUGAAUUGGUUUAACAUUAAUUUGCCUGUAACCUCCUAUAGAACUCACCAAACUAAGCAUAAAUGCAUGGGGCCCAAGCACUAAUUAUUUGAGCAAGAUUAUUUCCCACUUUGUGUGACGACAAAAAGAAUGUGGGAAGUUCUGUAGUCAUGUGAUAUAGAUCAAGGUAGCAUCUUCCAAGGAGCACUUCCUGAGUUCCUGUGGCCGAUACAAAUACAACGUUGUUGAACUAAUCCCCAAAGGACCUCUUCGUGUUGUCGGUUUUGCCAAUGUCUCGUCUGUAUCACCUGUUUACCUCCAUUCAUGUAUAGUUGCCAUUGUGUUCGUUCUAUGCAUAUAUCCUGUUGUUUGGUUUAAGAUUCCUCAACUCGAGGUAGGAAUUGGGAAUCCCUUUUUGUUUGGAAGGCAAAUAUUUUCCAGAAAAUGUUUUCCUGAUUUUCCAUUGUUUGAUUGGGUUAUUGCUUGCGAAAAUUUUCCACAUAAAUGAACUGAAAUUAUUUUUCAUGUCCGACUUGUAAGGCUAUUCAUUCAUGCUCCCUUCUUUGCUGUUUUCUCUCUUUUUUUUUUCUCUGUCUCUGUCUUUCUUUCUCUCAGAUACACAGUGUUAGGAAAUUGGCUUAAAUUCUUUUAGGUAGAUUUCUUAUUUGGUGUGGGAAGUGACUAGUUUCCUAAUUGGAUUUAGUUACUUGAAGUAGUAGUCAAGUAAAGCCCUAUUUAGCAGAAAUUAGAUGCUAUUUCUAUAUGAGUUUAGGAAAUAGUAUUGGUUUCCAAAUUGUUAUUUGGUUUUUUGGCAGUAAUGUUCCCUAUAAAUAGGUGGGUUGGCAUACUACACACACAAGAAGACACGCAAAAGAAGACACAAGGGGCCUCAUGUAGCCUUAUACAUGGGGUGUGAGAGAGGGUUCUUGGGAGAUGAGAGAUGGUAUACAAGGGUUGGGUUUGGGUUCAAAUUGUAUUCUUGUAUAGGGUUUUUCUCUCAUAAUAAAGAACAGGUUUCUCUCCUUGGAUGUAGGCUCAAUGGUGGAGCCGAACCACGUUAAAUAUUGUGUGUCGUUUAUCUUUCAUGCUUGUGGCUUGUUUCUCAUUAAAUUGUUGUGCAUUUGAUAUCUCAAUAGUUGUUUAUUCCGCAUCUGGAUCCCAACAAGUGGUAUCAGAGCCAGGUUGCGAGACUUGACUGCUCAAGGUUCAUAGUUGGAUCCUAGUUAACUAUUGAGAUCAAGUGGAUUGAUAGUUGUCACCAAUUGAACAAUUUAAUGGGUGGUAUCCUUGUUUCAAUGGCUUGGGAAAAACCAUUGAUGGUGAAGGAUGGGAAGUCGAAAAGCAUGGAAAUGCUUGACAGUGAAUCUAAGCAGGUGAUUCAAGGGUCAAGGAAAAGGUGGAGUCCAAUGUUGAUUUUGGACGUGAAUCGGUGGAGACUUUCUCACAUAUCCAACGGUUGAUUCUUCAUCCCGGUGAAUUUUAGAUUUUGGUUAUGUUUUUUGGGUGGUGUGGCACGUGUCCCAAAGAAAUAAGGAGAUCUAAUUUCUAUGCGCCAGAAGACUCUGACAAGUACGAGUUUUUCGUUUUAGGUGGAGUCUUGAAAACCACAUGUGGCGAGACAGUCCUGAGAAUGGGAAGAAGUAUGGUGACUUUACCACUUGAUUGUCUCAAUGGUUAGGGUUAGAGCUCACAGAAGGGAAUCCCAGAUUGCAAGUGCUGAUGAGAAGAAAUCCUGCAAAGGGAGACGGUGAAUUGAGGCACCUUCUCACGAGUCAACUGGAGGUUGGACUCGGGGUAACUACACAUGUUCAUUUGCCGAUUGAAUCAAUUUGGUAUCAGGACUGUAUUGAUUCGGAUGUGUAGUUUGGUACCAUAUUAUUUGGUAGUUGAAGGCAAAUGGUUUCUAAAAGAAAUUUUCGCCAAGGUGGAGAUUUGUUAGGAAAUUGGCUUAAAUUCUUUUAGGUAGAUUUCUUAUUUGGUGUGGGAAGUGACUAGUUUCCUAAUUGGAUUUAGUUACUUGAAGUAGUAGUCAAGUAAAGCCCUAUUUAGCAGGAAUUAGAUGCUAUUUCUAUAUGAGUUUAGGAAAUAGUAUUGGUUUCCAAAUUGUUAUUUGAUUUUUUGGCAGUAAUGUUCCCUAUAAAUAGGUGGGUUGGCAUACUACACACACAAGAAGACACACAAAAGAAGACACAAGGGGCCUCAUGUAGCCUUAUACAUGGGGUGUGAGAGAGGGUUCUUGGGAGAUGAGAGAUGGUAUACAAGGGUUGGGUUUGGGUUCAAAUUGUAUUCUUGUAUAGGGUUUUUCUCUCAUAAUAAAGAACAGGUUUCUCUCCGUGGAUGUAGGCUCAAUGGUGGAGCCGAACCACGUUAAAUAUUGUGUGUCGUUUAUCUUUCAUGCUUGUGGCUUGUUUCUCAUUAAAUUGUUGUGCAUUUGAUAUCUCAAUAGUUGUUUAUUCCGCAUCUGGAUCCCAACACACAGAUCAUACGCACUUAGGGGGAGAUCUAGACUUGAAAUUGAAAGGGGCUAUAGGGAGAUCGUGAAGGAUGCUAGAGAAAGUUUUGAUGUAUGAAAAUGAAAUGAAGUUGUUAAUUUUGUGCUAACAUACUGUAAAUUUGAGGUAUGUUCACGUUCAAUGGACAUUAACUGUUACCGUUUGAAUUGCUAUUUUCUGGAACCUUUUUUUUUUAUAAAAAAUAUACUAUAGUGAUUUUGAUAUAUGUAAAAUAAAAAAAUAAUUGAAAAAUAUGAUCACGAAAAACGUAAAAAUUUUUUGAGGAAAAAUGGCUUUUCCAAACAAUUGCUGAAACUUUUUUGAGGUGUUGAUUAUGGUGGAAGAACGGUGGCUUUUAGGUAAGAGCCUGAGAUUUGGUAUGGGCUUGUGAACUAAAGGGUAUCUUAACUGCUUGAAGAAGAGUAAGUUCUGACAGUGGAUCCCUCAAGAAUUUGUCAUCCAUAAGUUAAUAAUUAUCAACCAACGUACAUAGUAGUUAACAAAAUAUACCUGUUCUUGUUCUCAGGUUUUCACUUUUCGGCAUAAGAAACCCACAAAAACACUACAAAUUUGUAGCAAACAGUACUGGGACGGAGAGUGGAUUAAUCCGGAGAAGAGAAGGGGGCGUCGGCAAUCCUGUGUUUUAAAACUCGGACCGGACUGGCCGGUUCGACUGGUCGAACCAGGAAGUCGAACUCGGAACCGGACAAGUGUUCAGUCCGAGUCAUGUUUAAAAACCAGGUAAGUAAAAAAUCGGUCAAAAUCCGGGUUUGACCGGAAAAAACCGGAUUUUCCGGUUCAAACAGUUUUUUUUUUUUAAAAUAAACUUUUUUAAUAUUAUGUUUUGACCCCUAGAUUGUUAAAAAUUAUUAAUAUACCUCAAAUAUUUCAUACUUUAUCAAUAUUUUCUUAAAGUUUGGUAUUGUUUUUCAAUUAAGUCCAUAAUUUUAAUUCUAAACUUGUUAAUGCUCAUUAAAUAAUAUAAAUUGUUAAUUGAUUGUUCUAAUUUCUUUGUAUUUUCUUGUUCAAUAUAUUUAAAUUAUCAAAUAUAUAUGAAUAUACCUUUAUUAAUAUUAACAUGUUAUUAGGUAUUUUAUAUAUAAUAUUUUAAUUUUUAAAUAAUUUUUAUUUAUGACGUCAUCCGAUUCAACCCCUAUUGAACCCGAUUGAAUCCAUUGACCCCUGACCCCUAAGUUUGAUCGAGUCGAUACCUGGUUCGGUUCUGAAAACACAGCGGCAAUCACCUGGACUUGGUUCAUAUUACACGCCCUGCUGUUUUGCUAAAUCAGUGUGUGAUGGAAUAAUCAGGCCCCUCCCUCGACAGUUUCAUCUAUGGUAGAAAGCUGACUCAUGUGUGCAUGGUGGGAAGAGCAAAGGAAAUUUGGCCAAGACAUUAUUGUGGGGCUGGGCAGGAUGCAGCUAUUAAAUGAACUACUGGAUAUCGGGGUUGAUUAUGGGUCCCAUUGUAUUUCUAGGAGAAAUAAAAUGCAAGUCCCUCAACAACUCAUGGGCACUCAUUUGCACCCAAAAAAUUUGGCAUCAACCGGGGAGCAGCUCCCCAGGCCAAAUUGGUCAAAUGCAAUAAUCCUUGGAGAUAUGUGGAAAUGAAGUCAUGUGUACUCCAAUCUUAAACUAUAAAUGCUUACCUGAUGAAAAGUUAUAACUGUUUAAAUUUAAUUAUUAGUUGACUUAGAUGAGUAAUUAUAUGCAUAAAUAAUUAAAAGAAAUUAAUUUUAUAUAAAUUUAAUUUUUACAAAAAUAAAUUUAUUAUAAAUUUAUAGCAAUUUGGCAAUUACAAUACUUAGGGUAGUUAUAUUGGCAAAAUGUGAUUAAGUAAUUAGAGCAAAAAUUAAAAGGUUUUCCCUAAGGAUAAAAUUGAAAGUCUAGAAAAUGACAUUAAAAAGCUUACACUAACUGUGAUCCCUCUAACUUUUUAUAUUGCAUAGAUAGUGGCUUUUUAACUGGAAUCAAAAUUAUAGAUGAAUAAUUAGAAACAUAAUUAACAAAGUGUUACAAAAAAAAAAAAAACCAGAAUCGUGACAUAAUUAACGUGGUAGAUUUUAAUUUAAAUUUAGAAAUUAAAUAAGUAAUCUUAUACGCAACAUGGUGACUUUCAAAUCGAUAUCAAAUUUGUAGAUGAGUAAUUAUAAAUAUAAUUAACAUAGUACACCAAGAAACUAGAAUUGAGAUUAUAGAUAAAAUAAUCACAAACAUAAAUCACAUAAUACAAAAGUUUCAGAGAUUGAACGUUUGAACUAUUGAAAUAACUAGAUAGUUACCAACUUAAGUUCUAACUCCGCAACUAGUUGUAUUGGAUAACCAAUUAUAGUAAAAAUCAAAAUUUACUCUUAAAAGUAAGUGUUGAAUUAAAAGAUUUUGUUGUGAUAAGGAUUAUCUAAUGAGAGCAAAUCCAUUGAAACAAACAAGCAACGAUAUCUAGAUAAAUGUCAAUUACAAUCUCGUAUUCAAAUGAAUAUACAUAUCCAAACAAUGCACUUAACGAUAAAGUAAAGAGGUGAGACCCAACACAUUAUUUAAAACACAAACAUUGUUUAGAGUAGUUACACUAGUUAUAUUGGCAAAAUGUAAUUACGUAGUCAGAGCAAAAAUUGGUUUUUCUUUAAGGAUAAAAUAGAAAGUUUGAAAAAUGACAUAAAAAUGUUUACACUAACUACGAUCUCUCUAACUUUAUAUGUUGAAUAGAUAGUAGCUUUUUAAUUAGAAUCAAAAUUAUAGAUGAUUUAUUAGAAACAUAAUUAACAUAGUACUUCAAGAAACUAGAAUCGUGACAUAAUUGACCUAGUAGAUUUUAAUUUAAAUUUAGAAAUUAGAUAAGUAAUCUUAUAUGUAACAUGGUGACUUUUAAAUUAAUAUCGAAUUUGUAGAUGAGUAAUCAUAAACUUAAUUAACAUAGUACUUCAAGAAACUGGAAUUGAGAUUGUAGAUAAAAUAAUCAUAAAUUUUAGAAGAAAAUACUCUCCUUUUUGAAUAAUAAAAAAUUUAGAGUAGCAAGUAUUAAUCUCUUUUCCUUGGUAAUCUUAUUAAUAUUGAAAAAUAUAUAUAAAGAUUAGGAGGGGGAGUGGGAGUGAGAGAGAGAGAGAGAGAGAGACCUAGAAUGUGUCUUAUGCACUAAUAUAAUAUUAAGUACCAAUCAUUCAUUGACUUUUCUUUUUCUUUACUUACAAUUGAUUAUUAAUUCAUUUUGCAUACUCUCAAAACAUUAAGUUUAAAAAAAUUACUCAUGGUUUGGCGAUUGCAUCGCACAUUUCAUGAAUUUUCACAAAAAAAUGAUCUACACAAAUUAUGGCAUGCAUCUAGGUAAUUAGUGUAUACACUAUCAAUUUAAUUUAGAUUAGUCUUUUUUUAUACCAUCCAUCCAAUAUUUGGGAGCAUCACUAAGUGUUGUUAAUACACAUUUUUCAUCUUUUAAAUUCCUUUUGUAUCUUACUAUUAAGAGUAUUUAAUUUUUCCUCACAUAUAUAAAAAUUAUGGUUUCUUGAGUAGUUUUGUUAAUUAAUUAUUUACUAGUUACUCGCCCUCCUUUCUGUCCCUUUCUUUUUUUUAAGCACUUCAUUUGUAAAAUUUCAAUUAAUGUUAGUAAUUAGCAAAUAAGUAAAUACCGUACAAAAAUCAUCAUAUUAUAAAAAUUCUUUUACAAAUUAAAUUUCAAAUUCAAAAACCAAUUGUCAUGAAAAAAUACAUUUUUAAAUGACCAUAAAAUUAAUUACUUCUACAUACAUAGGGAAACUUAAUGCAACAAUGGUACGAAUUUAAGUGAUUCUUUGACUUUUGUUCUUUUAUUUAUUUAUUGCUUAAGUUUAUCAAUUAUUGAUCCAUUUUUCACUCUCUUAUAAUAUUCUACUUGUUUGGAUUGUAAGUUAUUUGGAAUAUUUUUACUGUAACACUUUUUAUGACGUGAUGUAUGUGAGAUAAAAAGCUAAUUGGGAAGAUAAAAAGAUAUAUUAAAAAUUAUAAUAAUGAUGUAAGCAAAUAAAAUUGAAAAAAUAAUACUUAAUCCAAACAAACCUUAUUAAGUUUAAAAGAGUUAGCAUCUAUACCAACCAAUUUAUAUCGAUAUUGUUGUCCACUACUUCAGGUAAUAUAAACUUUGCCGGUUACCUUUGGCCCUUGUCAUCUUAGCAAUAGUUGAUCUGACUUUCCACCAUAGAAGCAACCCUACCUCAACAAUAAUGGAAUUAGCUGCCACGCACGUACGUACCUAUGCAUGAAAACUGACUUCAUAGCUUUAUAGCUGUCCCCUCCGUGAAUAUGAAUAUGAAUCAGAAUCUGAAUCAGUCACUCAGGACUUUAUUAUCUCUGAACGAACGCCCAUAAACAGCCCCUGAAACACUAAAUUCUGGCAGCUGCUCUUUGUCGUGAUGCCAAAAAUGGUCCUUGGAACAUUAAUUACGUGAAACACUACAUUCUGGCAGCUGCAGCUCUAGCUCUCUGUCGAAGAUGCCAAAAAAAAUUAUCCUGGCCUACUUAAAUCAAUUUUGAACCAAUUAAUUUGCAUCAAAUUCCAUGACUUGCAUUUUUCUCUCGAUUUUUUUAUGAAACUCUUUAGAUUUAUUCCUCUCUUUGAAUAUAAAAUAAAUUUUAUCGUGUUUGAUAAAAAAAAUUUAAAUCAAUUUUGUUUUAACUCUCUGUCUAAUCUUCAAGGAUGCCGUGUCACGACUAUCGCUGUGCUUCCUCUCUCCUCUCCGCCAUGUCUGAACUCUGAAGUCUCAACUCCUCCUUUCCUCACUUUCAGUUUCAACCACAAGUCACAAGGCUUCAACAACCUACCACUCUCAUCUCCUCCUCCUCAUCAUCAGGCCUGAGAAUUCUUCCUUUUUUUUUUUUUUUUCCCUUAUCUUCUUUGUCCUCCAGAAGCCCACUUUAAUAUAUAUUUUUUUGGUAAGUAGCCCACUUUAAUUAGUAUUAUCCUCACGAUAAGUUAGAUGUUUGAACAGACCAUAUUAUUUUGGAAUGCAUUUUUAAAUUAAAGGAAUUAAAAUUAAAUCGAUGAUCUUACAUCAAAGAGAUUUGUCCCAAAAAUAUAUAUAUAUAUAUAUGGGAUGGGGAAGUCGAUUUGGCUUAUAGCAAUAAAAUACUCCUACAAACUUGUCGGUGGUUGGUUGAAAGUUGAAAUAUCUGGCAGAUAUAAUUUGCAGAUAUGUUUGUGUGUCCUCUGAGUGAGAAAGAGCAGGAGAAGGAUGGAGAAACAAUAGGAAGCAAAGUUGGAGGGCUGGGGACUAGCUAAGAUUGGUGGAGAAGGUGAUGAUGGUGUUCGGUAGUUGGCAAGGAUUGAGUUAAAGUGCAUUGUGGAGGAAGUCUCAACCAAUUUAUCGUGCUUCCUCUUUCCUCUCCGCCAUGUCUGAAGUCUCAACUCCUCCUUUCCUCACUUUCAGUUUCAACCACAAGUCACAAGGCUUCAACAACCUACUACUCACAAGGAGGUUGAUGUUUGAACAGACCAUAUUAUUUUGGAAUGCAUUUUUAAAUUAAAGGAAUUAAAAUUAAAUCGAUGAUCUUACAUCAAAGAGAUUUGUCCCAAAAUAUAUAUAUAUAUGGGAUGGCGAAGUCGAUUUGGCUUAUAGCAAUAAAAUACUCCUAAGAUUGGUGGAGAAGGUGAUGAUGGUGUUCGGUAGUUGGCAAGGAUUGAGUUUAAGUGCAUUGUGGAGGAAGGAACGAUCAUCAAAGUUUUCCGACUCCAAAUGGUGUCGUUUAGUUUUAAAGCGAAAACCUUGGGCAGGACGUUCUGUGUCCGUCCGUCCAAAUGGGGUGAAAGUUCUCGCGGGGUAUAAGCCUCACAAAUUUUUAUUUUUAAAUAUUUUAAAAAUAUAAAAAUACACACACAGACACACACAUAUAUAUACAUGUGUGUAUGUAUAAUAUUAAAAAUACCCAAAAAGAUAAAGAAAAAUUAUAACCUUACGUGACUAAAAUAAAACCUGCUUGUGUAACUAAUGUCAUCCCAUGAACAGAAACCCAACAAACCAUUGUAAAGUUCGAUGAUUAUUUGUAUAAAAAACUUGUUGUCAUCCUGCAAACUAAUGAUUACAGUUGCGAAAAUCCUUUUCUAGGUACCUGUGAGUUUUGACUAUCAAAGCAAGUGUCUUUCUCCUAUUUCUUUAGAGUAUCCUCAAUGUGAGGCACAAAGUCUUGCGAAAACUCUUUGUAUCACUAAAUUCCAAACUGAUAUCCAUGUUUGCCAACUUAAAUUUAUAGGCUGAUCUAAGAAAAGUUUUCAGAAAUUGCAAGUUCAGUUUGAGGGUUUCAACUUCUUUUAGGCAAGUGAAGGGAAAAUCCAGUUUGGAUGUUUUUCUGAAACUUUAAAAAAAGGGAAAAAGUACUGGGAUUUUAAAUGUAUAUAUUUUUUACGCCUCAAAAAAAAAAAAACUCCUUAUCAUUACUUCCUUAUCUAUAUCCUACUUUUCCAUUCUUUUUUUCAACAAUUAAUUAUCUUCCUUUUUUCACUUUCUUAGUUAUAGCAACUUUUAAUGAAUUGUAUAUGAGCCAUUCUAUGUAUGUAAAUUGUGUUCAUGAAUCAUCAAUAUCCGUCAAUAUUUCUACAAAUUUAUUGCACAAAAUGUUUACUACAAUUUUUUAGAUCUUCAAACUAAAUUCUUUUGCAUCUUCAAAAACAAAAUCUUUACUUUAAUUUUAUAAUUACCAAAAGUAAUUUUCAAAUUAACAGAAUCUUUCAACAAAUUAUUUGUACUCCCGCUGAAGUAACGGUUAAGAACUAGUACAAUUCAUGUUCUUCUUGUUUAAUUUUCACCACACCUCCACAUAUAAAUUUGAGAAGCAGAUUGGAUGACAAUUUUUGAAGUCAAUUUUUGAAGCUAUGCAUGCAUCCAUCAAAACGGUGUCCAUUUACUCGUAAACUUUUCAAAGUCUUAUAAUUAAUUUCGUUGAAUUAAAUGAAUUGUAUGAUGCAAUUGCAGAGAAUCUCCAUCCAAUUGGAAACAUUUUCCAGACUACGUGUAUACAAUUAAUCCAUCGUUUGGAAUUUUGUACCUCAAUCAUACACGGAAUUUUGAAUUUAACGUCAUUGCCCAAUACAUGGAAUUUUGAUCUAUUCUUUUUUCUUGAAGGCAACACUUUUUGAUGUCACAUUAAUGUCAAAGAACGUCUUCAUUGGAGAGAGAAAUUUGGAUUAGCUGGAAAAAGUCAAAAAAGAAAAAAGAGUUUCAUACAUACAUGAUACAUCUCCUUUGGGAGAAACUAAUAGAGGUCAUCCAAUUAAGGUGUUUGUCACGCUACAUGUAACUCACUUUAUGUAUAAAUGCUUUUGAAUGCUCAAAUAUCUUAUUCUCAUGCUUUAGAAUUUGUUAUUCUCAUGGAAAACUCUUGUUUGGAUUGUAUUUUUUUGGAUUUUUUUAUUAAAAAAUUACUGUAACGAUUUGAUAUAUGUGAAAUAAAAAGAUGAUUGAAAAAUGUGUUUACGGAAUAUGUAGCAAUUUUUUUUUUGAAAUUGCUCUCCAAACAUUGAAAAAAAAAAAAAGAAAUUGCAGUGUAUUCCUCGCUACACAGUGUAUUCCUCGCUUCAUUUUUCUGGUGUUUGUUUAACUUUUGAAAUAUUUUCACUUUUAUCUCUAUCUUUACUUUCUACACAUUAUAACUACAUACUUCUUCUCAUGCAAAAUAAGAAAAUUUAUCUCAUUGUUUAACUUUAAAAAAUCUUGGAGAAAUGUAUAUAUGAAUAAAAAAUAUCUCCUUAAGUAAUAAACAAAUUGCUGGCCAUUUAGUAUCAAAUAUCAAUCACAUGCAAUGCUUAUUGUGACAUAUAUCUUGCACUCUCACUGCUGAAAGUUUUUCUAGAAAAGAAUGUCCAUAUUAUACAUAAUUAAUUACUAGCAUAGGAUGGGCAGGAUGAGGUUUUUUUUUUUAUUUUGAAUAUACUAGGGGAGGGUUGGGUUGGGUUGGGUGGUACGGGGGAGGAAGUGUAAGGAAGAGGUCUUGGGUUCAGUAAGUUUGGAAGGGAAGUUGUUUUCCAUAAGAUGAGUGAACAUAUUUUACAUAAUAAAAUGUUUUCAGUAACUUUUGUGCAACCAAACACGGGAAAUUAGGAAAAUAUUUUCACCCGAAACAAACGGACCCUACAUGUAACUCACUUUAUGUAUAAAUGCUUUUUGAAUGCUCAAAUAUCUUAUUCAACGAUGUAAACUUUUGAAUGAUCAAAUUUUAAUAAGGAACAAGUACAUAAAAAAAGAAAAAUCAAAGUCUGUACAAAUAUUUUUUUUUUUCACAAAGUGUGCACCAUUUUUGGUAACCAUCCAACACGCAUUGCGGACUUUUUUUUUUAAGUAUUAAUUUUGUCCCUCAUGCUUUAGAAUUUGUUAUUCUCAUGGAAAAUUCUUGUUUGGAUUGUAUUUUUCUGGAUUUUUUUUAUAGAAAAAUUACUGUAACGAUUUGAUAUAUGUGAAGUAAAAAGAUGAUUGAAAAAUAUGUUUACGGAAUAUGUAGCAAUUUUCCUUUGAAAUUGCUCUCCAAACAUUGAAAAAAAAAAAAGAAAUUGCUCUCCAAACAAGGCCUUAGAUCUUAACGUUGCUUACUUCUUUAACGUUGACCUAUCAACUUUAAGUUAUGUGACAAAUUUCCAAUCCUUUUAGUGAUUUUAUGCCAAACAAUUUUAAAUUAAUUUAGAUUACAAAAGAGAGGAUCGUAAAUCAAAAGGUCAAUUUCACAACUAAUUGUUCACUGAUUUUACGGCAAACAAUUUUAAAUUAAUUUAGAUUACAAAAGAGAGGAUCGUAAAUUGAAAAAUCAAUUUCACAACUAAUUGAUAGAGAAUCAAAAUUUCCAUGAAUUCAGCACAAAUUUUCCACAUGAUGGAUGGACUAGACCCAACACGUCGGUGAAAUUUCUACCCAACUUGGAGCAUUAUAUGUGGCCGUCGAGAUUUAUUUUGGCUUUCUUUGCUUCUCCUAAUUUUAAAUGUAUAUUUGAAAUUCUUGAUCUGUUUAUUUUUCUUUUAGCCUCAAUCUUUUUAUAGUUUGAAAACCACCCAAACUUUUUUGUUUAUUAAAAAUUUAUCAAGUCAGAAUAAAAAGAGUUUAUCGAGUCUCAUUGAAUGUGUUAAACAAGGUUUUCACGACAUAAAGAAGUACAUAUAUACACAACUAUAAAUUAAUGUUGUAUACAUUAUUACUGUAAAAAAAAAAAAAAUUUUCUAACAGGUGUAACUAUAUGAUAUAUGAGCAAAAAUUGAAUUUAAAAUUUAAACAGUGAUAAUAUGAUAUUUAUCUAAACCUACUUGUAUAAAAAAAAAAUUUAUACGCUCCAUAUAAACAAUGUAAAGAGUUUUCAUGAAACAAAGUCAAAAAAUUUUUUUAAUUGAAGAACAAUCGCAAGCUCAUCUACGUAGCAAAGUGUGUGGAGCCUAUUUUGUAAGUUAUCAAUUUUUGAUUGGUUUAUUCUUGGACAUGGAUUAAUCCAACCAUAAGUGUGUGGAUCCCAUAUUUUGCAUGUCAUCAAUUUUUGGUUGGUUUUAUUCUUGGACAUGGACCAGUCCAACCAGCCAUUAACUAAGCGGUCCAUACCAAUAAUUCUGGGUAAAUCUUUUUUUUUUUUUUUUUAGCAUGUGCUUUUUUUGAUGAAAAAGAUAGACACAUUUUAUUAAUGAUGUUACAGGAAAUCGUUCAUGAGUUGCUUGACAAAAUUUGGAAGGGAAUUUCAAAGAGCUUAAAAAAGAUUAGCACUCUUAGCAUGAUGGGUUAAAGUAUGAGCUGCCUUAAUUCGCUUCUCCUGGAAUCCAUUGAUUCAUUGAAUAUCAAUACAAAGCUGAUCUAAUAAUGCUAAAUGCACGUCCUCAAUAAUUGGACCUGAAUCAGACACGAUGUCUUCUUUGUCCUGUCUUCUUUGCCAUGAAUAAAUCUUAUAAUUGAGGCUGCAUCUCCCUGCAAUUUUGGAUCAUUUGUGGGCCUCAAAAUCAAAUAAUUCCAGGGAACAUCAGAAGUCAAUCGGAACGAAUAUCACAAUGGACUUGAUUGGAACGAAAAUGCCUCACCAAUCCCACAAUCCAUUCCAGUUGAAGUUAAGAUCAGCAAUAUCGUUAAUUAGCCCCUUAAGCUUUGUUUAAUCAUAGCUUACGCCUAUUGUCUUACAUCUGAAGCAGAUACUCUUUUGGUUUUUUCAUCUUAAGCAGAUACCAUUUGCUAUAUCGCAGUCAAUUAAAUAGUUAAACCAUUUGCUUGCUAGACUGACGAGGGAAAUUAACAAUAUAAACCACUGAACAGAAAAUCUUUUUUUUUUUUUUUUUAUAAUAAAAUAGAAUAAUUUUAUUAAUCAUGAGAUUGAAUCUACAACAAGUGCAGAACAAAUAAAAGAUGGAGGAGAGUUUCUCCAUAUACAAGAAUCUGAAAAAUUAAUAGCAUACUUAGCAAAGUUAUGAGCAGGAACAUUAAACAACCUAGAAAUCCACGAAACUUCCCAACACAUGAACUCUUGACAUAAGACAAUGGUAUCAUCAAUCAACAAGCCACAUGAUGAAUCAUCAGAUUCCAAACGGUUCAGCAUUUUGAUGACUUUUUGUGAAUCUCCUUCCAAAACCAUUUUAUUGAAACCCAAAGAUUGUAGUAAUUGAGCCGCAUGUUUGGCCGCAUAUGAUUCAACCACAUUUGGUUCCAAUAUCCCAAGAAUUUUCUUGGAGAGGCCAGCAAUGAAACUUCCUGUAUCAUCUCGAAUAAUAACACCAACUCCUGAUGAUUUAUCAUCCAUAAACACAGUUCCAUCAAAGUUUGCCUUAACAAAACCUGCAUUGGGUCGUAUCCAAUGACCUAUUGAUAACCUUGAUUGAAGAGAGGUAGACGUAUCGCACUUAUCUUUGGAAUUUGUUUCAUGGAAUUGAUUUAGGAAUGCUAUGGACAGGGAGACCAAGCUAAGAGGAUCUCUGUAGGGCCCAUCAAAGAUUGCUCCAUUUCGAUUAUUCCAUAAAUUCCAAAGAAUAACACCUACCAAUUCCAUCUCUUUGCUUGAUAGUUGCCAAAGCUGGUUGGGAAGCCAAGACGUAACCUGAUCAGCCGAUUGCAAUUGAACUUUCUGGCUUAAGAAACUAAGUGCCCACGAUUGCACAGCUACAGGACAAGUUAAGAAGGUAUGAUCAAUAUCAUCAACUGGAGCGAGACAUAAAGGGCAAGAUGUAUCUAAAUGGAGCCCUUUAGUAUUGAGUUUUGUGCUGGUUGGUAGUAUAUCUUUACAAGCCCUCCAUAAGAAAAUUUUAAUUUUCUCAGGAAGAUUCAAGUGCCAAAGCCGAGACCAAACACUGUGCUUUAGAGUACUACUACUUGAUGGCAAAUUCUCCCAAUUAGAAGAUCGCUGCUUGAUCAAGUGAUACGCACUCAUCAUAGUAAAAGAUCCAUUCUUUGAAAAGUGCCAAAUUAGCUUAUCUCUAUUGUGAGUGUCUCCAAUUGGAAUGCUUUGAAUUAACUCAAUCUCCUCGGGCCAAAAAAAUUCUUGCAAUAAGUCAACUCGCCAAAUCUUUCGCUCUUAAUCUAUUAGGCAAUCAACUGUGGAAUUCUCCGGCAAUGCAGUAGACCGCGACACGAUUUUAAAAGUAGAUGGCCGUGGAAGCUACCUAUCUUUCCAGAUUUUGAUAGACUGGCCAGAACCAACUCGCCAUCUGCUUCCUGCUUCAAUAUACUUCCUGACCUCACAUAGUCCGCGCCAAGACUAGGAAGGCCGUGAUCCUUCUUGAACUUGGAAGAAAUCAGUAUUUGGAAAAUAUUUAGUUUUAUAUACCCGAUGAAGAAGGAUAGAUGGUUGUGUAGCAAUACGACCACUGAACAGAAAAUCUAGCAUUUAUAUUAAAUAAAAGAAUUUUACUGAUGCAUAUUAUUUGCUGCAAUCCUUAAACCAUCCAAGCCUAAGAAUUUAAAAUAAAAGGUCUACAUGAAUAAAAUAAAAGAUUGGAGAUUAAAGAUGCUUUAGAAAAAAAAAAGGGGGUUAAUUUAAAGGACUAAAUGAACUACUUGCAAAUUUUUUUUGUCCUUCCAGGUUAAAUGAUUUGUCGUUAAUGGUAUUGAAAUAGUUAAAAAUUAAAAUUAUUGGGACUAAAUGUAUUUUCAUAAAACUUUAAAAGGAGAAAAUGGUGUAACCCCAUAAGUUAGAGGUAUAAAGUGUCAUCUUUUCCAUUUGUAAAAUUUUCAAUUGGUUUGCUGAUUUUCUGUCAAAUAUUUUUACAUUAAUUUGUUUUUCUAUAUGCUGACAAUACAUACUAUCAAAGUCGGAUACAUGACAACUGAUAUGAAUUUGAGUUUGAAAUAUAAAUAUUUUGCAUAUGUAGUAUGCAUCAAACUCCGUUAACGUAUACACUAUUCGGGUACAAAAGAUUAAUCAUAAUUUAAAUUUCAAACGAGAGUGUCGAAGUUGUAGGAUAACGUGAAUCAGCAAAUCAAUUUAACAACUAGCUGCUGCCAAGGAAUCAACAUUUCCAUUAGUUGAAUGCAGAAUAUGUCUCCACAAGAAUAUCUUGAUUUUCCACGGCGGGUCAUUGUCCAGUGCGUAGGACCCAAAAAAAUUCCAAUGGAAAGUUAUAGGUGACAAAUUUCAUAGAACCAAUGUAGAUGGGGAGGCAAAUUUCACACACACAAAUAUGCAUAGGGGAAGAGGAAUAAAUCAGUAAUAUAUUAUUAAUUACACAAAAUAAUAUGGUUCUCAAAUUUCAUUCUUCUCAACUAAUACUAAUAAUAAUAAGACUAGACUAGGUAAUUUGGUAAACAAGUCUUACAAUCACAAGAAAUUUUCUAAUAAAAUACUAAUUUCUAAACAAUAAAACUACUAUAAUUUAAAUCAAACAGAAUUACCAAAACCAUAACAUAAAAUAUUGCUAAAUAAUAAUAUGAAAAUUUCUAUUUUUUAACCUUGAUUUAACAUUGUCGGACACAACACGUUGUCAAGUUAUCUGCAUAACUUAAUCAAGUUUGUUUACUAGUCUUCUUGUCUAAAUGUCGCGUCAUCUUAAUCCAGAUCGGCAGAUUGAAUGACCAGAAUCAAGAUAUUAUCAGUUAAGUCAAGACAUUACUAGGUUGCCUAUCUAACCACCACCACGUUAGAAAAACAAAUUUUAGCAAAGUUAUUCUGUCUUCCAAUAACCCUUUAUCAUUUUUCUCCUAAGCAUAGUGUAUUUUGUUGCACGUUCGAUGACAAAUCGGAAACGAAUAUGCGAAUGCAAACAUAAACCAGAAUUAACUUGUAAAACAAAAGCUACUCACCUCAAAUUAUUGAUUUCAUGCUAGUCUUCGGAAUCCCAUUAUCUAUUUUUUCCAGUUCAUAUCACCAAUCUGUGAGUAUAUUUCCAAUUCAAUCCCUUUUGGAUCGUUUAUGUGUCCCAAUCAAAUAAUGCACCGGAUUUAGCCGUCAGAAUGAGCUUAGAUUAAAAUGCAAAUGCCUCGCCAACUCCAUGAUCCAUAUCCAUUAAAAGAGCUGAAGAUAAGAAAAGUAGAAGAAUAUUGUUAAUUUUGCAUCUUAAGUAGAUUGCUUUUCCUAUAUCGUAGUCAGUUAAAACACUUAAUCUUCACUGGCUCGACUUUUCCAUGAAGACUUUCCGGUCGUCGGCAUUUUAUCACUUUCAUGUAGUUCUUCAAACGCAGAAUGGUGAAAUGAUGCUUUUAAACGUGUUUAAAUGAAACUGCUAAUCUAACCAUACUUUGUCAAAUAAACCAAUAUCAAAAGAAAUCCAAUGGAGCAUCAUCUUCUUUGUACUCCUUCGUCUAUGCUAAUACUGUUGUUAUUCAGUUCUAUUCUUGUGACCAGCCAGUUCUCGUUUGGGAGCAGCAAACAAGCUUAUAAUUAUUCAAAUUUCUCUUGUAUUGAGAGUGAAUGACAAGCUCUUCUUCAAUUCAGAGAUGGGUUAACAGAUGAAUCAAAUCAUCUGUCAUCUUGGAUAGGAGAAAACUGUUGUUCAUGGAAAGGCGUUGGUUACCAUCAAAUCACUGACCGUCUGGUGAAAUUUGAUCUACACAAUGCGAGCCCGUUACGUUCAAAUGAUAUAUUUAUUUACUGAAAAAAUUGCUUGGGAGGCCAAUUAAGUCCAUUUUUGGUCAAUUUAACCAAUUUGCGACACCUAAAUUGAAGCUGGAAUAAUUUUUCAGGAAUCCAAGUUCCCACGUUCCUUGGAUUGUUGAAAAACUUGAGAUACUUAAAUCUCCUGAAUGCAGUGUUCGACGGUGAAAUUCUAGGCCAUCCAGGAAAUCUCUCAUGUUUACAGCAUUUAGAACUUGGAGGUGUAACUCCAUUCUCAAUAAAAAAAAAAUAGAGCUUAGAGAAUCCGUAAAAUAUUCAAUUUAUUUGGUGAUUUCUUGCAGGAAACUCCCAUGUUAAUUUAACUGCAAAAGAGAGGAUCAAAACUUAUUUGUGUAGCAACGUAAAUCAGUAAACAGUUCAUCAAUAUUAUGAUUGCCAAUGCGAUACUUGUCGCCUUCCUGUUACAAGUCUCUUUCCAACGGGGAAAACCUACAGCAUAAAUGUCCAAUUAAUUCAUAAAUCAGAAUUAACUUGUAAUUGCAAUUAUAAGCCGCUCGUCUCAAAUUCUGAUUAGUUUCGUCCUAUUCUUCAGAAUCCCAUUGGAUAAACUCUAUCAUUCCCAUCCAUACAAAGUUGUGUGCUUAGAUUUGCUUUCUCAUCUGAAUUACAGGUCAAUCCGCCGUCACAAUGGGACUUGAUUAGAACGCAAAUGCCUCACCAACCAUAUUCCCAUUGAAGUCACCGUAAUCCAUUCCCGUUGAAGUCAAGAUUAGCAAUAUCGUUAAUUAGCCCCUUCAGCUUUGUUUAAUCAUAGCUUACCAUUGUUGCUUUGUACAUCUUAAGCAGAUGCCUUUUACCAUAUCAUAGUCAAUUAAAUCGUUAAGAGUAAAACUGAUAGUGUAUAUAUCAUCGUCGUUGAAUGCAUGAUAUAUAAUUAAAAUUCAAAUUUUAAAUUCAAAUUUACAUUACUUAUCAUUCAUCCAAGGUUGGUUGACAGGAUAUAUUCCAUCAGUGUAUAAAAGGUUAACCCCAUAGUUAUAUCGUUUCCUUGCUAGACUGUCUGAUGAGGGAAAUUAACAAUAUAAUCCACGAAACAGAAAAGCUAGCACUUAUAUACAUAAAAAAAAUGAAACAGUAGAAGUUGUUUUGGUGGGGAGGGGUGUUGGGUGGGGGGGAGUGAGUGUUUAAGAAAGUUAGAAAAAAAGGGGAAAGAGUAAACAUAUCUAACAAAUAAACAUAAAUUGGAAGAAAGUAAAGGUCAGUUUCUGUUUUAACAAGAACAGUUAAAAUUUUGUUCACGCCCUUUAACGCCACUGAAGGAAGUAAGACAAGAGCAGCUUUGGUAAGAGAAAAAAAUAAAAGGGCUAAAUGGAUGAAAUCAAAGAUUGGAGAUUAAAGAUACUUUGGAUUAAAAAAAAAAGUUAAACUACUAAAUGAACUACUUGCAAAACUUUUUUUUCCCUUCCAAAUUAAUUGAUUUGUCAUUCAUGGUAUUGAAAUAGUUAAAAAUUAAAAAUAUAGUGAAUAACUAUAUUUUUCAAUUGGUUUUGUGAUUUUUUGUCAAGCAUUUUUAUAUUAAAGAAUCUUUUGUACAUUAAUAAUGGAUACUAUCAAGAUUGGAUGCAUGAUAACCGAUAAGAAUUUGAAUUUAAAAUCUAAGUUUUGCAAAUGCAACAAUCAUUAAACUCCAUUAUCCUCUAUAUUAUCAGUUUAUAAAAGAUUAAUCGUAAUUAAUUUAAAUUACAAAUGACAGCGUUGAAAUCGUGUGAUAACGUGAAUCAGCAAAUGAAUUUUACAACCAGCUGCUGAGGAAUGAACAUUUCCAUUAGUUGAGUGCAGAAUAAGUCUCCAAGGAGAUUUUUUUCCAGAAGAAUAUCUUGAUUUUCCACGGCGGAUCGGGACUUCCAUUGGCCAGUGGACUUGCAGUCGUCGGAUGCAACAGACGGUCAAGUUUUCUACGCAAAUUAAUCAUGUUUGUUUACUAGUCUUCUUAUUUAAAUUUCAUUUCAUCUAAAUCUAUAUCAGCAGAUUGAAUGACUAGACUCUUAAAAGAUAGGAAAAUAUUGUAGUAACUAUCGUUAUGGUAACUAAAUAAUUUUUUCCUGAUAUAACGGGUUAUUAUACUUUUAACGAUCAUUUGAUUACCUGUUGGACCUAUCCACCUAAAUAGGAUAAUGCCUAAAACUAAGGAAGUAAGUUUCUCAUCUAAAAUAGUAAGUUAACCAUAAUAAUUAGUAACUUUUGUGUCUCAAAAGGUAAAUUGGAAUAAAUAUAAAACUUACUUUUUAAAGAGAUAAAUUACUAUAUUAUAUCUCAAACAUACUUUUGAGAGAGUAAGUUUAGUUCAAGUAAUAGUAAGUUUUUAUACAUAAAUAGUAAUUCUUACUUAUAACAUAUUAAAUUUGAUUAAUGACCAAAACUUACUAAUUUAUGGCACAAAUGUACUAUUUGGCUUAAAAAACUUAUAACAAACCAAUACUAGGAAGUUUAUUUGAAAUAACAAUAAAAUGUUUUAUUAAUGAUUAAAUCUUAGUACCUUAGUUAGUAAGUACUCGUAAUAUACUUGUAUAAUACAUGAUUAUAUGUAUAAUUUAAAUUUUUUUGUAUUUAUAUAUUUUAAAAUACUAUGAAAAAUAUUUGGACCCUUCACAUAACCUUAUAAAAUAAUAAAAUUUUGUCGUAUUAUAAUUUUGAAUAAUUUUUGAAAAUUUUCAAAGUUUGGAUAAUAAUAACAACACAUCUUCCUAGUUAUAUAUGGAAUAUCACUUAUCUAUGUAAUUUCUAUAAUUUAAAACCUAUUAAUAUAAUAAGAUGACAAAGUUUUAAUAUAUUUAUUGUCUGGGACACAAGAAAUAAUAAGAAUUAAACUUGUAUUAAUAUAGACCUAACAAAAAGAGAGAAAUAGUGUAACAAUUAAUACAACAAUAAAAAUAACAUAAUUAGUAUAACAAAAUUAGUAUAAUCUGGAAUUUUUUUCUCUGGAGAUUACUCACGAAUAUAAGAUCCAACCACUAAACAAAAAUCACAUGCAUAUAUAAUCUAUUGUAUAAUUUAAAUUAAAUUUAGUUCAUGUACAAAAUGAUCCUAAAAUAAUUAGCACACUACAAUACCAUAUUAUUUUAACAAAAAAGUUUUUUUUUUGCCAAAAGUCUCCAAUAUCCAUGACAUAUGUAUGAGAGAUAUUUUACCAUAUUUUUAUCUCUCUUUUUUUCCCAUAUUUGUAUCUCAUGUCUAAUCAUUGAUGUUAAUUUGAGGAAGAAUAUUAUGUAUAAUAAAAUUAUUUUGAAUUUAAUUAACAAGUUGAGAUUUUUUUAAAAAUAAAAGUGAAAUAUUUUGGGAACUUAUUUUUUGUUUUCCCAAAAUUAAAAGAUUGCAAUUUUUUACAAAUUGUUGCCAUAACAUUUCAUUUUCUAGACUAAUUUUUAUCAAUGUAAAAUUAGUUUAGUUAACAAUAAUUGAAGUUUUGUUGGUCCGAGGAUUGGCAUGCUAUUGUUGUUAUUUUACAUGUAAAUAUAUUACCUAAGUAAUAAAAUAAACAAUAGCUACUUAAAAAAAGGAAAUAGGUGCUCAAUUGAUUGCAUUCAAACUACGAAUUCUGUUAAUGAAUAAUUGCUAAAUUAUAAUUUUAUUUACAAGGAAUCAAUAUGCAUCAUAUAUUGACCAGGACUAAAUUACUGAUUACUUAACAAAUUAUAUCUAAACACAUGAUGUGAUGUAUAUUGCAUUUGGUCACCUUUAUACUCAUACCAUUUUCUUUUCUUCCUAUUUAUAUUUUAAAAGUGCAAAAUUCUCUUGAUUAUAUUAGUGAAAAUGCAUAAAAUCUUUUACAAAAUUAUUUCAAUUUAUUUACAAAAUAUUAGUACUUUUAUAGAAACAAUGCAUUGUAGGAAUGGUUUACUAAUUUUUUAGUAAACAUAACUAUUGCAUUAAAAAGUUAAAAAAAACUUGAUUUUAUUAUGCUUUAAUUAGGAGUGCUUUUGAAGAAAAGAAUUUGGGGAUUAAUUUCUCUGAUUCAAGAAUUUUUAGAGAUUGUAAUGAUCAAAAGAAAAAGAAUUUUUAGAAAUUGUAACUCUCUUAUUAUUUGAUAUAAUAAAUUUGAUAUUUGUGCAAGUUUUCAUGUCUUUUUAUUUUCGGCAAUGAAAUUUGUGCUUACAGUUAAAUACAAUUAUGGUAAAAUAUCCCUCAUAUGUAUGUCAUGGAUAUUUGAGACUUUCAGUAAAAAAAUUUUUUGUUGUUCCGUUUGGAUUGGUUAUUUUUUUAAAAACAAGUUUUUCAAAUACAAUGUUAUGGUAAUACACAAUAACUCAAAAAAUAUCUUAUCCAUACAAUAUAUCAAAAAUUUCAAAAAAAAUUUUAUAGUAAAAAUUUUUCAUAUACAUUGUUACAGUAAAAUUUUUCAAAAACACCUCUAAAAACAGUUAAUCGAAACGGAUUAAUAUUAUAGUGCGCUAAUUAUUUUAGAACCGUUUUUUACGUGAACUGAAUUUAAUUUAAAUUAUACAAUAGAUUAUAUGUGCAAGUGAUUUUCAUUUAAUUGUUGGAUCUUUUUUUUUUAUGAACAAUCUCCCAAGGAAAAAAGUCCAGAUCAUACUGAUUUUCUUAUAUUAACUGUUAUACUAAUUUUGUCAUUUUUAUUGUUAUACUAUUUCUCAUUUUGUUUGGGUUUUAACUCUUAUUAAUUCUUGUGUCCCAGAUGUAAAUUUAUUAAAACUUUAUCAUCUUAUUAUAUUCAUAGGUGUUAAAUUAUAAAAAUUGUGAUAUACAAACAAGUGAUAUUCUAUAUUUAACUAGGAAGAUUUGUUGUUAUUGUUAUCCAAACUUUUAAACUUUUCAAAAAUUGAAAAUUGAAAAUGAUUAAAAACUUAUAAUAUGACAAAAUUUUAUUAUAUAUUUUACAAGAUUAUCUAAAAAAUGAAACUACUUUUCAUAGUAUUUUAAAAUAUAUAAAUACAAAAAAAUUUUAAAUUAUACAUAUAAUCAUUUAUUAUACAAGUAUAUUACGAGUACUUAAUAACUAAGGUACUAAGUUUUAAUUAUUAAUAAAACAUCUUAUCAUUAUUUCAAUUAAACUUCCUAAUACUAGUUUGAGAUAAGUUUUUAAUGUAAAAUUGUACAUGUAUUCCAAAAAUUAGUAAGUUUUGAUCAUUAAUCAAAUUUACCAUGUUAUUAGUAAAAAUUACUAUUAUGUAUAAAAACUUAUUGUUAGUUGAACUAAACUUACUCUCUAAAAAGUAAGUUUGGAAUAUAAAGUAGUAAUUUAUUUAUUUAAGAAAUAAGUUUAAUAUUUAUUCCAAUUUACCUUUUGAGGUAUAAAAAUUACUAAUCUAUUAAUGUUAACUUACUAUUUUAGAUGGGAAACUUACUUCCAUAUUUUUAGGUGUUAUCCUAUUUAGGUGGAUAGGUCCAAUAAGUAAUCAAAUGGUCGCCAAAAGUGCAACAACCUGUUAUAUUAGAUAAAAACUAUUUCGUUACCAUAACUAUCGUUACUAAAGCAUUGUCUUAUCAGCUCAAGUCAAGAUUAGCUUGUCUAUCUAGCCUACUCCAUUUUUAAUUUCAUGCUAGUCUUCGGACUCCCAUAAUCUAUCUUUCCAGUUCCUAUCACCCAUCUGUGAUUAUAUUUCCAAUUCAAUCUUUUUUCGAUCAUUUGUGGGUCCCAAUCAAAUAAUGCCUCACCAACUCCAUGGUCCAUACCCAUUAAAAAAGAAUAUCGUUAGCUAGCCUCUUGAGGUUGUUUAAUCACAAGAAAAGUAAAAAGGUUCUUUUGCAUCUUAUUGAGAUAAUUUUGUGUCCGUGACCCUAAACCCUAAGCCCUAAAAGAUCGUUAGCUAGCCUUUUGAGGUUGUUUAAUCACAAGAAAAGUAAAAAGGUUCUUUUGCAUCUUAUUGAGGUAAACUGGUGGAAUUACCUUAGAUUCUAUGUGCGUGUGUUUCUUUGCGCUGUUGAAAGAAAAAGGAAAAUAGGAGAGGAAUGUCAAUGUGAGUAUGGAUUCUUAGUCAAGGCUCUUAAGCUUCCUGCGUUCCCUUUCCCCCAACUCCUUGUUCCUACAUCGAUUAUGAGAGGUGUGUGUGUGUAGGAUUUAAGGUCCGUGAGUUUACCCAGAAGUCAGCAAUUGUAUUUUGGAUAAACUGGUGGAAUUACCUUAGAUUCUGUGUGCGUGUGUUUCUUUGCGCUGUUGAAAGAUAAUUUUGUGGAAAAAGUACUGUAACACUUUUUUGAUAUGAUGUAUGUGAGAUAAAAAGGUGAUUGAAAAAUAUAUUGAUGAUACAAACAAAUCAAUGUGUGUAAAUAAGGUAUAAAUAAAGUGUAAUUUUUUACAAUCCAAACACAUAUUGUAGAUAGUUAAAUACUUGAUUGUUUGCUGGCUCAACUUUUCCACCAAGACUUCCGGUCAUCACAUAGUUUCUUCCAACGCAAAAUGGUGAAAGUGAUGCUUUUAAACUUGUAUAAAUGAACCACUUCUCUGAGCAUACUUUAUCAUAUAGUUCAAUAUCAAAAGCAAUCCAAUGGAGCACUAUCUUCUUGGCACUUCUUUAUCUUUACUACUAGUAAUGUUCUUAUUCAGUUCUAUUCUCGUCACCAGCCAUUUUCCGUUUGGCUGCAGCAAACAAGCUUAUACUCAUUCAAAUGUCUCUUGUAUCGAGAGUGAACGACAAGCUUUUCUUCAAUUCAGAAAUGGGUUGAUAGAUGAAUCGAAUCAUCUGUCAUCUUGGAUAGGAGAAGACUGCUGUUCAUGGGAAGGUAUUGGUUGCCACAAAAACACUGGUCAUGUGGUGAAACUUGAUCUACAAAAUACGAAGCCGUUACACUCAAAUAAUGUAUUUACUUAUUGCAAAAAUUGCUUGGGAGGCCAAUUAAGUCCAUUUUUGGUCAAUUGGACCAAUUUGCAAUACCUGGACUUGAGCAAGAAUAAUUUUUCAGGAAUCCAAGUUCCCACAUUCCUUGGAUUGUUGAAAUACUUGAGAUACUUAAAUCUUGCAAAUGUAGUGUUUGACGGUGAAAUUGUAAUGGUACUAUUAGUUAUGAUCUGAAUAGGCUAAGAAGGUAGAAGGGUGUAGCAGAGAGAACGCAAGGAAGGGGGAAAAUUGUGAGAGAGAAGAGAGGAAAGGAUAGUGUGACAGGAAAGGAAGCUGAAUUUGUUAUAUCUCAUUACAUGCCUUUUCGUCCCCUUUAGGCUUUAUUUAUACAGAAUGCUCCCUCUAGAUCCUUCUGCAACUAGCCAAUCUCAUAACAGAAUGAGCAUACAUACAUGCAUGCCUUUGACAGCUAGCUGACUAACUAAAUAACGGAAAUGCUAACUAACUACCUGAAAAGGAAAGCAUGGCAGAUACAUUUCUGCUCAGAAAUAUCUAGCGAGAAUAUCUAGGGUCAUUACAACACCUCCCCCUUGAGAAUCCUAGUCACUAGGAUUUGAGCUGGAAAUCUGGAAACUGUGAUUGUAUUACCGUGACAUCCUCCCAAGUUGAGUCUUCAGUGCUUAGGUUCACCCAUUUGAUCAACACUUGAGUCACCUUCUGCCUUUUCCUUAUGAUUUCACGAGUAGCAAUCACCCUUUUAGGGGCAAUUUUAAUCUGUCCGUCCGUAGUCGUCAAGGGUAACUCCUGAGUCACAACAUGAUUCUUUGCAGAUGGUUUAAGCAGGGAGACAUGGAAGGUAGGAUGUAUCAAAGAACCAGCAGGUAAUUCCAGUCUGUAGGCCGCAUUCCCCACCUUCUGAAGGACCUUGUAAGGGCCAUAGUAUUUGGAAGAUAACUUCAGAUUUCUUCGGACUGCUACUGAAGUUUGUCUGUAAGGCUGCAAUUUCAAAUAAACCCAGUCUCCUACCUGAAAACUCCUUUCAAUUCUGUUUUUGUCAGCAAAUUGCUUCAUUCGAUUCUGAGCCUUGAUUAGAUUACCCCGCAGCAGUUCAUUCCAUUUCCUUCUAUCUCCUAGCCAUUGUUCCACAGCAGCUACAGGAGUCUCUAAGCCAUUGAGGCCUAAUUGCGAGGGUGGAUAACCAUACAGAGCCUGAAAAGGAGUCAUCUUUAAGGCUGUGUGAUGGUUGGUGUUGUACCACCAUUCAGUAGCUGUUAGUAAGGACUUCCAUUUGUGAGGCUGUUGGAAACAUAAACACCUCAAGUAUGUCUCUACACAUCUGUUCAGCCUUUCUGUCUGCCCGUCUGUCUGGGGGUGGUAGGCAGUGGAGUAAUGCAACUCAGUACUUAGCUUCCCAAACAACUCCUGCCAGAACAUGCUAGUGAACAGCCUGUCUCUGUCUAAUACAAUGCUCAGAGGUAAUCCGUGCAGUUUGUAGAUGUUAUCAAAGUAUAUGUUAGCUAUUGACUGUGCUGUAUACUUAGAGGGUAGUGCUAUUAGAUGACAAUACUUGGUGAACCUGUCGAUGACCACCAGUAUCCCUUCAUAUCCGUGAGAUUUGGGUAAUCCUUCUAUGAAGUCCAUUGAAAUAUGUUGCCAUGCUUGCUCAGGGAUAGGGAGGGGUUGCAGUAGACCUGGUGCCUUACAGUUUUCCACUUUGCUCCUUUUACAGAUAUCACAUUGCUGCACCCAUUCUUCUACCUUCCUUCUCAUUCCAGGCCAGAAGACUGGUCCCUUCAAUCUCUGAUAGGUUCCCAGAUAUCCUGAAUGACCCCCAAGGUGCGAGUCAUGGAAGCAGGCUAUCAACUUCUGUCUCAAGUUCCCCGAAGCUCCAAUGUAUACCCUGCCCUUAUACCUGAGCAAUCCCCCAACAAAAGAGUAAUUUGGGAGAGAAUCUGGUGUAAUAGUCAGGGUUUCCAUUAAUUUAGUCACUGCAUUAUCCCAUUGGUAGCUUUCCACAACUUCAGAUAGCCAUGCAGGUUUCAUGACUGAGAGACUGUGUGUAGAACUGUCCUCUUCAUAGUCUCUUCUGGACAGUGCAUCGGCCACAAGAUUUUCUUUUCCUUUCUUGUACUGUAUUUCAUAAUCCAAUCCUAACAAUUUAGUAAGCCACUUCUGCUGAAGGGGGGUAGUUAUCUUCUGCUCCAAUAGGUAUUUUAAGCUCUGGUGAUCUGUCUUGAUAAUGAAAUGAUUCCCUAACAAAUAAUGCCUCCACUUCGAUACAGCUGUGAUAAGGGAUAACAACUCUUUCUCAUAUAUUGAUAACCCCAAGUUCUUAGGCCCCAAGGCUUGACUGAGAUAAGCAAUAGGCCUUCCUUGCUGCAUGAGUACAGCUCCUAUAGCCUUAUGACUGGCAUCUGUUUCCAGAACAAAUGGUAAGGAAAAAUUAGGAAGUGCGAGGACAGGUGUGCUACGCAUCAGUUGUUUGAGUUUUUGGAAGGCUAGCUCAGUAUGUUCACUCCAGUGGAAAUUUUCUUUCUUCAGCAACUCCGUAAGUGGCUUGGCAAUGAUUCCAUAACCUCUCACGAACCUCCUGUAAUAGCCCGUAAGUCCCAAAAAUCCUCUCAAAGCCUUCACUGAUGUAGGUGCAGGCCAGUCCAUCAUGCUUUUGACUUUUGAGAGGUCUGCCUGUACUCCAUUACCACUGAUAAUGUGUCCCAAAUACUCCACUUGAGACUGUCCAAAGAUGCAUUUGGAAAGCUUGGCAAAUAGGGAGCAAGAUCUGAGUGUUUCUAGGACAGUUUUGAGGUGUGAAAGGUGAGUGUUUAGGUCCGAACUAUACACAAGGAUGUCAUCAAAAAAUACUAGCACAAAUUUUCUCAAGUAAGGUUCGAAUACACGGUUCAUCAGGCUUUGAAAGGUUGCUGGUGCGUUAGUAAGGCCAAAUGGCAUGACUGUGAAUUCAUAAAGUCCAAGGUGAGUUUUGAAGGCUGUUUUUGGAAUGUCAUUUAGGUACAUUUUGAUUUGAUGGUAACCAGCUCUUAGGUCGAUCUUAGUGAAGAGCUUAGCACCAUAUAGCUCAUCGAGUAAAUCAUCAAUGAUUGGUAUUGGAAAUUUAUCUUUGAUAAUCAGGUCAUUUAGUUGUCUGUAAUCAACACAGAAUCGCCAAGUUCCAUCUUGCUUUUUAACUAACAGAACUGGAGAUGCAAACGGACUAUGGCUGAGCUAAAUAAUGCCACUACUAAGCAUGUCUUUUACCUGUUUCUCUAUUUCAUUUUUCUGGUUGUGAGGAUACCUAUAAGGUGCUAACUUGAAUGGUUUGGCAUUUGGUACUAAAGGAAUUUGGUGGUCACAGUUUCUAGAAGGGGGAAGGGAUUUUGGCUCCCCAAAUACAUCCUUGUAGUCCGCAAUUAGAGCAUCUAGGGACUGUUGAAAAGUAAUAUCCAACUGAGUUACAGAGUGUACCUGAGUUCCACUCAUCCUCAGCCCGCAGGCCUGCUUCCAAAUUCUGGUGCUUAGUCCCUCCUUCUCAGCAUUGUCUCUAGGAAACUUAAGGACGGCCUCCUUAGACUCUCCUUGUAGCAAGAUCCUUUCCCCUUCCUUAUCAAAUGUCAUGUUCAACUGCCUGAAGUCAAAGGUGAUGGGGCUGUGUGCAGCCAUCCAAUCCACACCUAUGAUCAUAUCAUAAGGUUCUAAGUUAAUGAUAAACAUGUCAUGAGUGAAUGGUUUACCUUGCAUUUCCCAGUUCAUGUUUGGAAUCAUCCUACUACAGGUCAAAUACUCCCCAUUAGCCACCUUGACCUUGAAGGGCUUGAUAGACUUAACCAUCCCUGGAAAGAGUUGAGCCACAGUAUUUUUGACAAAGCUGUGAAUACUUCCCCCAUCCACCAAGAUUGACAGGGGGUUCCUUUGAACAGCCCCUGCAAUUUGAUGGUAUUGUAAGUCAUCUUCCCCGUCAGUGCAUGUAUUGCCAUUUCCACUCCUUUGGCUGACUGUGCCCCUUGGUACUCAAUUACCUCCCCUUCCUCCAGAUCCUCAGGCCUAUUUUCUACUGCGACAAGCAGAUGAAUCUCCUUCUGCCUACACUGGUGACCUGGACCAAACUUUUCUCCACACUUGUAGCAAAGAUGAUGUUCCCUUCUGUACUGCAGUUCUUCUGGUGUGAUUUUUUUGAAAUGUUGAGGUGUUUUUUUUGACAGCAUUGGCAAUGACAGGUUUGGUAGGUGCCACAGUUUGCUGAGCAGCAGCCUGUGUGGAGUUUCCCCAAGCCAUGGCCCUCUGAUGAGGUUUGUGCUUCCUGUGGUAGGCUUCAAAGGCAUUCUCCUGUAGUCUGGCUAACUCAAAGGCUUUGGAUAAUGUUCGAGGGUCGUGAGCUUUCACCAUGGAUCUCAAUUCAUCUGGCAGCCCACUCAAAAAAUAGGAAAUAUAGUAGUUUUCUGGAAGGUGUGGGGCUCGAAUCGUUACCUCUGAUAACAGCUCCUCAAAAUUUUCUUGAUAUGCUAGCACCGUGGAAGAGAGUUGCAACUUGUUGAAUUCCUCCACUGGAUCCAUCUGUCCUAAGGUUCCAAACCUCUUACACAGCUCUCCAGAAAACUCCAUCCAAUCUUUGUGUUACCCCUAGUAGACCUGAAUCCUUGAUACCACACUGCCGCUUUCUCCUCCAAGUGGAACUCUGCCAACUCCAUCCAUUGCUCCUUGGGAAUGUGCAGAAGCUGGCAAUAUUUCUGCAGUUUCCUGAUCCACUCCCUAGGAUUGUCUCCCCUAAAUGCUGGAAUUUCCAAUUUAGGCGUGCUAGCGAAGAAGGCACUCCUAGCAUUCCUUUCUCCUUGUUCUCUACUCCCCAGGUCUGAACUUCUAGAGUGACUUCCUUCUGGAGAUCCUAAUAUGCCUUUCUCUUGAUUUCCACGGUUCAAGUUGGAGAGCUGCUGCGAGAUGGCUGACAUGAAUGCAUCUAGCUUAUUGCCCAGCUCAACACUCACUGCAUCCAACCUAUCCUCCAUGCUCUGCUUGUCUGCUGCCAAGGAUUCCAGAAUUCCUUGAAUCUUGCUUUCUUGCCUGCGGAGCUGUUCCUCCAUCGUCUUCAUCCUUGUUCCAUCCGCCAUUGUGAUAUGUCGAUCUAAGCUUCCUAGUCCAAGGACCGGAAGCUCUGAUACCACUUGUAAUGGUACUAUUAGUUAUGAUCUGAAUAGGCUAAGAAGGUAGAAGGGUGUAGCAGAGAGAACGCAGGGAAGGGGAAAAAUUGUGAGAGAGAAGAGAGGAAAGGAUAGUGUGACAGGAAAGGAAGCUGAAUUUGUUAUAUCUCAUUACAUGCCUUUUCAUCCCCUUUAGGCUUUAUUUAUACAGAAUGCUCCCUCUAGAUCCUUCUGCAACUAGCCAAUCUCAUAACAGAAUGAGCAUGCAUACAUGCAUGCCUUUGACAGCUAGCUGACUAACUAAAUAACGGAAAUGCUAACUAACUACCUGAAAAGGAAAGCAUGGCAGAUACAUUUCUGCUCAGAAAUAUCUAGCGAGAAUAUCUAGGGUCAUUACAGAAAUUCCCCACCAUCUAGGAAAUCUCUCAUGUUUACGGCAUUUAGAACUUGGAGAUGUAACUCCCUCCUUAACAUGGAAUCGAUUGACAACGAAGGAUCUCGGCUGGAUUGUUGGGCUUUCUUCUUUAGAAGGCCUAAUCCUGUCUGAGGUGAAUCUCAGUGCCGCUAAAGAUGGUUUACAGACAAUUAACAUGCUUCCGUCACUAACAAGCUUCGAAUUGUCUGGUUGUGGACUUUUCAUCAAUCCUCAUCUUUCACAGGUCAAUUUCACAUCUCUUUCUUCCCAUGAACUCGGUGAAAGUAAUUUCAACAACUACACGGUCCCUCCUUGGCUCCAUAAUCUUACUGGUCUCCAUAAUCUUGGUCUUAGCUCUAAUCAUCUUUCCGGUCCAAUUCAUGGCCUAUUCGAACAAAUGACCUCUCUAGUUUAUCUCGAUCUAGGGGAAAACCGCUUUGAUGCAUCAACGUUGAUGUCACUUUGCAAUGUGAGCACUCUUAAUUAUUUGGAUCUGAGUUUUAAUGAUAUGCAAGGGUCGAUACCGAGUGAAAUAAGCCAACUUUCGAAGCUGCAAGUAUUGGAUAUUUCUUCCAACUCAUUAACUGGUGUAUUAUCUGAAGACCAUUUUGCAAAACUCGGAGAGCUAAAGUCGUUGAACCUAUCUGAAAACUUAUUCACUCUGAAUGUGAGCUCCUGGUGGGUUCCUCCUUUUCAACUCCGAGAAAUUAUGAUGUCACCCAUCAAAGUAGGCCCCCUAUUUCCAGUUUGGCUUCAAACGCAAAAGGAGGUUCAAAGUUUAGAGAUGCAGAAUGCAGGCAUUUCGGAUAGCAUACCCAGCUGGUUUGGAGUGCUUUGUUAUGAAAUUUAUAUUGUAGAUUUCUCCAACAACAACCUGACUUGGAAUCCGUUGGAGUUCAAACAAAUGAAGAAGAGUCCUCCUGAUGGUAAUUCUCCAAGCAUAGUUCUAAAGUCCAACAAAUUGGAUGGAUCUCUCAAAUCGUUUCCGUCUUAUAUUUAUGAAUUAGAUCUUUCACAAAAUUUUCUUACCGGACAUAUUCCAUUGCCUGAUGUUGGUCAAACUGUUGCAUCUACUCGUUUUCUCAUACUCUGUGAUAAUCAUUUCACAAGCAGUAUCCCGGAAGACUUGUGCAAAUUGGAAAAUUUAAAAUAUCUGGAUCUAUCCAACAAUUUUCUGUUCGGAAGAGUUCCUCUGUGUUUGGGAAAUUGGCUAGACCUGCGGGUCCUAAACUUGGCAAAUAAUAGUCUAUGCGGUCAAAUUCCGAGUUCACUAGGCAACUUGGGGUAACUUUGGAUUCUGCAUUUGAAUUGAAAUAAAUUCGUUGGGAAGCUCUUAUCCUCAAUGCAGCGCCUGAGAAAUUUACAAAUUCUUGAUCUCGGUGACAAUGGACUUACAGAUAUUAUACCAACAUGGAUUGGGGAAAGGUUAUCAAAUUUAAAGUUUCUAAGAUUUCAGUCAAAUAACUUCCAUGGAAUCAUUUCUGAUGAGCUCUGCCUAGUCUCACGUCUUCGUGCUGAACCUAGCGCAUAAUAAUUUAACAAGAUCUAUUCCUCAUUGUUUUAUCAACUUCUCAAUGAUGGUAUCAAGUGAACCAGGAACUGACCUAUCAAUGCAUGAACUCUUCGGUGCAAUCCCUAAAAGCUUAUCUGCUUUAAACUGGUUGAACUUCCUGAAUUUGUCACACAAUAAGCUAUCAGGGCCAAUACCAUCAGGGAAUCAAAUUUAGACCUUAACCGAUCCAUCUAUCUAUGAAGGAAACAUUGGACUCUGUGGCAAGCCACUCCCAAAUGACUGCCUGGAACAUAAAUUGCCUACGGAAAAUGGGCAUAUUCAUGAUGAUAUAGGCCACGCGAGUCUAAUUGGUCUUGGUUUUAUGCUGUCGGGCUAUUGGGAGUUUUGGGAAUCCUUCCGUUCAAGAAGUCAUGGCGCUAUGCAUACUUCAGGUUUCUGGAAAAUGCCUAUGACAAAAUUUACGUAAUGAUUGCAUUGAAGGCUAAUCAGCUGAGGAGGAAUUUCCAUUGAGUAAUACCCUGUAAAAGCACAUUUAUUCCGUUUUUCAUAUCACACAGUAGCAUACUCUCCUUGAGAAUUUGCAAAACUAUAGUAAUUUGUAGUAAAGAUUUGUUUUAUGCGUCCCAACUUGACCGAUUCUUAUUCAAUAAGAAAAUGAUAGCUUACUAGUUUUCUUUCUUUUUUUUUUUCAAGACAAAGAAGCUCAAUAAGUUAUAUCAACAAAAGAAUAACGCACCAAAAGCAGUAGAUGAUUCUAGCAUCAAAUCAGUAUCUUGCAAAGGAAAUUUUCCCAAUAAACUAUUACGUGAUUGAAGACCAGAAAUUUCCAUUCCUUAACUUUUGGAACUUUUUAUCUUAAAAACUAGGUACCAAAACCUUAGUUGCUUUCUCUAGAUUCUCUCUUUCUAUUGGCAAUUAUUUUUAGUCUCUCAAAAAUUUGAUUUCUAAUAAUUCUGCUCUAUUCUUCAUAUUUACAUUGCAUUUUCCUAUGUUUCUUUACAUUCCAUACUAUGAGAAUCUUAUUGAUUUUUAUUUACAACCGAUUAAAUAAUUAUUUUUCUGUUCGCAUUAGAAUGCAUUAAAUAUUCUAUAUCGAGCAAUUUAUAGGUUGUUUAUCUUGCUUACUGAUCUAAUUUUUGCGUCAACAGAUUUAAACGCUUUAGAAGAAUUCUAUACUUGUUUAUGCUAAUAAUUGAUUUAGUUGUUUAAUUUCUAAUUGAUAUGCAUUUGAUAGGUUGCGAUUUUAUCAUUUAUUUUAUUAUUAAUUUCCCUUAUUGCCUGAUCCGAUGUGGAUUAAUUACUGGAUUUAUUCACUUUUAGUAUUUUGCAUUUAUUUCAGGGAGUAGAAUGAAAAUAUGACAACAGGUGCUAAUUUGGCAGAAAAGGAAUCCAAAUGAUAGAGUUUAUCCUAGGGGUAUUUUUGAAAUAAAAAGAGACGCAAGACCUUUUUGAUAAUUUGGUCGAAGACAGCAGGAAAGAAAAGGGAGGAGCUGGAGUCUUCGGUUUGAAGACUGGGCCGCCGCACAGUAGCAGAGGCUACUUAGAUAGGAAUUAGAAUUAGAAUUGAAUUAGCACUACUGUGGAUAGAUAGCUUUUCUUUCGAGGAGCUAUGCCCCAUGCAUGUCAGGAGCAAAAUUGGGGAAAACUUUGACUUUUCUUCCUUUGAGCUUUUAGUAGUUGUUUUUCCUCCUUCGUACGGCAGACGAAGGGAAAACUACCAAUCACCUUUUGCAGCCUGCUAUCUUUUCAAUAUUCGGACGAAUUGAAUUUUUCCAAUCUCAAAGGACGAUGGCUGCUGCUUUCUCUUCAGUUUUGUAUGGUUUUUUCGCACCAAAUAUGAACUAAUUUCUUCACUUUAAUCAAGGAACAACGGAGGCUUUGGUUCGUCUAAAACUUGUGAGAUCGAUUUAAUUUUAUCUUUUUCUUUUAUUUAUUGGUAUUCGCAUAUCUCUUGAUUGCAUUGUUCAUGAUUAUUUAAUUAAUUGAUUGUCUUGAAUCCGGAUAAUCAGUUAACUUAAUAAUUUAUUGUCAAUUAGGGCAUUAAAUCCGUAAUUGUUUAAGUGCCUUGAAAUAGUGACAACUGGCACGAUUAGAUUCGUGUCAAAGGGAUACGCAAGCUAAUCUGAAAUAACCCCGGUAGUGCAUUAUUUGGUUAGAAUAUGGCUCCUCUAAUACGUAAGACAAUUAGAGAAUUGAAUCUUAUGGGCAUACCUAAGAUUAUUUCUCAAUUAGAGCAGUGAUUAAUGGGCGUACCUUAAUCACCGAUACAGUAAGGAGGGGUUGACUGGCAUCACUUGUUUGGUAGUUAUAACCUAUUUAUUAAUAAAUAAUUGGAAUUGCUUGUGCAUCGAUGAUCAAUUAGGUGAACCAUUGCUGAAGUUAUUUCUUGGCUAGACCUUUAAUUAUUGUUAAUAUAAUUUUAGUGAAUUGUCAUUUAAUUUCUAGCUAGCUAUUUAUUUUUAUUCUUAUUUGAAUUUCUUUGAUUGUCAUCGUUUAUACAAAAACACCCCCUGUGUUACUUUGGAUUUCUUAAGAGACAAAUAUCCCCAAUCCCUGAGGAUACGACCCUACUUGCCCUGUCUACAAAUUCAUAAUUAUUUGUGAAAAAAGCCAUCCCAUUCGAGUAUAUCGGAUCAACCAAACUCUUUGGGAACAGGGUGAAUCAAGUAACCCAUUGCACACCUAGAGUCCUUGCUCCAGUACUUGGAAUCAGAUUUUGGUUACUUUAACUGGCAAUUAGGUUUAAUUUUAUUAUUGUACAGGCUUCGACACCUGUCAACAUUCUAGCUUUUCUGCCAACAACUCUUAUGAAUUACCAACUAAUGAUUUUCAGGUAUUACAUUAAUUCUACCCACCUAAGUUUCACUCUCGAAACUUAAUUUGACCAAAUUAGCAUAAAAACAAACUGCCCUUCCAAUUAUAUCACUUUACAUGAACAAGUAUUAAUUAAACUACUAGUAUUUAAGGCACACACCAAUGUGUGUACACCUAAAACAAAGCAUAUUAUUAAAAUUUUGAGUAAAUUUGUUGAAAUCAUUUUCAAAGGAAUUAGUUUUAUAUUUUUGACAAUGGGUAUUGGAAAAUUCACGAAAAUAAGUGUACAAAUAGAUUGUUAUUUAGCAGUAAUCCAUAACCAUAAUCGAUAGUUGAUUACAUUGGGUAGCUAGCAAGGUAAGUUUAAAAAUAAUAUAAAAUGACAAAAUUUUAUGUAUACCAAAAGCCCUCUCCCCAUUUAUAUAUUUACAACAAAAGCUUACUCCACCUUUACAUAGAGCAUAGAUAUUAUUUAUUCAAGGACAAUUCAUGUCCCUCCUCUCCUUCCCCUCCUCGUUUUUUUGGUCAAUCGUCAACUCCUAUUACUACUCCUACUCUAACCAAUAUUAGGGAAUGAUCCAACUGGACCAAUGGGGCUGGAGAAAGAAGAUCUCACCUGUAUAUCAAAGAGGUUCACUAGACCAAAGAAGGGUUGGUUCAUGUUCAAAUCCGCUAUUCUUUUUACAAGGCCAUAGAAAUUUCAAACACCUGAUGCCCAUUACGUUUCCCUUGCGUCAACAUAAAUCCAAACAUCAAGAAGAAUUCCACUUAAUUAACCUUAUUUUCAUUUGAACUUUAGUUAUUUCUAAAGUGAUAAUCAUGUCUUACUAUUCAUUAAAGUAACCUACUAUCAAUAAAAACUCCACUAGUAAAUUCCGUGCUCUCAUUUUCUGAUUUGCCAGAUUCUUAGUUGCACCCCCAAUUUACUUCAUACUACAUGCCAUCACAGUGGAUCUAGAAAUAUUAUAGCAUAACCACCUAGAAAUAUCUUCAAGAUAUAAUCCUUUUCAAUAACAUCACCCACUCAUGAUUUUCAAUCUAGAAUUACCUGUAGUUUUAAGAUUCAAAUCAAGUGAUCAUAAAGCCAUGUGAGAAAAACUAAUGAACAUAAAUUAAAUUUCUAACUCAUCGAUUGCCAAUGGUCCUAUUAGAAACUAGUUCUUGCAAUCAAUAAUUGGUAGACAUGCAAUAAAAAUGUGUCCUAGGCCUCCUGAUCUUCUAAACAAACAUGUAAGAGCAGAAGGGUUUCAUGAACAUCCUCCCAAUGAGGAAUGUUAUAUGAACGGAUCCCAAUCACAAAUUAAAGAUUCGUGAAAAAAGAGAGAAACUCUAAAAAAUUGGGUAAUUCCAAUAAAGUUUGAUAAAAGUUGUUAAGAGAAUGAGAUAUUACUUAGGCCCUAUUUGGCAAAUAACUCCCAAUAAAUAUCUGGGUAAAACUUAGGCCUCGUUUGGCGAAUGAGUUUUUUGAGUGUUUAUCUAAAAUUUUACUGCAACUUACUGUAAAAAUUGUAGGAAAAAAUUUUAAAAUGAAAAUUUUUUUUCUUUUCUUUUUAUUUCUUUUUCUUUCUUUCUUUCUUUGUUCUUUUCUUUCCUUUCUUCUUCAUCUCCCUUCCCCGUCCCCUGCCACCUCUCGCUUCCAGUUGGAACAAGAAUUUUUUUUGCUCUUUUCUCUCACCCUCUCUUCUCUCUCCCCUCCCCUCUCGCCCCUUUUCCGGGUGCUUUCUAGUCGUGUGACCAGAUCGGGCAAAGGGGUAAGGGAAGGGUGGUGAGGGAGGGAGAAGGGGGGAGAGAAAUGGCGGGGAAGAGAGGAGGAGAGAGGGAGAGGAGAGAGAGAGAAAAAAAAAGAUCGGCCGACUCCGAGGUGGUGGUGGGUUGAGAUGGAAGGAGAAAGGAGGAAGAAAAUUUCUUUUGUGUGUUUUGGAUAUUUUGAAAUAUAUAGUUAAAGUUGUUAAAAAUUUGAUAGGAAACAAACUUAGCCAAAAAUUCGUUUGCCAAAUAGGCCAUUAGUUCUAGGAAUGCUUUGAAAAUCCUUGUUAGAGGGAUAGUGAAAUUCUUGUUAUCCAUUAAUAUCUGAGGUCAUGUUAUUCAAUAAUGGUAAUUGUGAAAAAAUUUUCUCUUUUUUGAUUGAUUUUUAUUCAUAAAUUCAAGCUAUUAUUCAAAUUAUAGUAAUUUAUUGAUGAAUUUGGAUUAUUUAUUGUUGAAUUUGGCUAGGUAUAAAGUUAAUUGAAGAUGCAUAAAAGUUUCAUAAAUAAGGCAGCCUGUUUCGACAUUGCUUUCAAUGAUGUGUGGAUUAUGUUUGUGAACUUUAAUGACACAAAGGGGCAAGCUACUCCUACUACUGCUACUUAUUUUGCAUUUGGGGAUGAGUCCCGCAUCUCGUGCUGGAGUUGAUACCGGUGUAGUAAAAUGGUAAUCCAAUAUGCAAUUAACGAAUUUUGUUCUAAAAGCUAUAUAUAACGGAAAUGUGUGAGAACCUGAGAAAAUUAUGUGUAUGCCCUAAAUUUAUUUCAUUUUAUUUACUUUGAUAUUAGAAAUAUUAUAUAUAACGAAUAAAUGGUUAAAUUAAAUGCCUAAUUGAAUCCUUAUGAAAUUGAGAAUUUAGAAAAUAUCCUAGAAUAGUGUAGAAAAAUUUUAUGAAUUAAAUAAAUAUAUGGCAUUCAUAUCGUAAUUUAUGUCAUUUGCAAAUAUUACUAGACACGAAACAUAUACUAUAUAGUUCAAUAGGUACAUGUCUAAUAAAUCCUUUUUAAAGCUAAAUGUGUGAAAAUCUACUAGAUCAACGUAAGAAAAUUUUUCACGAAAAUAAAAAUUAAGUUAAGAGUGAAUGUAUGAAAUAAUAAACUAAAGGACCAAUUUAACCAUUAAUGGAUGGACAAUUAACCAUGCAACCAAAAGAGGAAUUGAGCUUCUGGACAACCGAGGAACUUAGGCAAUCAAAUGCUUAAUUACUAGAGCGGUGAUUGAGAGAACACUAAGAAGAAAACAGCUCAAGUAGUAAGUAGCACCGACUGGGAAACAUUGACCACCGAGUGGACUGUUCCUUCUGAUUCUAGAGUCUUAUAAGCUGCUAAGUCCAAGCGGUGGCUGAAGGAAAAACCAAGAGAAAUCCACAGCCAAUAAUUUGCUAAGUCAAGCGGUAGAAGUGAGGAAACAAAUAGAAAGUGGCUUGCUAAGUUGGGCGGUGGCCGAGUGGAGAAGCGAGGCUUCAAUUCUUUUCUUACCAACCAAACACCAAGAGCAAAACUGAGAGACUAAGCCAUUUCUUUUCAUCUCAAGGCACAACCGAGAGAGAGGAAAAUAUUUCUGGUUCCUCCUUGUUCCAGUUUUCAACCGAGAGAGUGAGGGAGAGAGUUAGACAUUUGCUAGCUUUAUUUCUCCAGCUUGGAACCUCAAAACUCUGAGCCAAAGUGAGUGAGAGGGAGAAAAAUCCUGGUGGUAUACUUCACCUAACGGCCUCAACCGAAUGAGAGUGAAGUAGAUUGAAGAAAGAGUGAGAGUUGGUGCAAUUUUGAGGAACCGAAGCUCAACUUGGAGCCGUCUGCACUUGCUGAAUUCUAGAGGAAAGGAGUUCUUGUCCUUAGUUUAGCUACCCGAGAGACAUUAGGAGGAAAAGGAGAGAAGGACCAAAAGAAAGAAACAACAACAACAACUAGGAACUCAUUUCUGGCCACCUUCAACCGUGAGAACCAGCCACAAAGAAAGCAGGAAUGCAGUCUAUUGAGCUAAGAAUGGGAGAGAAAAACCAGAAUUUUAUUUUCCUAACUUAGAACCAUAAGAACCAGAGGUAAACUACUAUCUUUCUCUUCCAUUUCUUCUACGUUUAGCUAGUAGUCUUUUAGAAUGAAUUGAAACCAAGUAAAAGAAAAUUUUCUAGAAAACAAAGGUUGUCAAAGCUGGAAAUGUUCGUUUGAAGCUGCAUGUUCUCACUCUAAUGUUUAUAUGAUUGCAAGUUAGAUUUGAGUGUAAAAUGAAGAGAUUAUUAGAGGAAAUUUCAUACUUUUAAACUGCUAGCUGCUGAAACUCCUUCAUCUUGGCCGAGAGAACAAAAGAGAGUAUUCUCCAACUUUUCUCUUCAAACCUUGGCUAUAAAUUCUAUAUUGUGAUUCAAAACACCUCAUAGAAUAAUAAUUAUCACCUGGAUAUUAAGUUUGAAUGAGGAAAAUAAAGAAUUUUAUGGAGAAAACUUGUUUUCCAAACUACCUACUUGCUGGAAUUUUUCAACCUCAGCCGAGAGAGAUGGAAGGGAUAUUUUCUGAUAUUUCUCUAUAGAUUUUGGGCUGUAAACUUUCAUAUUAAGGUUGAUUACACCUUAUAAUAUCAUUAGAUGGUCAUGUAUGUGAAUUUUGGGGUGAAAAUGUGAUUUUUUAUGGCUGGAUUGUUGUUUGAAAGACUGUUAGGCUAAUAAACCAUUUACAGUUUAGUCAACGGAAUUUCUUGGCUUUGAAUGGAUAUUUUAGUAUAAAAUUUGCUGGAAAUGCUUGAUUUGUACUUGUUGCUGUGUUAUGAGUUUGUUGGUGAGUGAUUGGUGGAUGGAAAUAAAAUCUAAAUAGUUAAAAUGGAAGGGAAAGUUUGCUAUACCACCUACAGGAAUCAAAGGAGCCUUGUAACUUAUAUAAGAAGAUAUCCAUUUAUUACUUGGUUUAAUAGGCUCUAUAUAAAUUGUAUACACAUCUUAAGGUAAUAAACUAGUUAUGCAUGUGGUCUUGGUUAAUAACAGAAGGAAUUAUGUGACAAGAAAGUACUUUAAGGUUAGCUACUUCUAAACUUACCUUGUUAAACGUUAAUGUUGAGUUUUAGUACGAUAAAUCUAACAGUAUAAAAGUAGUGAAGUGACAUUACUGGAAUUGCUACUUAAACUUCCUUUCUUUUGGAAAUUAAAAGUUGAAGUAACAAGCGAGUGUGAGAAAAUGCACUAGUCAUCUCAUUUAAACAUAGCAAUGACUUAGAUUUCGGGUGGAAUGGUGACUUAAGGCUAGAAUACAACACGUAUGUUGAUUAUACUUUAGAAUUUCACCAAAUGAGUAGUUAAAUAAUUAUGGCAAUUAUAACUUGUCUCAGGAGACAGCGGUGCGCAAGAAAGCAAUUCUAAGAUCGAAGUGUAACUUUUGAUUAGGGUGAGUGUUUAAGAAUUUAUAUAUUUAACUGUUUAUGUUUAUUUAAGUGAAAUUAUGUGAUAAAUGUGCUUAUUAUGUAUAUUGCCAGUGAUUUAUUGUAAAGUGUAUCUCAAUUGUCCCUCGCCUUCUAAGUCGAGGGUGUACUUUAUCGCACUCGACUUAGUUGAACUUGAAGGUUGAUUAUUGACUAAAUGUUACUGUAAGUAUGUAUGAAUGUAAGCCGUAUGUGUACUUUAUCGCAUCGGCUGAACUGAGCCUCAAAACCCUCUGUUCAACAGAUUAUUCGAGCCAGCAAAGGGCUUGUUGGAUAGGACGGAAGCUUUGGGUAACUGUUUGGUAUACUCGGGUAUUACCCUGAAGUUGGGAGAUUAUUGAACUGAUUGCUGAAUGUAGGGGAUUGAUUAUUGUUUUGGAGGACAUAAGGAGGUGGAUUGGCGGAGUGUGCAAUAAUAUUGAAAUGAAUGUACAAUGACACUGAAAUGAGUGUGCAAUGAUAUUGAAAUGACACUGAAUUACUGAACGGAACUAAGUGCUACGUCUGGAACGAACGGGAACCACCUCUAGAGUCCGUAUCAAUACCGUAUCCUUUGAGGUGAUUGAUUACUUUUAUUAAAUUUGAUAUCCUGAAUUGUUAAGUUUGGUGAAUGUUUUAUACUGCUAAUUGGUUGUUGUAUCCUUUUGAAAGUGACAAUACAGUGAAAUGUGCAUUACUUGCUUAAUUUUACUAGUUAAGUGUUUAUUGAAUGUUACUUGUUCGGCAAACCUCACUAAGUUUUAGCUCAACCUUUUAGUUUUGUUUUCCUUACAAGAAUUGGUGGUCAGGGAAUGAACAAGGGAUCUUAAGGAGUUAACGUGAAGAAUUUUGUGAAUGUAAAUCCUUUAACAUCAAAUUAUGGUUGAGGCUAUUAUAUUGAACUUGGUAUUGUAAAAGAUUUGAGUAUUUGGUUUUGGUUUAUCGAAAUGUUAUCUCUGAAAUUAAUGUAAGUGAGUGAGUCCUGGCGAGAGUCAGGCAGAUGGUCCGCUAACUUCUAGGGUAUGCUCUAGGAGAAGGUGUGACGACCCCACCUCCCCUAAGGCGUACCAAAGGGUUCGGCGGACCGCCUGCCCAACUCUCGCCAGGACUCACUCACUCGUGUCUUACGCAUACAUCCAUAGACAAGAAAUAACAUUGCAAUUCAAACUUGUAAUAUACAUCGAUGCACAAACCCAGAUACAAGACAUCUAUACAUCCAAAAUACUUAAAAGUGUAUACAAUACAAGUACAACGCAUUCUAAGCGAAUGAUAGCGUGAGUACAACUCGAAAGUCAAAACAAUUAGUCUAAACUAGUCUGUACACGUCUCACGCCUCGCUCGUACCCCUGUAAGGAAAACAAAACUAAAGGAGGUUCCAAAUAUCAAAUUGUCCAGCAAAUAAAGUAACAGUGGCAUAAUGGUGAAAUAGCGAGCAAAACAAGUCAAGAAAUGAGUAAUAACACUUCAUAUAGCUAGACACGUAAUUUUUCCGCAUUUCACAUAUAAGAAUACAGUUGCUCAUAUAUCGACUCCACCAUAGCUUGAUCAAUUGGUAGUUGGCACUCCGUCAACUUUCAAGUGAGAAACUAGUCCAGUAGGUCACCACUUCACUCCAAUCUCCGUCCACCGAUCAAACCUCUUACUGGGCUCGAACUCCACAAUAAACACUGGUGGUAAUACUCGAGUAUACCGAUUAGUCGAGGAGAUAACACUCCACUCGACAACACUAGAUACCCAUGGUUCGUUAUCUAAUCGACCAAACCCUUGCCGGCUCGACUCGAUUAACUAGCCAAUGGGGUUUGGAUCCCCAAAAAAUCGAUGAGAUAACACUCCAAUCGAUUGAAUCAAGAUAAAAGUAUGGAGACGGGAAUGAGAGGUACCUCCCACUCGGAUCGAGUGUGGUACAUACUGCCGCUCAGUACUUACAAGUCACACACAAAUAUCUCAAAUCAAUUGCAACAAUAAACAAGUACAUAUCACGUUAGGGCAAGUGCGAUAAAGUACACCCUUGCCCGAUCAUACCAAUCACAUAUCAUUCGAUCACAUUGGUCAAGUAUUAAAAACAAGUAUCCAGUUCAAUCAGGUAUUUGGAAGUACUCACCAAAGAUGUAGUGCCUUUACGGAUCACGGUCAGGUAUUACUCCUUGUGUGGAGUUCAACUCUGCGAUAAAAUGUCAUUUAAGAACUUGAAAUCAAUUAGGGUUCAAGUUUUUUUUAAAGAAAAUCAAGUAAUUGAAACUCAUUUGGGGAAUAUUCGUAAAACUCAUGCUCGCUCUUAAAACUUUGAAAAUUUGAAGCGAUUAAACUUUGAAAUUCCCAUUUGAGUCGAAGAGAGGAGAAAAACGUAUUUCUAUUAGUCGUUACUUUUAUUUUUUCAAGGUUACAAGGUUCGGUCGAAUUCUAACUUAUAUACCACUAUGAGCGAAGACUUGAAUACCCUAGAUGAUUCGAGUUCAAUUCGACCUCAAAUCUUCGCUCAAACUGCGAGUAUACACGUCUCACUUUCGAGUGAAAAUUUGGGCAGCAUACCCCUUUGUAUUUAGCUAUUUUCCAGUCAUUUAUGGCUUCAUUAUUGUUCUCAAUUCAGCCCUAAAAUCACACGCAAAUAAUCUUACCACAAUAGCCUUUCACUAGGCUCAAUGUCAUCCACACACAAGACAAUUUUAGCAUGUAAGCUUCACUUGGAAAUUCGGAAAUGGUGGCCAAAAGCUAAGUACAAGUCUUGACCGCUUUAAUUAAGGUAACUUGUUAAAAGAGUAAAACUUUGAGGAAAUGAGAGAUACAUUAGCGAGAGAAGUUCAAUAGGGAUAUAUUUGAUGUCAAGGAAGUGGAAAAAUCAAGGUGAGGGGUUGGAAGUAGGCCGUCUGAGGUUUUAAAGUCAAGAAGCCCGUUUCUAUACUUCAGGAAUCUACUGAGAUGAAUAGUAACAGUAAACUUUAAAAAUUCGCAACUCGAGUUCCACAAAUCAAACAAUUAUCAAAGUUAUACUGUUGUAAAAUAGAUUUUUAGUACUAUCACAUCCCAGAAGACACUUUUCAGAGAUUCAAAUCACAAAUAGGCCAAAUAUUCGAUCCAAGUCAAAAAUUCAUUUUCCUGAAGAAACAGGACAUUCAAGCAGGACAGCCUACUUUGAGGAGUCACGGACAGCAGUACACAUGGAGGAAAAAUAUGAAAUUUUUACAAAACAAAGGCCCAUGAUUCUAGUUGCAAAUGCCACUGAUGACACCUCAAUCGGAUUUUUCUACACCAAGAUAUAAGCAUUUUACUGAGACUGGUCAGUGAAAUCCGAAAAUCUGGAAACUCAUUUUUCACUUGUGAAAAACUCCUUUUUCUCUUUUAAAACCACAAGACUUUUAUUCAAACCACCCAUACAUUUAAGUAUGACAUUCAUACCAGCAGUUUUAACAUAAUUUAAGCAUCAAAUUUCAACAGAAACCAAAGAAAUAUACAUAUAUUCCAAGUUUAAAGUCUUGUAAGAUGUUUAUACUAAGAUUAAAUCAUUUUCUAUCCAAUAUUCAAGGAUUAAGGCAAAUGAACUCUUCAUUUGUUCCAUUUAAGCUAAACCAGAUUCUAAGUUGUUUGUAGUUUGGGUUUUGUUCCACUACACCAGCCCCUCACAUUAAUAGUCUUUAAAAUAUUAAUGAACACAAUAUUAAAUCAUUAGAAGCCACUUUACGUAUAUAACUAUCAUAACUUUCCACUCAAUCGUGUUGGUUUAACCCUACUCGUGGAACUAGGUAUAUCCAUUAAAUCUGAGAACAAUCGUAGCUAUCAUUUAUGAAAGCUUGCAAGAUUGGAAAUUAGAAGAAAUGUUAGUUAAAAGUUGGUUUCCUCAGGGCCAUCAUCAAAACUGCAUGCAUGUGAAACAAAAGGAAAGGCAACGAGGAAGUCAGCUUUGCCAUCCUCUGGUAUUUCAAUCAUAACUAGAGCUAUGCUUAUCAGAUUGAGGCAAGCUUUAUAGCGUUUCGAAGCUAAGAUAUAUACCUACAUUUCUUAUGACGACACCAACACCCAAUUCUCAUAUUUUCAGGGUCAAAAAUGGCCGGACAGAAACACAUCCUGCUUCACUCUGUCGGACAGCAACCACAAAAUUAAUCCAGUACCGUUACUUCAACUUUUGUCAAAAACUCUAUUCUUUCACUUGCUUAAAGCUCUAAAUACUUAAGGUAUAUUCAGUCCAGCAUAUACAAGGUGAGUAACUCAUAAUUUCAGCAUGUUGUUCGGCCAAAAUCACACACAAAAUCUGUCAUCAGCUGUUGCAUCAUUCAACGAAGUUUUCCAGCAGUAUAACAGUUCAACUUUGAUGUUUUCUCAAAUAUUUCCUUUCAGGUUCAUGCUCCAACUAGAAGUAUAAAACAUAUCUUAUCAAGCUACAAAGUAGCCUUAAACAGAACAUAUGAGGUUUACAACUAAAAUUCGAAGGAAGAUUGAUUAAAAGUCCUUUUCUCUCUCUCUCUCUCUCGGCCUUCCUAGCCAGUUCCAUCAGCUUUAAUCAAAAUUUCACCAUUAGUUUUUCCAUUAUGCUCUCAAAUCUAACUUGCAAUCAUAUUAAACAUUAGACAGAUCAUAAUACGUGAGUUCCAGUCACAAUUUAGCAAACGUUUUAGAGAAAUAACCAAAAUUGCAGCUUUUCCCUCUCGAUUUGCUGUGCAGAAAAUUCCAGCUUUUGAGAUUGCUUUAAAGUCAAUCUUUUCUUGCUUUUAGCUCCUCAAAUAACACACGGAUGACUGGAUUAGGAAGAUGGCAGUUAUAUGAAGUGAGUUUUUAACUAAACUAACAAAAUUUUCUAGAGAUAAAGCUGGAAAUUUCCAGCUUCAUCUUAUUGAUCCUUCAUGUAGUGUCCAAACAGAAAUUCAGCAAAGUUUCUUCAUAUUUUACACUCAUUCCACUUGAGUUCAGGUCAAGUACUGCACCCAUGUCAAGAUAUGUAUACUAUGGAAUAUAUAUAAUGCAUGAAGACAUAAUCUAACACAUUUUGAAGGAGAAUUGACUAAAAAAUUGCAGCUUUUUAUCAUCGGGUAGCAUGCAAUAACUUUGAACAGAAUUUUCCAGCUUUGAAGAACUUUUAUCGGUGAAUUCCUUCCUUUCUCAGUUCUAGUUCAUCCCAAGGAAUUAUUAACCAGGCAUAGCAGGAAAAUGAAGAAGAGCUUAAUUAAUUACCUAUUGUCUCUUCACGGUUUAGACUGGAACAAGAUUUCUGGUUUUCUUUUGUUUCCCUCUCUCGAUUCCUUGGUUAAAUGAGCUGGAGUUUCUCUUGUUUCUUGGCUGGUGUUCAUGGUUGGAGAAGGUAAGAGAGGUCUCCGUUUUUCCUUCUUGUUGUUUCUCGAUUUUAGGCAACAGGGGAAGUGAAUGGAACCCUCUCGGUCACCGCCCAACUAGUGCACAAAUGAAUUUCUUAGCUCCUCUCAUUCGGUCAUCACCUCACGUAGCAAAUAAAUGGGCAGCUGUCUUAACAGGUACCGCACAAUCUAGAAGCCAAUUCCUACUGGUUUUCUCCCUUCCACCGCUUGGACUCAGCAGAUAAUUUCUCUUUAUUGUCUCUCUUUCGGUCACUACUUAUUCAGCAAAUUUGGUGAUGCAUUCCUUCCUGGCAGCUGUCUCAACUCACCGCCCCAGUCUCAGUUAAUUUCUACACUUCACCGCUUAGACAAGUAGAUGGUUGCUGGCUUCUAUUCGGUUCCUAUCAAUUAAAUUUUUAUUCCUCUCUCGGUUUUGGUCUUCUGAAUUCUGAUAGCUUAUGCCUUGGCCACCUGGUAGUUAGUCUAAAAUUUAAGGUUAGUUUGGUCUUUUAACUGUAGCUUAUUUGCUCACAACGGCCUGAUUUGUUUAUUUAUUUUUUUAUGAGUUCAUGCAUGGACUCGUACCUUCAUUUGUAUUUUCGUGGAAAAAUUUUGACACCUUUAGCUUUAAGAAAAAUUAUUAGACAUGUACCGAUUGAACUUCUAGUAUAGUUUACGUGACUAGUUGUAUUUGUUUGCAAAUAACAUACAUUACAAUAUGCAUGCCAUAUAUGUAUUUAAUUCAUAAAAUUUUUCUAUACUAUUCUAGAAUCUUUUCUAAAUUCUCAAUUCUAUAGAGAUUCAAUUAGGCCGUUAAUUUAAUCAUUUAUUCGUUAUACAUAAUAUUCCCAAUAUCAAAGUAAAUAAAUGAAAUAAAUUCAGGGCAUACGUAAUUUUUUUUUCCUGGGUCUUCACAGAAGGUGGGGCCGUCACAAAAUGAUUAUUCGUAAAGAAACUUAUUUAAAAGUUGAAAUUACCCUUGUUUUGAAACUCAAAUGGCUGAAGCGAACAAAAUGCAUAAACAUAAUAUGUAUGACACUCUAACCCCAUAUGAUUUUAUAUUUUACCAUGAAACCCCUUAUGAUUUAAUGUUUUAUCAUAUAAAUCCCUUAUGGCUUUCACUAUAUAUACAUAACCCCCUUAUAGUUAAUAAAUAAUUUUCAACUUUAUAUAGGGUAUUUUUUAUAUUUUAAUUGAUUCCAUUAUGGAUUGUAAAUUUCGUUAAUUUGACACUUUAAUUCAGACAAUAAGAGAGUUAUGUAUAACUUUUGAAAUCAUAAGAAGAUUAUGUAAAAAAAAAUAUUAAAUCAUAGGGGAGUAAAAUGUAAUUUAACUGUGUGCAGCAUCCAGCCCCUCUGGCUGCUGUCACUGGAUUGGGAGGAAUAUAGUAUGAAAGGCUGCAUGCACCGUCCAGCGUCUCUACCACUGUGGGUCAUGACUUUAAUUUCUUCACGGGUAGACUUGUAGUUGCCAGACUCAACACGAAACAAAGUUUGUACCCAAUUUCGAACGCUAUAUGGGCACGUCGAGAUAUUGAAUGCUGUUCAUUUACGAUUGUUUUGGUUACUCCAAAAUUUAAACGUGCAUUUGAAAUUCAUUAAAUAUCUGUUUACUCUUCUUUUAGCUUCAACCUUUUUAUAUAUUCAAAACCACCAAAAUGUUUUGCUUAUAUUUAAAAAAAAAAAAAAAAAAAAAAGAGAAGAGUUUAUCAAGUCUCAUUGAACGUAUUAAACAAGGUUUUUACCACAAAAAAAAAAAAAGAAAUAUAGCUGGAUCCAUGCAAAUAUCUGUAAAGGCUUUGUAAAGUAUGUGGAUCCUAUUCUAUAAGUAAUUAAAUUUUUUUUUUUUGGGUUAUUCUUGGAAAUAGACUACUGCAACCAGUUACUAUUUAAGUGGUCCAUGGCAGUAACUCUGAUACAAAUUGACAAAUGAAUACAUAUUUUUCAGGAACUUCAAGUCAUUGUCAUUUUAUCAGCAAUUUUCUACAAGCAUUUAGAACCAUAGAUGAUGCUUUAUCAGACGACCAAUACCAAAGGAAUUGAAUACGCAUCUCCUUAAUACUACUUCAUCAUUAUUAGCUGAUUGAUUUGGUAGUAGUAUUCCUGUCACUUUUGAUGCAUUAAAUAAGCUUAUUAAUCAAUUGUCGCUUGCGAGAAAGCUUGAUAAAAAAAAAAAAAAAAAAAUCAUCUCCAAAAACAAGUUGGCUAUGACAGGAAUGGGAGAGGGGCAAUGACAAUCGUCAGUUGAAUCGUUUCGAAACGAUGUAAAAGGGAAUCAACAGGCAAGUUAUCAAAUAUUUGUGAUAAACUCUUAAAACACACAUGUUAUAUACUUAAACUCUGUUCACGACGACCCUACAAGUUAGUUGAGUUAGAGUUACAUAUAUCGUUAUCUAUCUCACCUUUACAACAUGAAUUUUUAUGUUAUUGGCAAAAUCUGAGUCAUGAACCUUCCGAAACGUUCGUCAGUUUCGUGACAACCAUUUAGUCCGACAAAGACACUUGUCUUGUUGUAAAGUGAACUAGAAAAAUUACCUCGCAGUAUAUUUCUUAGAAGAAUAGACUAAGUACCAUCCGUUAGCCAACCACAAGUAUAGCAAUUGAAUCAAUUAUCCUGACUGAUUCUUAGACUGUUUAUUCCAACAAAUUGCCGAAUAAUGAUAUUAUGAAGUAUGUAACUGCUUUAUGCUGCUGAUACAUGUUUUCAUCGAGUGAUAAAAUUUGUUAUGUAUUCUGUAGUUAUUGUUGUAAUGAUUUCCACGAAGACUUCAAGUCAUUGUGCCUGUUUCAAGUCAUCGUGAGCCAUUGUUCCGAACCAUAGAGGUUCUUGCGUGAAUAUGUUUGUACUGGAGAACGAAUGUGUAUCUAAUGAUGAAACAUAGGACAACUGAAAGAAAAAAUACUUAUAAACAACGCAUUGUUUAUUUAUUUAUCAUUUUCGUCUCCGGCAUUAACAAGCAGGAGUACAUUUGAUUUCACCCCUCCUUCAGCAGAUAGCGAUCGAGAGGAACUGAUCAGGCAGCACGAGCAUAGGACCGUAGCAUGGACUGGAAAUUUACCUCGUGAUGAAGGUAGGGGAAAACCAUGAUGCCUCCAUAAACAGGAGAGUUCUUCAGAUAGGGAAGAACCUCAUAAACUAGCUCAUUAGGUGAGAUGAAACCGCCCUCAGGUGCGAUAGAAGAGUUUAUUGGUAUUCCCAGGAACAAUAGAUUAACGCCUGGAUAAUCAGACCAAUUGUCCCAGCUCCGGAAGAGGAGACUGGUAUCGUUUGGAGGCUUAAACUGACAAGAUGGGUUGUCGAAAAAUUCCACCCGCACCUGAUCAACGACACCAGUUCUGAUAGUUGUGUCAAGAGCAGGGUCAGGAAUAGGACAUUCCGCAGCUACGGCUAAGAUGACAUUUGGGUAUCCCUUAAGUGCCCGAGCAAGAUCAUCCAAGUAAGUCGUGUUUCCGCUGUGGAUGUGAAGCUCUACGCCAUCUAAAACAGCUGUGCCGAAUGGACGGUCGCUUGAUUCACCGCCUAAGUAAGUGUUCCAGACAAAGGCUGCCACUUCUUGCGCAUCUUCGACGGAAGAAAGCCUCGGUUGUCCUGCGAGAGAAAUAAACACUUUGGUCUGAUGUUUCUGGCAAGAUUCUAUGUCUGAUGAGCUCGGCAAAGGAUGAAUUAUGUUCAAUUCAGGCAUCUGGCCGCUGCCAAAAUCUUCCAGAAAGGCAAUAUUCACGUCGGUAGCGAAUUCUCGCCUGCAGAACUCAGCCAAACUUGAUGGUUCUUUAUGGCCUCGGCCCCAGUAUUGGACAAUUCCGGCAGCUUCGGAGGACCCAAUCAGAGAAGCAAUCAACAGGAAUGUUAUUGCUGAGAACAGUGGUUGCAAAGAGGCAGCCAUUUUUUUUCUCUUUCUUUUCAGUGAUUUUUGCAGCUUUGCUUUGGUGAGUUCACUUGCACAAUGACUGACCAUUUUAUAGAUGAGUUUAUCUCAAGUGGAUGUUCAGCAUCUAGAAUAUCCAAACAUCCGUACAACAAAACGUGAAUGGCACGAUUUCUCAUUUCUGCUCUCAAAAAGGUGAAUGGUAUUAUUUUUGUGUUUCAAUAUUGCUAGAGACUACCGUUGUGCUCGCCUAACCUCAUCCACAACUGGACGAAGAAAGAUCUUUUUCUUUCUUUUUUUUUUCUUUUGGGACAUUACAUGGCAGCUAGGGGGGGGGGGAGUGGAUCCUUGAGAUUAAUGGGAAUUGAAUCAUCAUUGAAUUAGACGAGUGGUCCAAACAUCCUCUAAAUUUUAGAAGAAAUUGCAUAUCAAAUGAUAAUUGAUGAAAGAUAAAAUUCGAACCUCGAUAAGAGAAAACUAGGAGUCUUGUUUGAAAUGUAAAAUUUUCAUGAACAUUCUUGAAGUAAAAAGAGUGCUCAAGUAGCCUACGAAAUCCUUCAACUAUGGUACAAUAAAGUGAAAUGGGUGCCUUUCAAUGUGCAAUAAUGGUAGGGGCAACUAUUCUUCUAACUGCUGCUUCAAAUGCAAUUUUUAAUUUACACUUUUUACCAUCUCUCUAUAUCUUUAAAAAUUAAAGUAACCUGCACAACAUGCCCUUACUAUGUGCACAAAUAUUCAUACCGAUGUGCAAAACUUUGGAAUGGUCCUAGUUGUAUAUAUUAGUAAUAGUAGAAAUGUAAAGUUCAAUACUUCCACCUCAAAAGUAACUGCAAAAUAUGUCAGUUGGAAUGAUCCCAUUUAAAGUUCAGAUCACCCCUUAUUUAAUUAUGUUAAGUUCUUAAUAUUUUCCCAUUCAAUCCUUCAUUCAACAGCGGUGAUGGUGCUGUGACGUUUGGUCUUAAGCAAGAAAAUUUUUUUCCUCGCCCUCAGUGUGAAUGUGACUCUCAUAUAUAAAUAAUCUCAUAGCAAAACAUGUUCUUACUGAUCGCAGAAGUGAAGCUUGUACACAGGAAUGUAUAGAUUCCAGUUACAUCCAACUAAUCACUGUUUAAGCAUACGAAUUAGCCAUCACGGGCUAAGACACAGAGGCAAUUCCAGUUGGUUCUAGAUAAAGGGAUCUUCCUCUAACCUGCUGUCACAUCCUUUACAGGAGCCAAGACAGCAGGAACUAUGUCCACAGCCGAGAUAUGUCUCUGCUGAAACAUAGCCAAAUUCCUUGCUGUCCAUAGCUAGUAUAGGCUCAAAACCCUCUUCUCUUUCUUUGCUUCUUAAAUUCCACCCUUCAAUCCUAUGCUACUCAUCCUAUUUUUUAAGAAUUUUAAUUUAUUUAUUUUUUAAAAAAAUUGAUUCAUGUCUUCUGUUUGGAUCCAUGUCUUUGCUGCUUUUAAUUCCUUAAUUUAACGUAGCCCCAAACACGGCAUAUAAUAGUCACUCUCUUAAUAAAUGCAAUUAAUUAAUCAUACCAAAUAUAACGUUUGGAUUAGGUAUUGUAGCACACCUUAGUUUUAUUCUGUUCCCUAUUUUACUUAGUUUCAAACAUGCCCUAUAAUAAUCAACCCUCUAAUGAUGCAAUUAAAUAAAUAUACCAAAAAUAUCUAUACAUAUUUGAAACUAAACAUAAUUGUAUCCAUAACAAUCAAUAUAAAAAAUUAACUAAAAAACAAUCUUUGACUAACAUAAACUAAUAAUCUAAGUUCUUGUCCUCCAAAGAAAUAACAAUAUUCCAAAUCAUAUAAGUUGAACAGCUUAGCAAAUUAGCAAAAUUGACUAACAAACACAACACAAGGUUACAAAAUAUUCAACAUUUCUGUAUUCUUUUUCUAACUAAAAUUUACAAAUCAUACCCAAAAAAAGAACUAAUCUAAGUUCCUAUCCUCUAAAGAUAUAACAAGAUUCCAAAUCAUAUAGUUGAACAAUUUACCGAAUUAGCAAAAUUGACUAAAAAAAUACAAAAAGAGAACAACAAAAUUUUCAAUAUAUUUUGUAGUGCUUUCCUAAAUAAAAUUUAAAAAUCAUACCCAAAACAUAAAAAAAAAUGAAAUAUACUUAUCAGAUACUUCAAUUAUUAGAAUCAUCAUGCACAGAAAAUAAAAAAAAAUAGCUCUAAAUUUCAGCCCAGACCUAGAUCUAAAAUUGGACCUGAAUUAUAUAUAAUCGGACAUUAUUCAUGCUAUUAGAAUUGAUAGAUUUUGUUCGAGCAUAAAAAUGAAAUAUAAUAUUUUUACCUAUUCUUUUGUUACACAAUCAAAAUUAAAAUUAUGUUAUAGUUAUGACUAAAAGAAAUGGAGAAGUAUAUUUUGCAACUACUUAAACUUUUUAUUUAAACUAAAGACAUAUUGAAACUAGGAAAAUUAGUUUAGAAAAGAUAAUAUGAAAAUAAUGCACAAAAUUUGGCUCUAUAGAUGUAGCAUCUACAGAAAGGACGAUUUGCAUUUAGGGGUUGCGGGGAUAUGGAAAAGUAGCAUGGAAUGGGGUUGAUGCAAGGUAGAGUAUGAGGACAAGGGAAGAAGGAAGUAGGAAAGUGGUGAUGUGGGGGGUCGUAGGAAAAGUUAAAGGAAGCUAAAUUUACGCAAUGAUACUAAACUACUUAAAGUUUGAAAUUCCAAUUGAAAAUAUUAAUAUUAUGAAAAUUAGUUUAGGAACGACAAUUCACAAAAAUUACACAAAGUAUGGCUCCAUUUUGAUGGGUUACUUUUAGAAAACUUUCAUAAUGGGAAUAUUCUUUUAAAAUCUUUAUAUGCAGUAUUUUUUGGGUCUUUUUUGAAAAUUUUUGGUAUGUUUUCAUUGAUGGCAUUGAGUAUACUUAAAAAUGGUAGGUAAGUAAUAAAAUGAGUCUCGGGAAUAGAAAAAGAUAGUUGGCAAUGGGAGUGUAGGUAGCAAUUGGUAAAGAUUUAAGUUGACUAAGUUUACUUAACAAUAUUAAAUUUACUAUGAAUUAAUCCUAUAUACACUGAUAGUGUAUACGCUAUCAUUAUUAGAUAAAUGAUAUAUGUGCAAAAUUUGAAUUUAAAAUUCAAAAUUUACUCAUAUGUCAUCCAUUCAAUCGUGAUAGUGUAUAUAAAAUUUACUCAUUUACUUUAUAGAAAUAUUAGAUUUACAUUUUAUUAUCAUUUUAUGAGAUUAAAUUUACUUAACAAUAAAAUUUACUUAACGAUAUUAGUUUCAUAUUUCUAUUUUACCUAUUAAAUUUACUUACUAAUAUUGCUGUAACAAUAGUAUUUUACUAUCACAAAUACCAGAUAUUAUUGUUUAUGGACAUAGAUAGACAUGAAAUUGUCCACAAUAAUAAUAAAAAACAAGAUUCAUCUUAUUCUCUCAUGAUAUUUUUUUGUUUUUGUUUUUUAUGUUCCUAACAUUAGGCCUUACAUAUAAAAUCUUUUUAUCGACUUCUUUUUUUAUCUUUUACUUAUCAUAUAAAAUCUUAUUACUUCUUUAAAGAUAUAAUCCCUUACAUAUAUAUAGCACUAGUCCAAUCAUACGUUGUCGAAGAUGAUCAAGCUCUUGCUGGCUUGCAUAUAUAAAGGCCAACGUCUUGAUUGAUCAAUUUUGAUAUCACUCGUCAAAAUGGGUGCCCAUCAAAGACUCGUCAAAGUCUCGUGAUUAAUUUCCACAAAUUAAAGGAGUUGCGUGAUACAGAGAACCUCUGCCUUACUGUAGACUUUUCACAAUACCACGUGUCUGCCAUUAGUACAUCAUUUGGAAUUUUUUAGACAGCGACCGUACAGACGUGGAUUCGUUUGAUAGAGUCUGGGAUUUUGAAGGUCAAUUGUCCAAUAGGGAUCUCGACAUUUUACAGCCACCUCAGCUGCUAAGGAAUGAACGGCUCCUGUAGCUGAUAGGCGGAUAUGCCUCCCAAAGGAGAUUUUCUCAAAAGGAAUAUCUUUAAUUUUCCAUGGCGGAUUGAGACUUCCAUCGUCCACUUGUCCCCACCUAGCCCGUCGCCAAGUUUUUCCACACAAACAUUCUAUUGAAACUAGCUGUUUUUAGGGGUAUUUUUGAAAAAAUUUGCUGUAAUAGAGUUUUUAGAUUAUAUUUUACGAUAUUUUUAGAAAAUAUUUUGAAAUAUUUAAAAGUAGAAGAGUUUUUAGAAUAUAUUUUAAAUUAUUUUUAAAAAUUUUAAAAAAAGUUAAACUAAUUUUUAGCGUACUUUUUAAAAAUUUUUAUUAUUUUUAAAAAACAUUCCCGUCCAAAUAGAGUAAUUAUCAUUCCGAUAUCUUUAAUGAAUGGCGAUGUUUUUUGCAUUUGUCUUUUUUGCUGUUACAAAUAAUAUGGUAUAAAAUAGUCGAGUCGAGUUACUCAAUUCUUUUUUUUUUAGCAUGAAAGUUUUAAUUGUGCUGCGUAUUUCUAGAUUUUAGUGCAUGUUUUUAUCUGUCAUUAAAGCAAUGAUGUAUAUCAAUCGUGUUGGAUGAUUUUCAAUAAUUCGUUAAUGAAAUAUAUUUUGUUAUGAAAAAAAAAAAAAAGAGAAUAGAUACGUCAAAUAGUCUACUGACUUAUAUUGUCGAAGAUCUGCACUCUUGAUUGGCCUAUCUGUGUUGCAUUUUCCUGUAAUUGAUGGAAUUUAGAUCCGAUAAGGGAGUACACCUAAUGGACAAUAAUUGCAAGAUCAUUUGCUCAGCAAAGUAUGUGGAUCCCACUCCGUACGUUUUGUCGGCUAUUCUUGGAAAUGGACUAUUCCAUCCAACCGGUUUUUACCCGAGAGGUAAUUCUGACAUCAUUUGACAUAUUUUCUGGGAAAACUUUUUAAGUGGUUGCCUUCUUUUUUUUUUUUUUUGGGGUCGAAAGGAUAGAAUUAAGUGGUUGUCAUUUUAUCAUCAAUUUUCUCUAGACAUAGAUAAAUGGUGCUUUAUCUGAAAUUGCUUUUGCGAAUAUUAUUCUUGUCACGUGACUGCAUUGGAUAAGCUUAUUAUCAACUGCCACUUGUACUAACUGACAAGCUCUUAUGUAGUUGAGAGAAAGCCUGAUAAAUAAAUUAAGCCGACGGUCAUGGUAAAUUUCUUCUCGUGAUUCGUAUUGCUACCGAAAUAGGAAAAAGGGGCAUGCUUCAUAUUGAGUCAUUACGAAUAAAAGCCCUAAUGUUUCAAUGUCUGGACUAAGUACAGAAAGUGAUAAACUAAGAACUAAAAUCCAUCAAGCGUAUUAUCAUUCUACCAACAAGAACUGGACUUCACUAAUGAUAAUUUUAAUGCCAUAGCUUUCAACUCGUUCCAAGUGAGAACUUACAAAAAGUAGUUCAACUCAAUGACAGCUCCUGUACUAAUCCUUGUCACCAAUCCAUAAGCCCUGACGUUACAAAGAGGAAAAGUAAAAGGCAAAUAAGUAGCAACUCGAAUCUGAACUCGAGUUGAGCUCGGUCAAUAUCAAGUUCGAACUGACCAAAUCGAAUUCGAAUUUGAAAAUAUUUAACUUGUUAGCUCGCGAGCCAACUCGAUUAUAUAAAUAUAUAUAUUAUUUUUUAUUUUAUUAGUAAAAUAUUAUAUAUAUAUCACUAAUAUUUUAUUAUUUAUUAAGAAAAAUUAUUAUUUUAUUUAUUUUUAAAAAUAAAAUAAUUAUUUUUUAUUUUUUUAAGCUCGACCUUGAGUUGAAACUCGACUCGAACUUUACAUUUUGAAUUCGUUGAACUCAAAUUCGAGUUUGAGUUUCAUAAAAUUAAAUUGUGAUUCAAUUCGAUUAGGUCAAAACUCGACUCGACUUGACUUGUCCCGUUUCGUUUGCACCCGGAAGGAAGGACCUUAGUAGUGAUUCCUAUCAAUUUCUUUGAUUUAAGGUUUCAGUUCUGCCUGGGAAAAGGUGAAGAGGCACCACUAGCAUGGCUGUAGACCUAGUAGCUACAAUAAAGGCAUCAAGUUGCCCCGCCAAAAUCCGGCCAACCUCCAUCGCCAAUUAACCAAAAGAUAUUUUUAUCAUAGCUAAUAUUUGAGAAUAGGCAAUAAGGGAUAACCUAAGAUUAGUAAGUAGAUUUUUGACUAAAGGAGGAGAAGGCAUUUGGAGAGGUAGGCAUGCUUUUUUUUUUUGUCGGUAACGGUAGAUGUCUUAUAACCUAAUCUAGACUAAUCUAGGGAAGAGGGGUAAGAGGAGAUGGUCAAUUAAAACUAGCCACAUAUUGUGGUAAAAUUUGAAAGAGAUAGGGAUAGAAUCCCUAACCUCCAAUAUCACCAAAGAGGGUGAUGAUCACUGGACCAAAUGGCCCGUGACAUUUGGAGAGGUAGCAUGCAGCUGAGCAACUUUAAGAAAAUGCUCGAGAUGAGGAAGACGAAGAGAGGCGAAAUUUCCUAGCUAGGGGAGAAUCGAUCGGGUGGCUUCAACCUUAUUGGUCCAUGAAUUUCUUUGACACAUGGCCCUUCACGCGGUGUCUUCGUACGUCUCGCACUGGAACUAGACUACUAGGUUGUUUAUCGGCCGAUAAUUUGAUUAAAAAUUCAAUUUUUUUUUUCAAUUUUUUCAACAAUGUCAACAUCCAAUUACCGUUCAAACUUUUAUUUAGUAAUUGAAUAUUGCAAAUUGGAUUACGACCAAAUAAUUAGUAUUUCAGUAAAAUAUCCAAAGUUUUAGAUUGAUUUUCUAAUAUAUAUUAGUUAAGUAUAUUUAAUAUGUAAUUAGUAAUGUAAAAGGUUAUUAAUAUGUUCAUUAAUAUGCUUUUAAGGUCAUAUAUUUGUCUAUAAACAUAUAUUAUAACUUAUAACACUAUGGAUUGAUACAUCAAUAUGCAAUAUGAUAUAUUAAUAGGCAUGAAAUAUAUAAAAUAUUUAAUUAAAAUAUGAAAUUCGGUAACUCAGUCGGUGGUAAUCGAAAAUUCGAGAAUCGAAAUUCAAUAUCAAAUCACAAACUGUUUUGCCAAAAUUUAAAAUUGGAUCUUAAUCGGUUUUUCCAAAUUUCAUUUCACCGACAUCCGAUUUUCAAUUUAAAUUGGAUCAAUCGAUUAUUCGAUUUUUUUUUCCUUUUUUUUGGAAGUGUGAGGACCCCUAGCUGGCUGGUACCAGGGUAGCCAGCCAAAUUACAAUUGACCAGCUGAAUUGGCAAAUCUCUUUCUCGUCUAUCUAGCAGUCUAUCGGAUAAGAUUUCUCGUGUUUAUUGUUCCGUGCUUCAACCGGUAAAUUUAGACAGCGAUGGAUAUCUGCUUGGGCAGGCAAACACCAUGCCCUUAGGUGUCAGUGCAUGGACUUGCAGGAAAAGUCACUGUCCAUUUUCUACGCCGCGGUUGCGGGUCAUGACUUGAACUCAUCGUGCUGUUGGCUACUAUAUCAAACAAGAGAAAAAGGGAAUCCAAUGCAGCGUUUCUUUCUGUUAGUGUUACUACGCCAAUGUUUCUAGCCAAUCACUUUUCUUUUCAUCAGCCAAAAUCAAUCAGGUGAGAUGCUUCCUCGAAGUUUAAUACCACAUAAGCGAAGUAUGAACUUGCUUGUUUAAUACCACAUAACACGAAGUAUGAACUGUUAGAAUUGAGUCACAAUGAGUACCAGUAACUCAGCCUAUGAUUUAUUGUUCCUCGAAAAUUGUUAUCCAUAUUAAAGUUCGAAAAACAAUUUAACCAAAUCGUAUGGAGUACUAUUCAUCCAUUUUUUUGGUCUUUACUUUAACAGCACAACUUAGAGACAUUAUUCAGUUUCUGCAAAUUCUUUUGUCAAAAAUGGCCCAAGGAUGAUUUUUAUUUGAAAACUGCAAUAUUUUUGGUCUCUUAGCUUUUCAAAUUGUCUAAAAUAAUGCUAGAUUUCUGCUCUAGAAUACUAAUUUAGUCUUUCAAUUGUCAACUAUUGCACUGAAUUUUCACUUAUUUAGGAGGUGGCUGGGGAGGGGGGAGGAGAGGGAAGAGGGAGAAGGAGGAGUGGAGAGGAGAGAGAGUUAGGGAGGGAGUAAGAAGGGGAAAAAAAAAAGAGGGCUCCGCCGGCUACCGUGAGCAGUGGGGAGGGAGGGAGGAGGAAAAUCAAUGAGGUGGAGGAUAUGAAGAGGAAAGGAAAGAAAAGAAAAAGAAAAAAGAGGAAAACUUUUACACAUCUAAAAAAGUUUUUUUUUUAACAAAUUUUACAGUAAGAUACAGUAAAAUUUUAUAGAUUAAUCUUUCCUACACCGACAGUGUAUAUACUACACUUGGGAUUCUCGGUGACAUGUUUUCUAUGCCAACCCAAUGCCACCAAUAGUGUUGCGUCAAGUGUCAUGUUAUUAUUUACACUUUAAUUUUCUAAUAAUUCAACUUGACUUGGUUUAACACAAGUGUAAAUAAUAACAUGACACUUGGCGCAACACUAUUGGUGGCAUUGGAUUGGCAUAGAAAACAUGUCACCGAGAAUCCCAAGUGGUAUAUACUAUCAGCGUUGGAAGAAUGACAACUAUGCAAAAUUUUAAUUUGAAAUUCAACUUUUGCACACAUGUUAUAAAUCCAACGAUGAUAGUGUAUACACCGUCAGUGUAAGAAAGAUUUACUCAAAUUUUAUACAAACACACAAAAAAUUCACUCACUAAAUAGGGCUUUCAUAACACAAAACCUGGUAGCACUACUCACUAUUUCAGUACACAAAUAAUCAAGAGUUAAAACACACAUGAGGAAAGCCAAGUUCCAAAGCCAAUUCGCAGCUGGUUCUAGUUAAAGGGAUCUUCCUCUGACCUGCUACCACAUCCCUUGCAGAAGCCAACACAGAGAAACUAUUUCCACAGCCGAGACGUGUCUAUGCUGAAACAUAGCCAAAUUCCCUUGCUCUCCUUAUCUAGUAUGCCACAAUUUUUUAAAGAGAGAGAAAUAGAGAAUUAUAUUUGGAAAUGACUGAAUUCCAAGAUUACAUGCAUCUAUCAGAAACUAAUAUUAUUUUGUGGAUAUGAAAUUCAAAAAUCUAAAGAAGUGGGUCGUCUUUGAAUAAUAAAAACUAAAGGGCACCCACACUUUACAUAUGAUUUAGACAAAAUAAUAGUAAUUUGCCAUAAUCAACGCUUUGGAUGAUGCUAUUGGACGUUCAAAAAGAAUUAAAGAUCAAGCGCAAACGUGUUGGUACUAUAUUAUGAAUUGGUUUAACAUUAAUUUGCCUGUAACCUCCUAUACAACUUGCAAAACUAAGCAUAAAUGCAUGGGGCCCAAGCACUAAUUAUUUGAGCCAAGAUUAUUUUCCACUUUGUGUGAAGACAAAAGCAUGUGGGAUGUUCCAAGGAGCCCUUCCUGUGGCCGAUACAAAUACAGCGUUCAUGAACUAAUCCCCAAAGGACCUCUUCGUGUUGUCUGUAUCACCUGUUUACCUCCAUUCAUAGUUGCCAUUGUGUUCGUUCUAUGCAUCCUUUUGUUUGGUUUAAGAUUCCUCAACUCGAGGUGGGAAUUGGGAUCUUUUUGUUUCGAAAGAAAAUAUUUUCCAGAAAAUAUUUUCCUGAUUUUCCAUUGUUUGAUUGGGUUAUUGCUUGCGAAAAUUUUUCAUAUAAAUGAAUUGAAGUUAUUUUUCAUGUCCGACUCGUAAGGCUAUCCAUUCUAGCUCCCUUCUUUGCUGUUUUCUCUCUCCAUUUUUCUUUGUCCCUGUCUUUCUUUCUCUCAGAUACACAGACCAUACGCACUUAUGGAGAGAUCUAGACUUGAAAUUGAAAGGGGCUAUAGGGAGAUCGUGAAGGAUGCCAGAGAAAGUUUUGAUGUAUGAAAAUGAAAUGAAGUUGUUAAUCUUGUGCUAAUAUACUGUAAAUUUGAGGUAUGUUUGUUCAACGGACAUUAACGGUUACCGUUUGGAUUGCUAUUUUCUAGAGCUUUUGUAAAAAGAAAAUGUACCGUAAUGAUUUGACAGAUAUAAAAUAAAAAGAUGAUCACGAAAAACGUAAAAAUUUUUUGAGGGAAAAUGGCUUUCCAAACAAUUGCUGAAAUGUUGAUUAUGGCGGAAGAACGGUGGUUUUUAGGUAAGAGCCUGAAAUUUGGUACGGACUUGUGAACUAGAGGAUAUCUUAACUGCCUGAACAAGAGUAAGUUCUGACAGUGGAUCCCUCAAGAAUUUGUCAUCCAUAAGUUAAUAAUUAUCAACCAACGUACAUAGUAGUUAACAAAAUGUACCUGUUUUCAAAAAUUAGUUUUUUUAAAUAUUAUUAAAAUUUUUAAAAAUAUUUUAAAAAUUAUUCUAAAAAGUAAUCUAAAUUUUUUUUAAUAUUUAAAAAAUAUCUUAAAAUAUAUUCUAAAACUCUUCUACUCUUAAAUAUUUUAAAAUAUAUUAUAAAAAUUCUGAUAUAAUAAAAUUUUUUAAAUUAUUUUAAAAAAUAGCUAAUCCAAACGAAAAGAAACCGGACGUUCUUGUUCUCAGGUUUUCGCUUUUCGGCACGAGAAACCCACAAAACACUACAAAGUGGUGGCAAACAGCACUGAGACGGAGAGUGGAUUAAUCCGGAGAAGAGAAGGGGGUGUCGAUUGUCGAAAAUCACCUGGUUCAUAUUUCGCGCCCUGUCGUUUUGCUGAAUCAGCGUGUGCUGGAAUAGUCAGGCCCCUCCCUCGACAAUAAUGGAAUUAGCUGCCGCGCACGUACGUACCUAUGCAUGAAAACUGACUUCACAAGCUUUAUAGCUGUCCCCUCCAUGGAUAUGAAUAUGAAUCAGAAUCUGAAUCAGUCACUCAAAACUUUAUUAUCUCUGAACGAACGCCCAUAAACAGCCCCUGAAACAGUAAAUUCUGGCAGCUGCUCUUUGUCGUAGAUGCCAAAAAUGGUCCUUGGAACAUUAAUUCCGUGAAACAGUAAAUUCUGCCAGCUGCUGCUCUCUGUUGAUGAUGCCAAAAAAAUGUCCUUGCCUACUUAAAUCAAUUUUGAACCGACUCAAUUGAAUCAAAUUCAAUGACUUGCAUUUUUUCUGUGAACCUCCUUAGAUUCAUCCCUCUUUAGAAUUUAUCGUGUCUGAUAAAAAAAAAUUUAAAUCAAUUUUGUUUUAACUCUCUGUCUAAUCUUCAAGGAUGCCGUGUCACGACUAUCGCUGUGCUUCCUCUCUCCUCUCCGCCAUGUCUGAAGUCUCAACUCUCCUUUCCUCACUUUCAGUUUCAACCACAAGUCACAAGGCUUCAACUCUCCUUUCCUCACUCUCAUCUCCUCCUCCUCAUCAUCAGGCCUAAGAAUUCUUCCUUUUUUUUUUUUUUUCCUUAUCUUCUUUGUCCUCCAGAAGCCCACUUUAAUAUAUUUUUUUUGGGGUAAGUAGCCCACUUUAAUUAGUAUUAUCCUCACGAUAAGUUAGAUGUUUGAACAGACCCUAUUAUUUUGGAAUGCAUUUUUAAAUUAAAGGAAUUAAAAUUAAAUCGAUGAUCUUACAUCAAAGAGAUUUGUCCCAAAAUAUAUAUAUAUAUAUGGGAUGGGGAAGUCGAUUUGGCUUAUAGCAAUAAAAUACUCCUACAAACUUGUCGGUGGUUGGUUGAAAGUUGAAAUAUCUGGCAGAUAUAAUUUGCAGAUGUGUUUGUGUGUCCUCUGACUGAGAAAGAGCAGGAGGUGGAUGGAGAAACAAGGAGGAAGCAAAGUCGAUAUAAAGAAUCAAGGACUCGGCAUAACUAAAGAAAGAAAGGGUGGUGACAACCGGGUCGGCGAGGUUCGGGGUGGGAUUUGUUGGAGGGAUGGGGACUAGCUAAGAUUGGUGGAGAAGGUGAUGAUGGUGUUCAGUAGUUCGGCAAGGAUUGAGUUAAAGUGCAUUGUGGAGGAAGGAACGAUUGCUAUGCCUUUGUGCAAAGUUACGUCAUCAAAGUUUUCCGACUCCAAAUGGGGUGAAAGUUCUCAUGAGCUAAUGCCUCAUGAAUUUUUAUUUUUAAAUAUUUAAAAAAUAUAAAAAUACACACACACACACCUACAUAUAUAUACACGUGUGCAUGUAUAAUAUUAAAAAUACCCAAAAAAUAAAGAAAAAUUAUAACCAAUGCCAUCCCAUGAACAGAAACCAGCAAAUCACUGUAAACUUCGAUGAUUAUUUGCACAAAAAAACUCGUUGUUAUCCCGCAAACUAACGAUCACAGUUGCGAAAACUCUUUUCUUGUGGUGUGAGUUUUGACUAUCAAAGCAAGUGUCUUUCUCCUAUUUCUUUAGAAUAUCCUCAAUGUGAGGAACAAAGUUUUGAAAUUUCACCUCCUUUGCCAACUUAAAUUUGUAGGCUAAUAUAAGAAAAGUUUUCAGAAAUUGCAAGUUCAAUUUGAGGGUCUCAACUUUCUUUAGGCAAGUGAAGGGAAAAUCCAGUUUGGAUGUUUUUCUGGAACUUAAAAAAAGGGGAAAAAGUGCUUGGAUUUUAAAUGUAUAGAUUUUUUACGUCUAAAAAAAAAAAAAAAAAAAAAAACUCACCCAAACGUCCAGGCGUUUGCCUCGAUUCUUGGGGCAAAAUGUCCCAUGAUAUUAACGCCCCAUUUAACUGUCCAGGAGUAAUUCGAGAAUGUCUUGCCCUGAAACUUACCCCAAAUAAACACUGAUCUUAAACAGAGAGAGUUAGAAAGACAACUUUCUUGGAUAGAGGACAUGAACCACUUUCUUUCUGCCACUAGCAUGUGCCACUAGCAACUUUCUUGAAUCCUAUUUUGCAAGUUAUCAAUUUUUGGUUACUUUUAUUCUUGGACAUGGACCAGUCCAACCAGGCAUUAACUAAGCGGUCCAUACCAAUAAUUCUGAUGUAAAUCUUUCUUCUUUUUUUUUACCAUGUGCCUUUUUUGAUGAAAAAGAUAGACACAUUUUAUUAAUGAUGCUACAGGAAAUCGUCCAUGAGUUGCUUGACAAAAUUUAGAAGGGAAUUUCAAAGAGAUUAAAAAAGAUUAGCACUCUUAGCAUGAUGGGUUAAAGUAUGCGCUACCUUAAUUUGCUUCUCUUGGAAUCCAUUGAUUCACUGAAUAUCAAUACAAAGCUGAUCUAAUAAAGCUAAAUGUACAUCCUCAAUAAUUGGACCUAAAUCAGAUAGGAUGUCUUCUUUGUCCUGUCUUCUUUAUCAUGAAUAAAUCUUAUGAUUGAGGCUGCGUCUCCCCGCAAUUUUGGAUCAUUUGUGGGCCUGAAUCAAAUAACUCCCGGGAACGAAUAUCACAAUGGACUUGAUUGGAACGAAAAUGCCUUACCAAUCCCACAAUCCAUUCCAGUUCAAGUUAAGAUCAGCAAUAUCGUUAAUUAGCCGCUUAAGCUUUGUUUAAUCAUAACUUACCCCUAUUGUCUUACAUCUUAAGCAGAUACUCUUUUGGUUUUUUCAUCUUAAGCAGUUACCAUUUGCUACAUCGCAGUCAAUUAAAUAGUUAAACAGAAAAUCUAGCAUUUAUACUAAAUAAAAGAAUUUUAAUGAUGCAUAUUAUUUGCUGCAAUCCUUAAACCAUCCAAGCCUAAGAAUUAAAAAUAAAAGGUCUACAUGAAUAAAAUAAAAGAUUGGAGAUUAAAGAUGCUUUAGAAAAAAAAAAAAAGGUUAAUUCAAAGGACUAAAUGAACUACUUGCGAGAUCUUUUUGUCCUUCCAGAUUAAAUGAUUUGUCGUUAAUAGUAUUGAAAUAGUUAAAAAUUAAAAUUAUUGGGACUAAAUGUAUUUUCAUAAAACUUUGAAGGCGAAAAUGGUGUAACCCCAUAAGUUAGAGGUAUAAAGUGUCAUCUUUUCCAUUUGUGAAAUUUGCAAUUGGUUUGCUGACUUUCUGUCAAAUAUUUGUACAUUAAUUAAUUUUUCUAUAUACUGACAAUACAUACCAUCAAAGUCGGAAGCAUAACAACUGGUAUGAAUUUCAGUUCGAAAUAUAAAUAUUUUGCAUACGUAGUGUCCAUCAAAUUCAGACCUUAAUCGAUCCAUCUAUCUAUGAAGGAAACAGUGGACUCUGUGGCGAGCCACUCCCAAAUGACUGCCUGGAACAUAAAUUGCCUACGAAAAAUGGGCAUAUUCAUGAUGAUAUAGGUCACGGCGAGUCUCAUUGGUCUUGGUUUUAUGCUGGUAUAGGACCGGAUUAUGCUGUCGGGCUAUUGGGAGUUUUGGGAAUCCUUCAGUUCAAGAAGUCAUGGCGCUAUGCAUACUUCAGGUUUCUGGAAAAUGCCUAUGACAAAAUCUGCGUAAUGAUUGCAUUGAAGGCCAAUCAGCUGAGGAGGAAUUUCCAUUGAGUAAUGCCCUGUAAAAGCACAUUUAUUUUGUUUUUCAUAUCACGCAGCAGCAGCAUACUCUCCUUGAGAAUUUACAGAACUAUGGUAAUUUGUAAUUUGUUCUCCAAACGUUUCUAAAGAUUUGUUUUAUGCGUCCCAACUUGACCGAUUCUUAUUCAAUAAGAAAAUGAUAGCUUAAUAGUUUUCUGUUCUUUUUUUUUUUCCCCAAGACUAAGAAGCUCAAUAAGUUAUAAUUAUUUUUCUGUUCACAUUGGAAUGCAUUAAAUAUUCUAUAUCGAGCAAUUUAUAGGUUGUUUAUCUUGCUUACUGAUCGAAUUUUUGUGUCAACAGAUUUAAACACUUUAGAAGAAUUCUAUACUUGUUUAUGCUAAUAAUUGAUUUAGUUGUUUAAUUUCUAAUUGAUAUACAUUCUAGCUUUUCUGCCAACAACUCUUAUGAAUUACCAACUACUGAUUUUCAGGUGUUACAUUAAUUCUACCCACCUAAGUUUCACUCUCGAAACUUAAUUUGACCAGAUUAGCAUAAAAACAAACUGCACUUUCAAUUAUAUCACUUUACAUGAACAAAUAUUAAUUAAACUACUAGUAUUUAGGGCACACACCAAUGUGUGUACACCUAAUAAAAAACAUAUUAUUAAAAUUUUGAGUAAAUUUUUUGAAAUCAUUUCAAAGGAAUUGGUUUUAUAUUUUUGACAAUGGGUAUUGGAAAAUUCACGAAAAUAAGUGUACAAAUAGAUAGUUGUUUAGCAGUAAUCCAUAACCAUAAUCGAUAGUUGAUUACAUUGGGUAGCUAGCAAGGUAAGUUAAAAAAUAAUAUAAAAUGACAAAAUUUUAUUUAUACCAAAAGCCCUCUCCCCCUUUAUAUAUUUACAACAAAAGCUUUCUCCACCUUUACAUAGAGCAUGGAUAUUAUUUACUCAAGGACAAUUCAUGUCCCCCCCACCCCUCCUUCCCCUCCUCGCCUUUUUGGUCAAUCGUUAACUCCUAUUACUACUCCUACUCUAACCAAUAUUAGGGAAUGAUCCAACUGGACCAAUGGGGCCGGAGAAAGAAGAUCUCACCUGUAUAUCAAAGAGGUUCACUAGACCAAAGAAGGGUUGCUUCAUGUUCAAAUCUGCUAUGCUUUUUACGAGGCCAUAGAAAUUUCAAACACCUGAUGCCCAUUACGUUUCCCUUGCGUCAACAUUAAUCCAAACAUCAAGAAGUAAUUCCACUUAAUUAACCUUAUUUUCAUUUGAACUUUGGUUAUAUCUAAAGUGAUAAUCAUGUCUUCCUAUUCAUUAAAGUAAUCUACUAUCAAUUAAAACUCCACUAGUAAAUUCCGUGCUCUCAUUUUCUGAUUUGCCAGAUUCUCGGUUGCACCCCGAAUUUACUUCAUAGUAUAUGCCAUCACAGUGGAUCUAGAAAUAUUAUAACAUAACCGCCUAGAAAUUUCUUCAAGAUAUAACCCCUUUCAAUAACUUCACCUACUCAUGAUUUUCAAUCUUGAAUUACCUGUAGUUUUAAGAUUCAAAUCAAGUGAUCAUAAGCCAUGUGAGAAAAACUAAUGAACAUAAAUUAAAUUUCUAACUCAUUGAUCGCCAUAAAUGGUCCUAUUAGAAACUAAUUCUUGCAAUCAAUAAUUGGUAGACAUGAAAUAAAAAUGUGUCCUAGGCCUCCUGAUCUUCUAAACAAACAUAUAAGGGCAGAAGGGGUUUCAUGAACAUCCUCCCAAUGAGGAAUGUUAUAUGAACAGAUCCCAAUCACAAAUUAAAGAUUUGUGAAAAAAGUGAGAAACUCUAAACAACUGGGCAAUUCCAAUAAAGUUUGGUAAAAUUUGAUAAGAGAAUGAGAUAUUACUUAGGCCCUGUUUAACAAAUAAUUCCCAAUAAAUAUUUGAGUGAAACUUAGGCAUCAUUUGGCGAAUGAAUUUUUUGCGUGUUUGUCUAAAAUUUUACUGUAACUUACUGUAAAAAUUGUAGGAAAAAUUUUUAAAAUGAAAAACUUUUUCUUUUCUUUUUAUUUCUUUUUCUUUCUUUCUUUCUUUUUUCUUUUCUUUCCUUUCUUCUUCCUCUCCCUUCCCCGUCCCUUGCCACCUCUCCCUUCCAGUUGGAACAAGAAUUUUUUUUUUUGCUCUCUUCUCUCUCCCGUCCCCUUUCUCCCCUUUUCCGGGUGCUUUCUAGUCGUGCGACCAAAUCGGGCAAAGGGGUAUGGGAAGGAUGGUGGGGGAGGGAGAAGGGGGGAGAGAGGUGGCGUGGAAGAGGGUAGGAGAGAGGGAGAGGAGAGAGAGAGGAAGAAGAGAGAGAGAGAAAAAAACAAAAGAGGUGGCCUGCGGCUCCGAUUGCGGUGGAAGGAGAAAUGAGGAAGAAAUUUUUUUUUUGUGUUUUGGAUAUUUUGAAGUAUAUAGUUUAAAUAUUUUAAGGAGUUUUUGAAAUUACUAUAGUUAAAGUUGUUAAAAAUUUGGUAGGAAACAAACUUAGACAAAAUUGGUUUGCCAAACAGGCCAUUAGUUCUAGGAAUGCUUUGAAAAUCCUUGUUAGAGGGAUAGUGAAAUUCUUGUUAUCCAUUGAUAGGGUACUUUUAGUUGGUACAAUUGCUUAUAUUUUUCUUUUUAUUUAUACCAGAUAUCACCCUAUUUGACUGGUUUUACCCACAAUUGGUUUUUUUGCAUUGAUUUCAGAAAUUUGAGCGAAAAACGCUUAAAUGGAGGAUUCCUAACAGUUUGCACAUGGGCACGCCUAAGUUCAAGGUUCAAAGCCAGAAAAUUGAGCAGGGAUGUCAGACAGUUUCCCAAUCCAAGUCAAAUUAAAAAAAUUGGCAGCUGCUGAAGUUUCCUAUUUCUUUGCAGUCCACGUCAAUCUCGAGCAAUUGGAAAGCUCCUAGGACAUUGAUUUGUAAUAGGAACCCUUUUUAGGAGUUUUAUUGGUAUGAGGAGACCAAUCAAUUAAGAAGUCGACUAGGGAUAAUUCGGAGGGGGAAUGCUUUUUGCUUGAGAAAAACAUAGUUGUUCUUCUUUUUUCUUUUUGGCCAAAUUGGAGAAAAAAAACAAUUGUAAGCUUCGAACAGAUUAUCUUUUGGCAUGGCUUGUUCUCCCUUAAUGGAGAACUAAUCUCGUAUCUCUAGUCAAGGAACACUGAGGAUUUGGUUCAACUAUCACUGUGAGAUAUAAUUGAUUUUAUUUAUCUCCUCUAUUCAUUGGUAUUUGUAAGUUUUCUGCUUUAUAAAGUAUGAUUAUUGUGUGUGAUUAAAUAGGUGCGCAAUAUUUAAUUAUACACGUUCUCUAUUUGCUAAUUGGAAUAGUCAAAUCCGUAAUUGUUUGACUACUCUAGUCUUGAUAGCAACUGGAAUAAUUGGGUUUGUGUUGGAAAAAAUAUACAGUCUAAUUUAAAUAAACUCUCGUAGCGUGUUUAUUGAUUAGAGUAGGAUUUCUCUAGUUUCUAAUACAAUUGAGGAAUUAAAUCCUACGGUGGCACUUAGGGUUAUUCCUAAAUUAGAGAAAUAGUCAAUGAUCGUACCUUGACUAUCGAAACAGAAAGGAGAAACUGAUUGUCAGAUCGUAUCAGCAGUUAAAAACCUGUUUACUAAUGAAUGUUGGGAUUAUAAUUGCAUCAAUGAUUAGUACCUGAACCACCUCUGAAGUAAAACCUUGGCUAGAGCUUUUUCCCAUUAAUUGUCUCCCCCAAUCUCUUUUGCGUACUUUAUUACCUUAGUGAUAUUCCACUAGUUUUUAAUUCUUGACAAUAAAAACCCCCUCCUCUUUGACUUGAAAAAAGAGCAAAUAAUCCCCAAUCCCUAUGGAUUCGAUCCUGCUCACCGUUGUAUACAAAAUUCAUACUUUUAUUAAGUAAGUUUUUAUUGCACAGGCUCGACACCUGUCAUCCAUUAAUAUCUAAGGUCGUGUUAUUCAAUAAUGGUAAUUGCGAAAAUUUUUUUGCUCUUUUUUAAUUGAUUUUUAUUCAUAAAUUCAAGCUAUUAUUCAAAUUAUAGUAAUUUAUUGUUGAAUUUGGCUAGGUAUAAAGUUAAUUGAAGAUGCAUAAAAGUUUCAUAAAUAAGGCGGCCUGUUUAGACUUUGUUUUCGAUGAUGAUGUGUCGAUUAUGUUUGUGAACUUUAAUGACACAAAGGGAAUAUUUUGCAUCUGGGGACGAGUCCGGCAUCUCGCGCUGGAGUUGAUACCCGCGUAGUAAAAUAGUAAUCCAAUAUGCAAUUAACGAAUUUCUUAUGUUUAGUUAAGAAGAAAGCGGAAGAAAACAAGAAUAUGAGAACAGAUGGAAAUUAAUGUAAAACAAAGGAAUAAAAGGCAAAUUACAAUUUAUCUCCUAUGAUUUAGUAUUUUUAUACAUAACUCUCCUAUAGUUUUAAAAAUUAUAUAUAACCCUCUCAUAAUUUGAAUUAAAGCGUCAAAAUGAUGAAAAUGAUCAUUUGUAAAAGAACCUAUGAAAAUGUCGAAAUUACCCUUGUUUAAAAACUCAAAUGGUUGAAGUGAUCAACAUAUAUAAACAUAACAUGCAUGACACUCUAACCCGUAUAAUUUUACAUGUUACCAUAUAACCCUUUUAUGAUUUAAUGUUUUAAUAUAUAACUCCCUUAUUGUUUUCACUAUAUAUACAUAACUUGCUUGUAGUCAAUAAAUAAUUUUCAACUUUAUAGAGGGGCAUUUUUUAUAUUUUAAUUGACUCCGUCAUAGAUUGCAAAUUUCGUUACUUUGAUACUUUAAUUCAAAUCAUGAGCAGAUUAUAUAUAAUUUUUAAAAUUAUGAGAAGGUUAUGUAUAAAAAAUAUUAAACUAUAGGGGGAUAAAGUAUAAUUUACCUGUAUAUAUGCAGCGUCCCGCCCCUCUCCUGUCACUGGAUUGGGAGGACUGUAGUAUGAAAGGCUGCAUGCAUGCAACGUCCAGCCUCUCUACAAGCAUUUAGAACCAUAUAGAGAUGAUGCUUUAUCUGAGCUUACUUUAUCAGACGACCAAUGCCAAAGAAAUUGGAUACGCAUCUCCUUAAUACUACUACUCCAUCAUUAUUAGCUAGUGUUAUUAUUGAUUUGGUAGUAGUAUUCCUGUCACUUGGCUGCAUUAAAUAAGCUCAUUAAUCAAUUACCCUGAUUGUUUAUUCCAACAAAUUGCCGAAUAAUGAUAUUAAUUAAUACUUACUCCAUGAAGUAUGUAACUACUGCUGCUGCAGCUUAAGGGAUUCAGAUUUUCUGUAAUCACAGCAGUGUCAACAGCGUACACUUAGUUGUGGCUUGAAAUUAAAAAGAUAGAUUGAAUAGAUGACACAUGUUUGUUUUUCAUCGAGUGAUAAAAUUUAUUAUGUAUUCUGUAGUUAUUGUUGCAGUAUCUAUAUAUCUACAUAUUUGGUCUUUAACAUUUAAUAUUUACGUCCAUUAUAUUCUGUAGUUAUAUUGUUGUAAUGAUUUCCACGAUGACUUCCAAGUCAUCGUGCCUGUUUCAAGCCACCGUGAGCCAUCGUUCCGAUCAAUGGAGGUUCUUGCGUGAAUAUGUUUGUAUGGGAGAACGAAUAUGUAUCUAAUGAUACACAGAACAACUGAAAGAAAAAUGCUUAUAACAUUUGUUUUGCUGAACAACAGACAGAAAUUCAAAAUCAAACAAGUACGAUUGAACUUCAUGCGACAAUUUUAUUUAAUUUGGGCAUGGAUGACCAGCCCGUUGUUUAUUUAUUUAUCAUUUUCCUCUCCGGGAUUAACAACCAGGAGUACAUUUGAUUUCAUCCCUCCUUCGGUAGAUAGCGAUCGAGAGGAACUGAUCAGACAGCACCAGCAUAGGACCGUAGCAUGGACUUGAAAGUUACCUCGUGAUGAAGGUAGGGGAAGACCAUGAUGCCUCCAUAAACAGAAGAGUUCUUCAGAUAGGGAAGAACGUCAUCAACUAGCACAUUAGGUGGGAUGUAACCGCCCUCAGGUGCGAUAUCCUUGGAUAUAGGUAUUCCCAGGAACAAUAGAUUAACGCCUCUAUAAUUAGACCACCUGUCCCAACUCCGGAAGAGGAGACUGGUAUCCUUUGGAGGCCUAAUCUGACAAG
rnacentral:lncRNA from 1 species